CCAAAGCAAGAACAAAGGAAGAAAAAAAAGAACAAAAACCCUAGAGUGAAAAUUUAAGAGAAAAUUGGUGGAUUUCAAGUAAUCAAGCAAUCAAAGGUAAAAUUUCUUGAUUUUGACUUGUGAUCUACCUUUCCCAUACAUUCUUUUGCAUUUUCCAUGGUUGAAUCACAUGAUUUCAUGAUGGGUCUCUUGCUAGCCAAACACUUAGAGAGAGAUUUUGAUGGUUGUUUUGGUUAGAUUUUAAGAUAUUCUAGUGUUUUUAGUUGAUUGGUGAUGUGUAGUAUGAAAAUCAAGUAAGAAAAAUUCAUGUUCUUCCAUAACCCAUCAUUGGUCGAAUUCUCCAUGUGAAAUAUUGAUGAUGAUUUUGAUUUUAUUUCAAGUGAUUUGGUUAGGAAUUAGUGAUUUAUGGUGUGAGAAUCAAGCUUGAAAAAUUAUAUUGUUAGUGAACCCUCCAUGGUCGAAUUUUCCAAGAGAAAAUGUGAGGAUGAUUUUGCCACAUUUCAAGUUAUUUAAUUUGUGUUUGAUGAUUUGGAGUAUUGGGAGAAAAAUGGAAUUAUUUAGAGUUAAAUUAGACAUAUUGGCCAAUUAAUCGGGUGAUAGAUCGAAUUAGGCCAAUACCAUUUUAUUUAGGUACAUAAUUGAAUUUAUAUUGAACACUAUAUUUAGAUAGUUACCCGAGUAUUUUACAUCCCAUUUCAUGCAUUAGUAUAAAGCCUGAAUUGGAUUUACAAUGGUUUAGCACAAAUGUAGUAAAUGGUUUAUUGUGCAUUAUGUGUAGGUGGUGAGCUUUCUGGCAAAAGUAAAGAGAUAGUACCCGAGGAUCAAGAAUCAGAGUACUCAAAAUUCGACUCCCGAAAUAGUGAGUAACCUUACUAUUGUCUUAAUUAUCUAAAGUAGUUUUUACUCAUUUUUGUGAAUUGAUAGAAAAAUGAGUUUAAAUGGUAAAUCUUUAUGUUUUAUAAGCAAAAUGUGAUUAAAUGAAAUGAUUUUAUAAAAUUGUCUUGAAAUUGAAAGAUGGUUUUGAAAAUGGAGUAAUUAGAGACUAAUUGUUGUGUUAUAAAUUAUGGUUUGAAUUUAAUGGCUUAUGAUAAUAUUGGCAUGAAUGGUUGAAUUGGUAAAUAUGCUGAAAAUGUAUGAACUAUUGAUUUACCUUGAGAGGCUGUAAAAUAAAAUAAUUUUCAUGUCAUGCUAUCGCAAAUUUUAUUGUAUGGUGGUUUAGCUUACUGCAGUGGGCGGGUUCUGUGGACCAGCCUUUUUAAGGGGCAUGGAAUCUUGUUAUAUAUAUCUUACCUCGAUUGGGGAGGCACGUAGGGUAACUCCCGAGGUACAACUUUAGAGUUCACUUCACGCCAAACCACCACGUGAGGGUGAACUCAGCCAACGCCAAGGAACGACUAUGUUUUCAAAAGAAAAAAACAUGAUUUAUGCGUACAUGACUUUUUAACAGCCUUGGCGGACUUGGUUGGGAUAGCCCCAGGCCAAGGUAUCCCUAAUAACUGAGUAUGAGAAUGAUUUUGGCACGAGCCAAACUUUUCAGGAAAUCAUAAGCCUUGUUGUUUAUUUUGGGUGAAAUGAAUCUAUUUUAUCUUAUUAAAAUGAGUUCGAAAUGCUGUGAAUCAUUUUUAUGUUAAACUAUUUAUCUGUCUCCAUUUUUUCAGCUUUAGAUAUUUUAGAUAGUAUUUUUUUACUCAUUGAGAUAAUAUAAUCUCACCACCCUCCUUUCCACUAAUUUUAGGCUCAGGAUAGUAGGUAGAAAGCUCGUUUCGUUGAGGGCUACAGUUGGACUUGCAUCCUCAAAAACUGUAGGUUUACCGCUUUUGAUAUUUUUGGUCGUUCGUGGGCCCACGUGUCACUGUAAAUUAAAUCGUAUGCUUUGGUUAUCUGUAUUACAGUAUGUAUUAAUUUAUUUAGCUUUUACGCUACAAAAUUUAUUUACCGGUAACUUUAUAAAUAUUGUUUUAUAAGAAAAUAGAAUAUUUUAUUGAAUAUUUUUAUUAUAUUCAAAUAGUUAUAGUUUCGCUUUAAAUGAAUGUUUUUGUCAAGCCCGACCUUAUAAAGUACUUGCCAUGUCUUUCAUGUGAUUGACAAUAUGCUUGCAUACUUGGAAAGCCCCGAAAAAUGAUCAAAAGUCAGUAGUGUACCUAGAGGUGCAACUAAGUUGAAUUAAGCCUCGAACUACUUUAAAUAGAGAUCAUAAGAUGAAAUUGAGAAUUUUAAAACCCCAGAAUGACUUAAAAUGAUGAUUUGGAGUUCGAGGGUUGAAUUGGAGUCAAUUUGGAAUUUUCAUGAUCUAGGGGUAAAAUGGUCAUUUUGCCACCCAAGGUUAAGAUGUGAGUGUUGGAUGAUAUUUUUGACUAAGAUUGAUCAUUUGGAGUAUAAUUUGAGUUUGACAAGUGAAAAAUUUUAAUUUUGACGUUUUUCUGAGCAUAGGGGUAAAAUAGUCAUUUUGCCACCCUAAGGGCAAAAUUGUAAUUUUACACCACCCAAUACUUGUCCAGCACAUGGAUUUUACCCAAUAUUAUUAUGGAUAAUUGAGGAAAUUUAAGUGGUGGAGAGAGAUUGCUUAAUGAGCAAAUAUGACACAUGGACCAAUGGAAUGGUGACAUGUGUCAAGUUUAUAUCCAUUUAUUGUUUAGCUUUAAAAUUAGCAUAAAAUCAGCCUAUUUCCCUUCAUAUGGCUGGCCAAAACAAGAAGUGAAGAGGAAAGGAAAGAACACAAACCCUAGGUGGGAAAAUUGAAGAAAAAGUGUGGGAUUUCAAGGGAUUAAGCUAAUAAAGGUAAAAUUUUAUGAUUUUAUCUUAUGAUUUACACUACCCAUGCUUUCUUUUUUCAUUUUCCAUUCUUAAAACUCAAGUUUUCAUGAUGAACCCAUGCUGGCCGAAUUUGAGAGGAAAGGUUUUGAGCAUUGAUUUUGCUAGAUUUCAAGCUAAUUAAGUGUUUUUGGUUGUUUGGUAAUGGAAAGUAUAAAAAUCUAGCAAGGAAUCACUUUGUUCUUCACAAACCCACAAGAGGCCGAAUUUUCUAGGGAGGAUAUUGAGGCUGAAAUUGAUGAUAUUUCAUGAUAUUUUGGUGAUAUUUAAUGAUUGGUGAGGCUAGAAAUUUAAUAGGAAAUUUUGGCAUGAAAAUCUGAAUUUUUACCUAAUGUAUAGACAUGUGCAAUUUAUGGUUCAGACUGAUAUAUUGAAUCAUAUUCACAUUCAUUGAGGUAUUUUAAGUAUAAUUGGAGUGUAGAAAGUGAAAGAAAUCAAUUUGGAGUUAAAUUGAAGAUUUUAGCCAAUUACACCGAGAAUAGUACGAAUUAGAUCAAAUAUCGUAUUUAAACGGCUAUUCGGACAUUUUGCAUCACAUUUCGUGCAUUCAUAUAGAUUUAUAGAGCCUAAAAUAGUUUAUGAUAGAUUGAUACAAUUUAUUGAAAUUCGUGUCACGUAUGAUGUAUAAGUGGUGAGCCCUCUAACAAGGGUAAAGAGUUAGUGCCCGAAGACCAGGAAUAUGAGUAUAUCGAACUCCUAGAACUGUGAGUAACCUUAUCAUCAUUUUAAUUAUCUAAAGUGGUAUUUUUAUUCGAUUUUGUGAAUUUUAUGGAUAAUGAAUUAAAUGAUUAAUUUUUUGAUUUUAUAAAUAAAAUGUGAUUUAAUGAAAUGAUUUCAUAAAAUUGUCUUGAAAUUGAAAGAUGGCUUUGAAAAUAGAGUAACUGGAGACCACUUGAUGUGUUGUAAUUUAUGGUUUUAAUUGAUGGGUUAUGAUUAUGUGUUGGCAUGACUAGUUGGGAUUGUGGUUUGUGAACUGUAUGAAUUGUUCUGUUUUACAUCUACAGGUUGGGUAGUAUAAUAUUAGUUAUGUCAUGCUAUCAAAAUUUUAUUGUAUGGUGGGUUUAGCUUGCUACAAUGGGCGGGUUUUGUGGACCAACCUAUUAGAGGGGCACGAAAUCCGGUUAUAUAUGUACCUUGGUUGGAGAGGCGCGUAGGGUAUAUCCUGAGGUAUGGUUAGAGUUCACGUCACCCCGAACCAUCUCGUGAUGAUGAACUCCGCUAACGCCAAGGAACGACUGUGUUUUCCAAACUAAAAAUAUGUUUAUGUGUAUACAAAACUUUUUAAUAGCCUUGGCAGACUCGGUUAAAUGCCUCAGCCAAGGUAUUCUCGAGAAUGAUUUUGGCAGGAGCCAAGCUUUUAAGAUACUCAUAAGCCAUGUUGAUUAGUUAAAUGAAAUGAAUAUUUAUGUUAUGAAAUACAUAUUGAGAUAGAAUAUUUUAAUCGUCUCAUUUUACUCAACUUUAGAUAUUUUGAAUGGUGUUUGUUUACUCACUAGGAUUUCAUAAUCUCACCACCCUUAUUUCCACCCAUUUUAGGCUCAAUAUAGGCUGUAGAUAGCUGAUAUCGUCGAAGGCUAUAGUCGGCUUUACUACUCCAAAAACUGUAGGUUUAUUACCUUUGUACACUUUUGUUCCUUGUGGGCCCACGAGUCACUGUAAAGUAAAUUUCAUAUCCUGGUUAUCUGUAUUAUAGUACGUAUGAAUUUAUUUAGCUUUUACAUUACAAAAAUUAUUUACCGAUGACUCUAUAAAUAUUGCUUUACAAGAAAUUAUAAUAUUUUAUUGAAUAUUUUUAUUUUAUUUAAAUAGUUGCAAUAUCAUUUUUAAUAAAUGUUUUAGACACCCAAAUUUAUUUUAAAUCAUGAAAUAUGUGUUUUUCACUCAUUUACUACAUCUUUAGUCGAGUUCAGAAAAUUUUGAGAAAAAAUGACGAAAACGCCCCUGUGAGGCGAAAAUUAUUUUUCCACGGUUUUGAAAGGGAAAAAGCUUAAAAUUCUUUAAAAACGAGGUUUGGUGAUGAUUACUCAUAGGGGAGAUGAAAAAAAAAUGGUACCAAAGCCUUGUGGGGUUCCGGUUAGCACUCUAAGUAACGAAUGUUUACCGAGACAUCGCAACGGUUGUCACAGGCUUGAGGGGAGUACCGGGUCGUGAUAGUUUUAGACAUCUAAACUUAUUUUUGACUAUGAAAUAUGUGUUUUCCACUUGGAUACUAUUUUUUUAGCCGGUUUCGAGAUUUUUAAGGAAAAAUGACCAAAAUGCCCCUAUGAGAAAAAAUUAUUUUUCUAUUGUUUUGAUUUGGAAAUAGUUUGUAGUUCUCAAAACAUGAUACUUAAGAACUGUUGCUCACAAGGGAGAUGCGAAAAUUGAUAUUAAAGCCUUACGAGGUUUCGGUUGGCGUUCCGAGCAAUGAAUGUCUAUCGGGACGUCGCGACGGUUGUCACGGACUCGAGGAGAGUACCGGGUCAUGACAAUUACAUUGGUAUCAGAGCUUUUUGGUUUAAAAAUCAGAGCACAGAGUUUGUGGUUUUAAAGUUAAGUUAAAAAUUUACAAUGUCAGUGUGGCCUCAAGUUAAGUCAAGUUGAACAGAAUGCAUGCACCUACAUAUAAAAACCUACCUGUUCUUGUGAUGCAUAUAGAAUUAAGAAAUUACUGCUUGAUUGCGUAUAGGUUUUGAGGUGCGUUGGUUGCACACACUAUGUCUACGAGAGACGGUAGUCCCGAUGCCUCUCAUAGUAUUAGCGAGAGAUCGCUAGAUUCUUCUACUAGGAGCCAAUGGCAACCCGAACCAAGUAGUCCAGAAAGUGCUGAUAGUAAUGACAUUAAUGUAAGCAUGAGAAAUUCUCUUUUUAAAGAAUCUAGGGAAUACGCUAAAGAAAGGGGAAAAAUAAUGAUAGUCGAAGGAGAUUAUCAUCCUAGGAAGGUACCUGUACCCAUUGUUUGACACUUUCUUCCAAGCUGUGGGAUAAAUGUAAAGGAACAACAGGAAAAGAAUAAGGAGAAAGUAACUCUUGCAAGUUAUCUCCGUAGGAAAGUGAACGUUGUACGACAUUUUCCUCCUGGAUGUGGAAUAGGUGCUGCACCUGUGAGUGACGAAGAAUGCAGGAGAAUACAGCAAGCUUGGAUUGAGGAACAAAGGAGAAAAUCUCAGGAGGAAGAGGAGGAUCCUGAAGAGGAUCCUAAAAGAUACUUAAUACCUUUGUUGAAGUUUGUACCACCUUAAAUCUAGGCAAGUGUUGUUUAAGAGAAAAUGUAAUAGUUAUCUGUGCAAAAAAGUUAAUAGUUUGGCUUUUAAAGUGUAUGACUAUAAUGUAUUAUAAAGUAGCUGUUUAAGUGGCUGAAGGUAUAUGGGAAUCUUUUGGUAGGACAAAAGUGGAUUAACAUUAUGGCUAUUAAGGAAAGAUAUUUAUCUUAGUAGCAAGGUUGAUCAUCUUAGAUAAUUAUUGAAGACUAAUGUGGAAAAUCAUUAAUGAUUCAAGCAAUUACCCUAAUUAACAAUGAAUAUAUUUUGCAGUACUAAGAAAUGGAUACCGAUUAACAUGAUGAACUUUUGGAGUGAUAACCCUAGAUUUUGAUGAGGCAUAAAAGACCAUUUGAAUUGAUGAUGCUUGUUGGAAAUUAUUACUUAUCGUAGUAUGUGAGUUUUGAUAUGAUUCUGAAUGCAAAGCUAAAUAAAUAAAAUUAUGGUUUAUGAGACAAAUUGUAUCAGAGAAGAUGAUUCCCGAGCAAACACAUUAAACUAGGGGACUAUGUUAUAAUAAGCGGGUUCAGUGUGUUGUAAUUGCACAGGAUGUUGGGAGACAGUGUGGUAAGACUAACAAUUAAUCAUGGAGAUGUGAAAUUGGGAAUCUUAAUUGUAGUUAUAAUUCGAAAGGAUAUGGAAGAAAUCAAUGAGGCUUUAGAUGACAUUUUGAGUGAUUAAUGUUAUAAAGUCAAAGAUUGUAAACUUGAGGGUGAAGGAAGUAUAAAAUGAUGCCAUAACAUUAUAGGAAGAUAAUCUAAUACAAAUAUGGUCCAUUAGAGAUAAAUGAAGGAACUUGAAAAAGAUAAAUUUUUUAUUAAUAAGGAUUGUGAGUGUAAGUGUAGUGAAAGAUGAACUAUUUUUGUGGUCUUUGUAAUGGAAGUAAAUAAACUAUUGGAGUUAUAAGACAAGGAAGAUGAUUAAUAAUGGAUAAUGAAAAUAGUGGGAUACCAUAAAUAAUAAGUAAUUAUGUGUGUGAUGUGUAUAUAUUGUGAAUUCAUUACACCAUAUAGGAAAGAUGUCCUAAGGUGGGACUUGAAAUAUGUGGAUUUUUGGAUAUGCUCUAGGAAGGAACUUCUACAUCCUAAAUUCGAGAUAUCUUGAUCUUAUAACUGCAAGGACGAGAUGUAAUAAUUAAGUGAAUUAUCCACUUUAUAAAUAUAAUUGGUUAAGAACCCUUUAUGGCUAGAAAGCGUGAGCAAAUUGGGAAUGGCAUGAAGAUGAAACUCACGAGUUGAAGAAUGGUCAUUGGUUUUGAUGCUAAGCUUUAUUGUUUGGAGUCUUAAGUGCAUUGGGGAGGUAUUAAGAUAAAGAUGAUGAGUGAAAUUGUAGAGUUUCUUUAUUGCCUUAUAUAUUGGCAUGUAAGAGAAAGAAAAGUUAGAGAGUUUUUGAGAUGGCUUCAUAAAAAUAAAUUAACAUGUGGAGUGUUAAGAUGAAUAAUAUAUUGAUUGAAGUCAAAUCUUAAGAAAUAAAGAAGAUAAGAGAUUAAGCCUUGUUAAAGACUAAAGAGAAAGCGAGUGAAAAGUUAGAUGAAUGUAUGAGAUAUUGAUAAGAGAUGUCAAUACCAAGUGAUGAAAGUGUGAAUAAAGAUUUCAAUAAUGAUAUAGCAAAUGAGUUUAUAUAGAAUAUUGUUAUGAGAAUUUACAAAUCUUGUCUUGACUAUGUUGAAAGGAAAGGAUUAGUGAUAACACAAGUAAACUAUGUGGUAUGCUAGAAACCCUUGGAGAUAAAUUGAAGCAUGAGUAGUUGGGCAUGCCUUUAUGGAAAUGAUAUGCUUGGAGUAUGAAAGAGCAAAUAAGUAAUUAAGUGUUUCAAGAAUGUUGAAAUGCCUUUGAAAAAAAGAAUUAUAAGUUAUACGUGAUGAGUAUAAGAUGUGUGAUUUUGAAACUUGCUAAGGAGCCCAACGGCUAAGUCACGAGUUAAGUAAUCACCUGCUGUGAGACAUAAGUAUAAGAUAGAUAUCCCCAAGGAAAUACUUCAAGAUAAUUUCUGCAAUGGAUCUAGUGAAAGCAAACAUUAAGUUAUAUGAUCAUAAAAGGGAAGCCAUAAGCUGAGAGUGAUAUUUGUAUUGACAUUGAAAAAUACUUGAGGAGAAUCUAGUUUCAAGUCCUGUAAUUUUAAGUACAAUUUGUAAAUUGGUUAAGGAAGAAUGAUGUUAUAUUCGUGUGAAAGAGUGGAACAAAGGAUGAUAGAAGUUGACCUUGAUAAUGAAGUCGGGAAUGAAACUUUCCUAAUAUAUUAUGAAAAUUGGAAUUCAAAAAUGCUUGAGGCAUACAUGAUUCAAAUGAGUCUGAGUUUUAAGUGACAAAUCAAUAUCGGAAUGCAAGAAGGAUACAAGGUAAUGUAGAGGCAUGAAGGAUUAUCGAGGAAAAAGGAUGACUCUUAGGAAUUGUGGUGUUGUAUAAGAUGCAAUGAUCAAGUUAAGAUAAAUCUUUGAGGCAUCAAUGGGAUUAUAAAGCAUACACGCAUAAUAGAUUAUAAUUCAAUGGAGAUGACUAUCACGACCCAAAUUUCGGGCCAUGACCGGCACAUGGACCCAAUGGACGUAGUCCACUAAGCCCAAGCAAGCCUAUUCAUCUGACAUGUUCAUCAUUUUACCAAAACUACUAAGUCUCAUUUCAUAACUUUGAAUCAAAAUAGUGAUAGACAUUGCCAACUCAUACUGGCAUUACUCAUUUAAAAUAUACAUACAUUGUCUACAACAUGUAUUCUAAUAAUUUACAUUAAGUUGUCUAUACAUAUCAAAAGGAGACUUGAUGUCCAACAGAGAAACUCAACGAAUGUACUGCUACUGAAUGUCGAGGCACCUACCAAAAGAUGGAUACAAGUCUACAAGGACAACUCGUCCUAGUUACCGAUUGUCUCGUGUUUUGAAAACAUGAAGUUGAAAACGGUGAGUAUAAACCCAGUGAGUGAACAAGGAAGGGAACAAGCAACAACAAGGGAGAAUUUAAAAUCAUGAUGCACUUGUUUCAAAACAAUGCAAUUUAGUUCCAUUCAUAUUAAAAACCCCUCAUCAAGCCCUUAAAUGAUUAAUCAUUUGAAAAUCAUGAACCCAUACAUAAUGAACCAUUUGAAAAAUGAAAGCUUCAAUGAUACGCAAGCAAGUCAAAUACGACAACGAAUCUUCGCUGCAGCGGAAAGGCAUUCUCGCUGCAGCACCUUUCCGUUGCAGCGACGUUGGGAUUAAGUUAUUAGCCGAACGAGGGUUUCUCAACUGGCCAAGGGUUUCCCCCUAAAUCUCCUCAAUUUAAACUUAACUCAUUUAAUCCUUAAUGUUGGAAGUCCAUGCUCAGAUAUGGUAGCAAAGAAGCAAAAAAUAGGGCAACAAAUGGACAAGAAAGGAGACAAAAACAAAAAGUUUUUUGCUGCAGCGAGAUUUUGGUCAUAAAAUAAAAAGUUUCUUGCUGCAGCAAAAUUGUGACUCAGAAACAGAAAAUUUUUUGCUGCAGCGAGAAUGAAUUUCACUACAACUAGAAGCUACAGUGUCAUUCUCGCUGUAGUGAAAAUGCAUCCUCGUUGUAGCGAGUUUCCGGCCAGUCUACUCUUCCAAAACCAAAGAGUUUCUCGUUGCAGCGAGAAUCAAAACAUCAAGAAAAAGGUCUCCUUUUCCCUUAAAAUAAAGUCAUCCUGCUAAAUAACAAAAGCAACAUAUAACACCUGCAAACUCCUAAAUUUCAACAAAUCAAAUGUUCACAUUUUCGCAUUUACAACCAUAUACCAUAUAUGUAUAUAUAUAUAUAUAUAUAUCAUCUUGUACACCCUCCCAUUAUCAUCAUCUCAUAUGCAACGGCUUAUGCACACUCCCACUUGCACAUAGCCGUGUCAGCAACGGCUUAUGUGCACUCCUACUCGCACAUAGCCGGGUCCACAUCAACAUACAAAUAAGCACCCAAUGCAUAUCAUGCAUAUUAUCAUAUUUUGAUAACACAUAAUCCAUUGUAUAUCACAAUUUCACAAUAUAAAAUCACUUCACCAAAGGCUUGUUCCCAAGAUACAUUUUCAAAGACAAGUUGGAUAAAAUCAUUCAUAUUCCCCAAAACAAGUUUGAAAUGCAAGUCCACUUACUAGUAUAUUGUUGAGCCUUUCAUUGACUCUAAUUUCCCCUAAUUGUCCAAAUGGGAUGAUGGGGCUUCCUUGGAACCUACCAUCACAUUAAUAUCACUAUUAUGUUAAUUCACAUACUAUAAACCUUAAAAGCUAUCUCUUAGCUAACUUUCACUUGCCACUUCAAAUGGCUAUCUAUGUUCACUAUCUAAAUCACUAUAAAAUGAAUGAACAUCCUUAACAAUAAAACAGCUCAUAAUCUAAAUUUCUAGCCAUUAUCCACAGCUAAAAACCAAGUUUAGUUCAUCACUCACCCUAAGGUUCCGUUGUAGUGGAAUUAUCUUCCAAUAGCUUCCACACCAAUGGGGUAAUUCUUUCUUUCUCUCUCUAAAAUGCCCAACUAGUGAGAGAAAGUAUAAAAAUAAAACUUUUCAAAAGUUUUAAGGAGAGAGAGUGGAAGAAUAUAAGGGUUCUAGUCAUAAGGGCACAAAGGUAUGAAAACUAGAGCUAGAGAGAGAAAAUCAUGCAAGUUCUACAUCAAGCUUCCAUGGAGGUUAGAAGCAAUGUGAGAUGGAAGAAUAAGAAGAGGACAAGCUGCUGGAAUAUGGGAGAAGAAGUUGUUGGAAGAAAGAUAUUUAUAGCCAAUCUUAUCCAUUCCCUUGAAAUUACCAAAUUGCCCCUCCACAAAUUAGCUUAUUCUUCUCUAAUCUUUUAUGCAAUCUUUGUGCUCUUUUGAGACUGGGACAAGGUCCAUAAUUGUCUUGACAUGCUGGGGUUCAUGAAAACUUAAAAUUUUAGCCCGAGGUGAAAAAUGACCAUUUUACCCAUACCGUGAAAAUCAUCAAAAUCUUGGUUUUCUUUCCAUUUUACCCCUAAUUUCACCAUCCAUUUAUAUCUUAGGCCUACUUAGGCCAUAAUAUUGUUUUAAACUUACUUUUAUGGGUUUGGUAAGGAAAUGACGAAAUUACCCCUGAUUAGGGAUAUCGCGUAUACUUCCCUUUACGAGUCUAUAAGGGUCAAGGUCUCACAAUGACAUUGUGAUGCAAUGAUAUAUAGUACAAGAAAACUAAGUAUAUAAUUGGAAAUGAUAAGAAGAUAGUAUAAGUAUGUAAAUAAUGUAGAGCUAUGCACAAGCAUAAUGAGAAUUUGUAUGAAUUAUGAAGAUUAUUCUAUUGAAUCCUGGUUAUGGAUGGGAAUGAACAGAGAGAAAUUAGUCUGAAGGCAUUUGAAAACAAAGACCUGUAUACAUAAUAAGGAAUAUGGACAUUUGAAUGUGCGUGUAUACGUAUGUGUGGAGUUAGUGAUGUACCCAAUUGAAAUGAAGAAUGGUUUUAGUGGUUCGAGAUUUGAACUCAAUAUAUUUGAUGAGUUGUAUAGAUAAUGUAACAAUAAAGAAUCUUAUCAGAAGUCGAUUUAUGGCGACCUAAGGAAUUUUGGGGAAAUAGUUAAGGAAAUGUAAUCUAUAGUGCGAUUAAGCCAUAUGAGAUGGAUUAAUAGGAUUAAGAAGAUUGAAAUUUCCUAAAUGCGAGGUAAACAUGAAGUAUGUGAAAAUAAUUGAAGCCAUUAAUCUUCCCUAACAUUGAGGAUAUAUACAGGAAUGAGUAUGGCAUGUUAAUGAUGCCGUAAACUACACAAUAGUGUAUAAGGAUAGGAUGAAUGAAUGAAAGUCGAGAAGUUCGAUAUGGAAUGAUGUAAUAAGAUAGUGAUUGGUAUACCUAAAUAAGUAUAAAAUGCGAUCGAAAUUAGUAUGAUUGAGAUAAAGUUAUGAUUCAAGUUUAAUGAUAGUAAUAGAAGCAUGCUUGGUGUCUCGAUAUAAGAUAUCAUAAUUGUGAAGGUUACUGUUGAUCUAAUUUUAAAGGAUAAUAAUAGACAUAAGUGAAGUACUCGAGUUGAAUUGGAGGUAAAUGAGGUGAACAAAUCAAAAUUCCCUAUAAAGGGGAGGACAUAAGAAGUCGAGCAUUAGAGGAGAAAACAAUACCCUCACAUUUUCUCUAAGUUCAGUAAAUGAAAUUUUGAGGUCAAAAUUUUAUUUUAAGGGGGGUAGUGCUGUCAAGCUUGACUCUAAAAUAUGUUUAUUAUGCCAUUCCUACAUAAGAAUGAAUGUUUGCUUACUUAGGUACCUCGAAAAUUGUUAAAGGACGGUAAUGUACCAAAUGGUACAAUUAAGUUGAAUUAAGCCUCGAACUAGUCCAAGUAAAGAUUUUAAGAUGAAAUUGAGAAUUUUAAAACCCCAGAAUGACUUAAAAUGGUGAUUCGAAGUUCGAGGACCGAUUUGGAGUCAAAUUGAAAUUUUCAUGACCUAGGGGCAAAAUGGUCAUUUUGCCCCCCGAGGUUAAAAUUGGAAUGUUGAAUGAAGUUUUUGAUCAAGAUUGACUAUCUAGAACAUAAUUUGAGUUUGAGAAGUGAAAAAUUUUAAUUUUGACAUUUUUUCGAGCAUAAGGGUAAAAUGGUCAUUUUGCCGUCCAUGGGCAAAAUUAUAAUUUUACACCACCCAACACUUGUCCAGCACAUGAAUUUUAGCCAAUAUUAUCAUGGAUAAUUGAGGAAAUUUAAAUGGUGGAGAGAGAUUGCUUAAUGGGUAAAUAUGACACAUGGACCAAUGGAAUGGUGACACAUGGCAAAUUUUUGUCCAUUUAAUAUUUUCCUUUAUAAAGCCAAUUUGAACUCUUCCACAUUCAUUCUUAUGGCCGGCCAAAGCAAGAAUAAAGGAAGAAAAGAAAGAACAAAAACCCUAGAGUGAAAAUUCAAGAGAAAAUUGGUGGAUUUCAAGUAAUCAAGCAAUCAAAGGUAAAAUUUCUUAAUUUUGACUUGUGAUCUACCUUUCCCAUACAUUCUUUUGCAUUUUCCAUGGUUGAAUCACAUGAUUUCAUGAUGGGUCUCUUGCUGGCCGAACACUUAGAGAGAGAGAUUUUGAUGGUUGUUUUGGUUAAAUUUAAAGAUAUUCUAGUGUUUUUAGUUGAUUGGUGAUGUGUAGUAUGAAAAUCAAGCAAGAAAAAUUCAUGUUCUUCCAUAACCCGUCAUUGGCCGAAUUCUCCAUGUGGAAUAUUGAUGAUGAUUUUGAUUUUAUUUCAAGUGAUUUGAUUAGGAAUUAAUGAUUUAUGGUGUGAGAAUCAAGCUUGAAAAAUUAUAUUGUUAGUGAACCCUCCAUGGCCGAAUUUCCAAGAGAAAAUGUGAGGAUGAUUUUGCCAUAUUUCAAGUUAUUUAAUUUGUGUUUGAUGAUUUGGAGUGUUGGGAGAAAAAUGAAAUUAUUUGGAGUUAAAUUGGAUAUAUUGGCCAAUUAAUCGGUUGAUAGAUCAAAUUAGGCCAAUACCAUUUUAUUUAGGUACAUAAUUGAAUUUAUAUUGAACACCGUAUUUAGAUAGUUACCAGAGUAUUUCACAUCCCAUUUCAUGCAUUAGUAUAAAGCCUGAAUUGGAUUUACAAUGGUUUAGCACAAAUGUAGUAAAUGGUUUAUUGCGCAUUAUGUCUAGGUGGUGAGCUUUCUGGCAAAAAUAAAGAGAUAGUACCUGAGGAUCAAUAAUCGGAGUACUCAGAAUUCGACUCCCGAAAUAAUGAGUAACCUUACUAUCGUCUUAAUUAUCUAAAGUAGUUUUUAUUCGUUUUUGUGAAUUGAUAGAAAAAUGAGUUUAAAUGGUAAAUCUUUAUGUUUUAUAAGCAAAAUGUGAUUAAAUGAAAUGAUUUUAUAAAAUUAUCUUGAAAUUGAAAGAUGGUUUUGAAAAUGGAGUAAUUAGAGACUAAUUGCUGUGUUAUAAAUCAUGGUUUGAAUUGAAUGGCUUAUGAUAAUAUUGGCCUGAAUGGUUGAAUUGGUAAAUGUGCUAAAAAUGUAUGAACUGUUCAUUUGCCUUGAGAGGCUGUAAAAUAAAAUAAUUGCCAUGUCAUGCUAUCUCAAAUUUUAUUGUAUGGUGGGUUUAGCUUGCUGCAGUGGACGGGUUCUAUGGACCAGCCUUUUUGAGGGGCACAGAAUCCUGUUAUAUAUAUCUUACCUCAAUUAGGGAGGUGCGUAGGGUAACUCCCGAGGUACAACUUUAGAGUUCACUUCACGCCAAACCACCACGUGAGGUGAACUCAGCCAACGCCAAGGAACGGCUAUGUUUUUUUUAAAAAAAACAUGAUUUAUGCGUACAUGACUUUUUAAUAGCCUUGGCGGACUCGGUUGGGAUAGCCCUAGGCCAAGGUAUCCCUGAUAAUUGAGUAUGAGAAUGAUUUUGGCACGAGCCAAACUUUUCAGGAAAUCAUAAGCCUCGUUGUUUAUUUUGAGUGAAAUGAAUCUAUUUUAUCUUAUUAAAUUGAGUUCGAAAUGAUGUGAAUCAUUUUUAUGUUAAACUAUUUUAUCUGUCUCCAUUUACUCAGCUUUAGAUAUUUUAGAUGGUAUUUGUUUACUCACUGAGAUUAUAUAAUCUCAUCACCCUCCUUUCCACCCAUUUCAAGCUCAAGAUAGUCAGUAGAUAUCUCAUUUCGUUGAGGGCUACAGUUGGACCUGCAUCCUCAAAAACUGUAGGUUUACCGCUUUUGAUACUUUUGGUCGUUCGUGGGCUCACGUAUCACUGUAAAUUAAAUCUUAUGCUUUGGUUAUCUGUAUUACAGUAUGUAUGAAUUUAUUUAGCUUUUAUGCUACAAAAAUUAUUUACCAGUAACUCUCUAAAUAUUGUUUUAUAAAAAAAUAGAAUAUUUUAUUAAAUAUUUUUAUUAUAUUCAAAUAGUUAUAGUUUCGCUUUAAAUGAGUGUUUUAGACAUCUAAACUUAUUUUUUAUUAUGAAAUAUGUGUUUUCCACUCGCAUACUACAUUUUUAGCUGGUUUCGAGAUUUUUAAGGACAAAUGACCAAAAUGCCCCUGCGAGAAAAAAAUUAUUUUUCUAUUGUUUUGAUUUGGAAAUAGUUUAAUAGUCUCUCAAAACAUGAUACGUAACAACUGUUGCUCAUAGGGGAGGUGUGAAAACUGAUAUUAAAGCCUUGCGAGGUUCCGGUUGGCAUUCCAAGCAAUGAAUGUCUAUCGAGACGUCAUGACGGUUGUCACGGGCUCGAGGGGAGUACCGGGUCGUGACACUAUCAAUGGUGGAGAAUAUAAAAAAUUAACCUUUUACCUUGGAGCUUAUGGUAUUUCUCAUCUUACCACUAUACCUCGCACACUAGAGCAUAAUGGAACUAUGAAGUGAAGACAUUGGCACAUUGCUGAAACCAGCCUGACAUUCUUACAUCAAGCUUCAAUGCCAUUGUCUUUUUAGAAUCAUCUAUUUCAAACUGUUGUUUAUUUAAAAAAUCUAAUUUCUAUACCAAUUAUAGAAAACAAAUCUCUUUUUGAAAGUUUGUUUAUGAAAGUUUGUUUAAUUCUUAACCAAAUUAUAUCAAGCAUGGAGUUUUUGGUUGCCUUUGUUACCCUUAGAUUAAACCAUACAAUAACCAUAAACUCUAACCAAAAUCUAAACAAUGUGUCUUUUUGGUUACUCUAUCACACAAAGUGCUUACAAGUGUUAUGAUCUAAAACUAAAAAAAAUUUUAUUUCUUGGCAUUUUCAAUUUCAAGAAUCAAUUUUUCCUUUUUCUUCAAUCCAUCAAAAUAAUAUUUUAAGCCCUUUUUUACAAAAAUAUACUUUACCUUCUAGUUUAUUUCAAGCACUUGAAUUUCAUGGCUCAAUACUUGUAAACCUAGAAAAUGGGACAAGUGUUUCUUCAACUCAACAAUUUGAUACUCAGAUUAUUAAUCCAACUUCUGUUGUCUUAAAUUCUUCUUCGGGAAAUGAUCUUGGAAUGAAUUUUGCUCGAGACAUGGUUUACCCUUCUGAUGCACAACCACAUUAACCUGUGAUAAGAACACAUCCAAUGACCACACGAUCCCAGAACAAUAUUUUUUAAGCCUAAAAAAGCCUUUGACACCACUAAACAUCUCUUACCUCUUUCACAUGAAUCUACUUGUGUUUGUUAAGUUGUAACUGAUCGCAAUUGGAGGAAUGUUGUGACAAAAGAGCUUAAUGCUCUAGUCAGAAACCAUACAUGGGAGCUUGUUCCAUCCAACAAAUGGAUUUUUUGGAUCAAAAGAAAAUUAGAUGUCACCAUUGAAAAAUAUAAAGCUAAAUUAGUUGUCAAGGGAUUCCAUCAAUGAGCAGGAAUUGAUUAUAAGGACACGUUUAGUCCUGUCAUAAAACCAACUAUAAUCAGAGUAGUGCUUUGCAUUACGUUAGCUCAUCGCUGGCCUAUUCAACAAUUGCAUGUUAAUAAUGCCUUUUGUAGUACCCCGUAUUUUGAUACGGUGGCUAAUAAAGUUUACAAAUGCCAAUUGAGGUUAAUUAUUGAGUUAAAAAGGAUAAUUCAGAAGUGAACCUGUGAAAUCUCGAUCUCCAUAGACACAUAACUAGAAGUAGACGCAAAGAUGCGAACCAUGGGUAAUUUCGUAAUUUCACUUUGUGAGCUCUUACGAGUGGGUUUUUGUUUUAUGCUAUUAGGGUCUAAAUAGGCCUAAAGAAUGAAUGAAUGAUGUUUAUGAUGGUAAAAUAAGUGAAGAAGAUAAAAAUAAUGAUAAUUUCCACGGUAGGAGCAAAAUGGUCAUUUUUCAUCUCGGAUCAAAAUUUUUACGUUUUCAUGAACUCGAGUAUUUUUAGACUAUUAUGGACUUUGUUUUGGUGUCAAAAGAGUAAAAAGGUUGCACAAAGGAUGGGAGGAAGACAAAGCCACCAUGUUAAGGGCAUUUUGAUAAUUUCAAUGGAAAUUUGGAUUAACUUGAAGCAUAAAUAUCUAAGCUUCAGCAACUUCCAACAGUUUCUCCUUCUUCAUCCCAGCCCUUCUCUUCAUUUCACGUUUUCUUCAUUCUCCAUGGGAGGAAAACCUUGAAUCCUCCAUAAAUCUCUCAUCGAAAGUCCAAAUUUCAUGCUUUUGACCACUCAUUCAUAGGGUUUUUCAUGCUCUUCCACUUUUACACCUCAAUGGCUUUCAAAAGUCUUUGUUCAUCACUUUCUCUCACUAGUUGGAAGUUUUAGAGAGAGAAAGAGAGACUUGCCAUAGUAGCUUGAAAACUCUUGAAAAGGAGUUCAACUAAAAGUCCACCAAGGUGAGUAAUGAAUUAGAUUUAAUUUUCAAGUUGUUGAUAAUGGUUGAUGAUUAGAUUGGCGAGUUAAUCUAUUGUUGAGAUUGUUAAUCAUUUUUAGAGUGACUAGAGUAGAGUAAACAAAUAGCCACUUAAUGGUAAUUGGGAGCCAGUUACGAAUAACUAGCUGAACUUGAAUUAGGAAAUAGCUUUUGAGAGUGUAUUAAUGCCAAUUUGGGUUAGUUGUGAUGUUGUGUGUGUAUAGGUUCCAACAAGGCCUCACAUGUCCAUUUGGAGUAUUAGUUAAGGUUAAAGUCAUGCAAAAGAAUCAACAAAACCGGUGAGUGAACUUGCAUUUCAAAAUUGUUUUGGGAAAAAUAAUUAUAUUUUUACGAAACAUUUGAAUGAUUUAUUCCAACUUUUUUUUAAAAAUGUGUGCCGGAGAACAAGCCCUUGAUAAAAUGUUUUGAUGUUGUGAAAAUGUGAAAUGUGUAAAAGAACGAACCUAUGUGCUCUUAUAUUAUGUUGGUAUAUACAUAUAUAUCUGAAUAUAUGUUGUGCAUUGAUGAAUAAUGUUGUGUAAUGAUAUUGACCCGGCUAUGUGUGAGUAGGAGUGCGCAUAAGCCGAUGAUAACUCGGCUAUGUGAGAGUGAGAGUCCGCAUAAGCCGAUGAUGACCUGGCUAUGUGCGAGUAGGAGUACGCAUAAGCCGAUGAUGACCUAGCCAUGUGCUAGUGGGGAGUGCAUAUGAGCUGAUGAUGAUAGGAGGGUGUGCAUGAUGAUGGAUAUAUAUAUAUAUAUAUACAUACACAGAUAUGUGUGUUAUAGAAAGUUUAUGAAAAUAAUUGUGAUUGUGUUGUGUGUUGGCCUUGUUAAUUGCUCCCAAAAUUACUUUUCAUUUCAACAAGAAAAGGGCUUUUGAUUUAACAAGACCCUUUUCACUCAAAAUGCUCUGUUUCUCGCUGCAGCGAGAUUCAUUUUCGCUGCAGCGAGAAACUCUCGGGUUUUGGGGGUCACACUGGCCUGAUUCUCGCUGCAGCGAGAAUAAAUCUCGCUGCAAUGAGAAACUCUCAGGUUUUGGUGCAGUGCUUUUCACUUCGAUGAAGAUUUUGACCACCUUCCCUUCUGAACUGGGAAAAGUGGUAAACAUAAGCAUUGUAUCCCUGCCUCUUAGCUUUCUAAUGGUUCAAAAAUCAGGUCAUUGGACUUCUGUAGUGGGAGAUAUAAUAGAAAAACUGAAUAUAUGCAAACUAAGACUGUUUCUCGCUGCAACGAGAAACUUGUUGCCAUGUUUGCUACCUUCCUUGAUUUUGACAUAUUUUUCACCCAUUUAACUUUACGGAUUGAUCAUGGGUUCUUGUAACACUUUGGGGUUAUUAAUCAAGGUUGAAAUGAGGGGUUUUUAGUAAGAAAUUAAAUCAAUUGCAUUGUUUUUGAAACAAGUGCAUCAUGAUUUUCAAAUUCUUUUUAUCGAUUGCUUGUUCCCUUCUUAUGUUAACUCACUGAGUUUUAUACUCACGUUUUUAAACUUCAUGUUUUCAGAUUUGGAGGCAAUUGGGACCUAGAUUGAGUUGUCCACGUAUGCUCGCCUUUUUGGUAGGUACUAUGGCAUCUCAAUAGCUGUACCUUCACCCACGGUCACUCCGUUGACGGUCAAGAUUCUUAUGGUUGUGAACAUGUAUAAGUAAUGAAGACCACUAAAAUUCAUGUUAAAAAAUCAAAUAUGUAUAUUUGAUUACUGAAGUGAUUGUAAGGUGGCAAAUGAGUGAUACUAUGUUAGUAUAAUACAAUUGUGAGAAUUAGGUUACUAUAAAAUGUUAUUGAAAUAUUUUUAGUUGAGGAUUACAAUAUGAGUUUGAGAAAUGAUGGCUUGGAAUGAUGAUUGGGAUUGCAUAAAUAGGCUUGCUUGGGCUUAGUGGGCUAUGCCCAUUGAGCCCAUGCGUUGGUCAUAACCUGAAAUUUUGGGCUGUGACACCUUUCUUCAAAGGACAUUCACUGAUGAGGUUUACAUGGCAUAACCUACAAGCUUUAUUGACAAGGAUAAUCCUUCUCAUGUUUGUAAGUUGAAAAAGGCUAUUUAUGGCCUUAAACAAGCUCCUCCGACUUGGUAUAAGGAGCUAAGUUCAUCUUUAGUUAGCUAUGGCUUCCAAAAUUUUACUCUAGAUGCCUUAUUUUUUAUCAAUGCCAAGGAUUCUAUUUUGAUUUAUUUCUUGGUUUAUGUUGAUGACUUACUAGUCACAUGGAACAAUUCUGUCACUAUGUUUGCUUUUCUCACUAGUAGAUUCUCUCUCAAAGAUCUUGGCAGACUUAAUGUCUUCUUGGUUGUUGAAGUGAUUUCUACAUCCAAUGGCAUGUUCUUGUCUCAACAUAAAUAUAUACAUGACAUUCUUCAUUCAUUUGAUAUGGCCACUGCGAAGGAAGUCAUAACACUUAUGGCAACUAAUGUUAAGUUAUGGUUAAAAGAUGGAUCUAGUGUAGUUAAUGAUUAUAAAAGGUUAAUUGAGUCCUUACAACAUCUUUCUAUCACUAGACUUGAUGUUGCUCAUGCUAUCAAUAAAUUAUCCUAGUUUAUGCACUCACCAAUUCAAAUUCAUUGGUCUAGUCUCAAGCGAGUUCUACAGUACUUAAAAGGCACUAUUUACCAUAGGUUAUUCUUGAGGAAACACUAUUUAAUGCAAAUUUCAACUUUUAAUGAUUCAAAUUGUGUAGGCAACUUAAAUGAUAGAUCAUUAACCAUUAUGUAUGUCAUUGAUCUUGGCAGCCACCUUAUUUUUUGGAAAUCUUCCAAACAACGAUCAGUUGCAAGAUCAUCAAUCGAGGCUGAAUACAGAGCAAUUGCCAAUACUACAGCAGUACUUCGAUGGAUCAAAAAUCUUUUUGUUAAGUUGCAUUUCUCAUCUUCUUAAACUCCAGUUCUGCAUUGUGACAAUGGUAGAGCAAUAUAUUUGAGUGCUAAUAUAGUAUUUCAUGCAAGAAUAAAUGACUUAGCACUUGACUAUCAUUUUAUUCAUCAAAAUGUUCCAUCUUGACAACUUGGCAGCCACCUUAUUUUUUGGAAAUCUUCCAAACAACGAUCAGUUGCAAGAUCAUCCAUCGAGGCUGAAUACAGAGCAAUUGCCAAUACUACAGCAGUACUUCGAUGGAUCAAAAAUCUUCUUGUUGAGUUGCAUUUCUCAUAUUUUCAAACUCCAGUUCUGCAUUGUGACAAUGUUAGAGCACCAUAUUUGAGUGCCAAUCCAAAAUUUCAUUCAACAAUAAAACACUUAGAACUUGACUAUCACUUUGUUCGUCAAAAUGUUCCAUCUGGACAACUCAACAUUUUUUACAUUUCAAUUGCUGAUCAACUUGCAGAUGGUUUCAUUAAGCUUUUAGCUUGAUCAAUAUUUUUAUUUCUUUAAUCCAAGAUAGGUGUCAUUAAUGGCUCCACCAUCUUGUAGGGGCAUGUAUGGAACAUUACCAAGUUAGCAACAAACUCUAAGUCAGCAACAGAAGUUAACUCCAAGUCAUUACCAACCUUUACAGAUUCUUUCCAUAUUACUAAAUCAACUUGAGUCACUAACUCAACCGAUACAAUUUUAUUCAAAUUGUAACAACAAUUUAAAUUUGUAUUUAAAUUAUAACAAUGUUUUGAACUUGUAUUUUGAAUAACUUGUACUUGUGUAUAUAUAUACACUUACGAAAAAUUAAUGAAGAUAGGUUGAUUUAAUAUCAAUGUCUGUCAAUAUUUAUAACUGCAUGAUGAAAGCGACCAAGAUUGUGUAAAGAUUAUGAAGAUUCAUGUAAAACUCUACCAGAGAAAACCAUAAAGCUUAUCAUUGUUGAUGUCAUUUUAGAGCCUGAUGGCAAUGGCAUAUUUGAUGACACAAGCAUGGUUUAUGAUGUAGUUAUGCUUGCACGCCCCUCUGGAAAGGAAAGGACUGAUCUUGAACAGAAGGAGAUAUUAGAGGAAGCAGGCUUUGCUUGGUACAAAAUCAUUAAAAUUCCAAGCUUGCAAUCCUUUCUUGAGGCUUAUCAAGAUUACUUAAUAUUUUUGAAUUAAAUAAAUUCUUUGUUAAACUUUAUUUGCUCCAAAGUUCUCAUAUUUUAUAUCAUUUUCUAUACAAAUAUUUUUUUGAAAUGAGAUGUUAAUGAUUGACUUAGUACAAUGAAAAUUUGAUUUGUUUUUAUUGUUUUAGAAAUAGUAAUGGUCACGUCUAUAUCAUGGAAGGACCUUCAUACAUCAAUGGGAGAAUGAGGAAGGCUUUAGUCGGUUAUUUAAAGGCUCUUAUAAAAGAAGAGUUGCAUUUUUUUUUGAAAGUGAUGUUUAUAUUAAUCAUCUUUACCAUUAUGUCAUUGUCAAGUUUUUCGCAUAAUCUGCAAAAGACUUUUUAUGACAUAGUAAGAUAAUAAGGGCUUUGAGAACCUAUACAAUUACAAAAGAAUGUUGCCACAAAAACUGAAGGCAACUCUAGUCAUCACUAACCUACACACUAGUAAUAUAGCAUCCUUAAAACAAAAAAUGGUCUUCCUAGUGAAUCAUCUACCCAUCCCCACCUGAGGAUUUGAUCACAAAAAUAAAAUAUCAAAGAAAAAUAGUCCGUUGCACACUGAGCCAUCAAGAAUGCCCGAAAGAGCCCAAGAUCCCCAUCCUAGGUAAACAAAUCCAAUCAUGUGGAUAACCCACUGAUAGCUAGUACAAUCAUUUUUUGUUUCACUUUUUAGGACAACAGCUAGUAUGAUGAUUAAAAAUGAUAUAAAAAUUCAAUUUUUAAUAAAAAAAAUAAAAUUCUAAUUAAAUUCAAUGUCGUUUAGAUUUUAAAUAUUGAUAAAGCAAUAAAGAUCAAAUGAAAAUAUCUAAAAAUAAUAAUAAUUAGUGUACAAAGAAUGUACAUUAUUCAAUAUCUUUAUUAUUACAGGCAAAAUCUUAUUAAGCUCAUCGUAUCCAAUAACCAUAUGUACAAUUAAGCUCAAAAUACCCUUAUACGUAUACGCUCCAAUCAAAAUCACAAAAAUUUUCUUCUUACUAUAAAUCAACUAGUUAAAAUUUAAAAGCUCCCAAAAUGUUUUUGUACAUCCUUUAAUGUUCCAAAACCUAAUUAAUUAAGAAACUAAAAUUAAAAACAAAAAGGUUGAAGGCCGUUUGUAAUUCAAAAUAAUUUAAUGAAGGAAAACUUUUUAUGUUUAAAACAUUUUAUAGAAAAAUUUAAUAUUUUUUAUUAUUUGAAUAAAUUAUCAACAUUUAAUAAAUUAUGAUAGAAGAUUGAAUAUAAUAAAAUAUUUUUGACAAUUUUUUCAAAUAAUAAAAAAAAUUAAAAUUUUCUAUAAAAUGUUUUAUAUGUAAAAAGUUUUCCUUCAUCAAUUAUGCUAGAUGUCAUGGACGACGCCCUUUCACUUAAGUAUGCGAUAGUCCAUGCGGCGUUCAAGUGGACGUUUCCACAAACCAACCAAUAACUCGAUUAUAUAUGAGCAAACAUCAAUAAUAGCCACUAGUUAGUUUAUGCAAAAGCAAUACCAAAAUCAUAGGGCAUAAAGAAUGUCAUAUACGCAACCACUGAUCCAUAUAAAGUAUGUUUUAUUAAUAUUGAAAGUAUAUUUAAAGGGACUAAGAGUACUAACGUGCCAUUGAAGGUCCAUAAGGGCAGCCCUAGAUGGUUAGCUACAAACAUACCUUUACCAGUGAAACAAGCCAACAAUCUGCUGAUUGCUUACCCCAUAUAAAGAUCUAACAAGCUUUUACAUGUAUAUCUCCAAAAACAGUUACAAUGUGUGAAAUAGAGACAUUCUUUCCCUAAAAGGUUUUCCCUAGAAAACUUAACAAGCAUUUCUAAAUAUGCCACCAAAUGCCAUUACAAUGUUUGAAAAGGGGGACAUUUUCGUUAAGGGUACAAAAAACUUAGUCUUCUAGACAGUUCUACCUUGUCAUGGCAUUAUACAAGGUUGACUCAUGACUGUUGGUCCCAAAGAGUGUGAUGGAGGGAGGUGAAUAGCACUUUUGGAAUGACACAAAAAUUCUUUCCAAGUAAAGAACUGAUUAAAGGAAUUUGAAAAUGGAAGUUUAAAGCUUGCUGGAGGAAUGAUUUAAGUGUUAAGAGCAAGAAAAAAAUAAAAAAAGUAGACAAAACACAAUGAUUUAUAGUGGUUCGGUCCCAUUGGCCUACAUCCACUACCUUAAUCUCCCAAUCAAGGAUUUUCAAACUAAUUCACUAUAAUUAGUGAAAUUCCCAAGUUGCCAUCAAGUUUUUGCAAUGGUUUUUCACAGGCUCAGCCAUAACCUUUAACAAUGGUUUUUCACGAAAUCAACCAAAGCCCAAAACUAACUUUUCUAAGGCUAAGUUAUAACCUAUAACAACACCCAAGUUAACCUUAAGCUUGAUCUACCCCUUAGAGUGUCUCUCACACUUUGAAUAAAUAAGAAAUAGAGAAAAGAUGAAGUACAAUUGAUUACUUAUCUAAUCUAAGAUGCACAAAGUUAAGCUUAAACACUUUUUAAAAGGAGGGGAGUGAAAUACAAGUGUAAAAGAGAAGGUUUUUGGUAUUCUAAGUUCAAAAUCACUUUGGAUAACUUCUUUAUAUGAUUUUUGACUGUUAGAGAGGCUUUAAAUACUUGAAAAAUCACUUCUAGCCAUUGGAGACAAAAACUAGCCAUUUCUAGCUGUUAUUUUGUCCUUUUCCACUUAAAUUCAAAUUUUCUGACAGUGAGCUUCUAACUAGUUAACCAUACUUCUUAGUCGAUUAAGUCUUCUUUGUCUCGCAGUUUGCUUUACUCUGUUAAUCAAUUAACGGCAGCUUUAACUGAUUAAUAACUUGCUAUUUCCAAGCAUUAUUUUUGGCUAGCCUUCUUUCAACAGAUUAAUACUCCCUUUAACUGAUUGAAGCUUCUCUCCAUUCAUCGUUAAUUGAUUGAAAUGGACUCCAACCAAUUAAGAAUUCUUCAACUUGAAAUCACUUUGUUUGGUGUCUUGGACGGUUAUCAAUAUUUUGAAUUUGAAUUUUGGCGCUUCUUGACACUUUAUCUUUGACCUUUAACCAGUUAACUCAUUUUCCUUAAUCGAUUAAAAGGCUUUUGUUUUACAUCUACCACCCAUUUAACUGAUUAAACCUUGUUUUAACUAGUUAAGACCUUUCUGUCUGUCCUAGUGUAGCACCUAGAAUUAUUUUAAUUGAUUAAAGAUUUGUGUUAUUAGUUAAGACUAAUCUGUCUUCAUAAAAACUCUUUCUUCUUUGCUUGUUUAACCAACUAACCCAUCUUGCAACUGAACAAGCAUCUUGACUUGCUUUCAAAUACUAAAUGUAUUAAUGAAUUUAUGCUUUCUCCUACACACUUAAAUAAUAUAAUUAGACAUCAAUAAAUGGGAAUGUUUUGUUAUCAUAAAAAACACAUAGAGUCAACAUUCUUUCUUUCUUAUUUUUGAUGAUGACAAAACACUCUUAGGUUAAGAGUGCAAUGCCUAUGUUCAAUAUGAAUGCUUCAAAUCUUUAUGCAUAAUAAGUUGCUCCCCUUAGUUAAUUCAUUUAAUUUUUUUAAAGAUUUGCAAUAAAAUAUUUAUAAUAUCCACAAUAGCUAAACAAAAUAUAUAAUAUCUACAGUAGCUAAGCAAGAUAUAUUGAAUAUCCAUAAUAACUAGAACAUAGUAUUCAAUAAAACCACAAAAAUUAAAUAUAAAGACCUAUUAAACUCUAUUUAACUUAGACUUCUUUCUCAUUUUUUUUGUCAUUUUAAAAAAGAUAUUCGAAACUCCCUUUUAAUGAAUACAUCUAGAUUUUCCUUUAAUCUUUAAAUCAGACUUUAAUGAAUGAGAAUCGUAAGCACUCAUAAACCUAAGUCAUACAAGCUUAUAGAUAUAGUUCAAUAACUUCAAGAGUCAAGCUUGUAACUAUGUAAGAAUAAAUGUAUAAGAGUUAAACCAUUUCAAGAACUUGUCAAGGAUCACUCAAACAAUGUUCAAGCAAAUUUGAUCAUUUUGUCAUAAUCAAAACUAUAAUAAUUUUAAAACUAACAAUGCCAUCCUCCCUCUACUCAACCUGUUGAUGUCUUCAUUGAUUGAUUGGCUUAGAACUUUUCAAUCUUUUGUUGGAAGGUGCAAAGGUCGACUUCCUUCUCUUAGGUCAUUUCAUUUGUCCUUAGACCUUUCUAUUUCACCAAGUACUCUUGUGUUGGUCAUUAGUUGAAUAUGGUAAUUCUAUAUGCAAGAAUCUCCUCUACUUAGCAUUACGAUGGUGGCUUGUUAUUGAUGGUGGCUUUCGUGCAUUGACUCUUGCUUGUAUCUGCUGGAUUUGCAUCGAAUGGCUUUAGGUUGUUAACGUGAAACACUGGAUGCACCUUCAUCCACUUGAGUGGAUUUUCUUCUAAAAGGUCUUCCCCACUUUAAUCGCAAUUGGUAUCAGACUUUUAGAAUUUUGCACUAUUUGUUGAUCUUUUUUCUUAACAAUUUGAGUUGUUCGGCUACCAAUUUCACUAACACAAGGUUCUUUACCUCAAAGUGUUUCUCUUUUCGACCUUUGUCUACCCAUUUCUUCAUGCAGCUAGAGGCUUUCUCUAGAUAGGCUCAAACGAUCUUUGUGUUCUAUCUCUACUCCUUAGUAAGUUAAAAGCUUGAGCGCUCAUCACAUUAUAGGAUUCCACCGAGGUGUAGGGAAAUCUAGGUUGUUGCCUAGUGACAACUUUGAAAAGGGUUUUGUUUGUGGUGGAGCUUUUUUGCGAAUUGAAACAUAAUUGAGCCACUUAUAGCAGAUUAGGCCAAUUCUUAUGGUUUACCUAUACAAAGUGUCAUAGAUAUUCCUUUAGCAGUCUAUUGAAGCAUUCAGUUUGGCUAUCUAUUUAUGGAUGAUAACUAAAGGAGAUGUUGAGUUUAAACCUAAUAACUUGGAAAGCUAUUUUCAAAAGAAACCAGCAAACCUUGGAUCCCUUUCAUUGAUAAUACUUUUAAGAAUGCCCAAUAUUUUACCACAUGUUUGAAAACUAUACGAGCUGUUUCUUUUACAAAGCUAAACUUCUGUACCAGGAUAAAUGUAUCAUAUUUUGAAAAAUGGUCCGUUACCAUUAAAAUCAUUAUCAUAUCUCCCAUUUUCGAAAGUCAAGAAAAAUGCUUUCCCACGAAUUGGUCGAUAUUGGUAAAGGCUCGAGCAUCCUUGUCAGCUUUUGUCUCUCCACUUUGUCCUGUUGGCAAAUAAAACACGUCUUGGUGUAAUUCAUCACAUCUUGCCACAUAUGGGGCCAAUAGUAACCUUGUUUCAGUAAUGUCACAAUGCGCUACCAACCUUGAUGUCUUACCCAUAGAAUGUUACGACAUUCUCACACCAACUUUUGUCUCAGCUUUCUAACUCUUGAAGCAAAUAUCCAUGGCCCUUUUGUUAGUAAGAGUCCAUUUUUCACCCAAAAAUACUUGGACUUCCCACUUUCCAUUAAUUACAAAAUUGCAAUGGCCUGGGGAUCUCAUUUCAAGUUUUCUUUAAUAAGGUUACGAAUGUACGUAGUUACUUUGCUUCAACUUUGUGAAUGUUCAUAGAGCUACAAAUUCAACCUUUUUACUGAAGGCGUCUACCACUUAGUUAGCCUUUCAAGAUUUAUGCUUGAAGUAGAAAUCAAACUCAGCUAAAAACUCUUUCCAUUUCACUUGUUUGGUUGUAAGUUUCGACUAAGUAAGAAAAUGACUGACUACAGUGUUGUCUGUCUUAACCACGAAUUGUGACCCUAAUAAGUGGUGUUGCCACACCUACAAGCAAUGAAUUACUGUUAAGAGCCCUUUUUUUUGCGCUCUACAUCUUUUAUCAGCUUCUUUUAGUUUUUGAUUUUCAAAUGUGACUUGAUGCCCUUUUUGAAGUAAUACACCUUUAAGAGCAAUGUUUGAUGCAUCUGUUAUACUUCAAAAGGUUUUUCAAUAUCUAGGAGUGCCAGGAUAGGGUCUAUCAUCAUCCCUUCCUUCAAGUCUUCGAAAGCUUUUUGGCAUUGAGGUGUCUAGUCUCACAUCUAUCCCUUUUUAAAUAGUUCUAUAAGUACCGUUGUCCAUUUAGAAUAUCCUUCCACAAAUCUUCGAUAGUAGUUGUCUAGCUCUAAGAAUAAGUGAAGUUCAGUCGUAUUCUUAGGAGUUACCCACUUUUUUAUGGCCUUCACUUUUUAUGUAUCCAUCCUAAUAUGACCCUGCUCAAUUAUAUGGCCUAGAAAUUGAAUUCGGGAUUAAGCAAACAUGCAUUUGUCUCACUUCACGUACAACUAGUUGUCUCACAACUUUUGGCAAACUUGUUGUCACGACCCAAAUUCUAGGCCAUGACCGGCGCAUGGGCUCAAUGAACAUAGCCCACUAAGCCCAAGCAAGCCUAUUUACAUGAUCUGUUCAUUACUCCAUCAAAAUUACUGAAGUCAUAUUUCAUAACUUUGGAUCAAAAUAAUACUAAACAUUGCCAACUCAUAGUGGCACAUUGAUACAUGUAUCUUAAUAAUUUACAUCAGGGUUGUUUAUACAUCUUAAAAAGAAGACUCGAUUUCUAGCGGAGUAACCAUAGCGAAGUUGCAGCUACUGAAUGCCAUUGAUACCUACCAAAAGAUGGAUACAAGUCUAGGAGGACACCUCGUCCUAGUUACAGGCUACCUCUUGAUCUGAAAACAUGAAGUUGAAAAUGGUGAGUAUAAACCCAGUGAGUGAACAAGAAAGGGAACAAGUAAACAUUAAGGAAUGUUUAACGAAAUCAUGAUGCAUUCAUUUUUCAAAAUAAUGAAAUUUGUUUUAGUUCUUAUUAAAACCCCUCAUGUAAACCCCACAUGAGUAAAUCACUUUAUGAAAAGGGUUCAUGCUCAACAAAGGAUUUGGAGAGUGAAAACUUAAAUAGCAUUCAUGCGAAUCAGGUCAAAUAAACGACGGGUCCUCGCUGCAGUAGUGAGAAUGAAUUUUUGCUACAGCGACACUUGACUUAAAUUAUCAACUAGCCGAGGGUUUCUUAACUGGCCGAAAGUUUCUCACCAAACGUCCUCAUUUUAAACUUAAUUCAUUUAUUCCUUAAUAUUGGAAGUCCGUGCUCGACUAUGGUAUCAAAGAAAUGGAAAAUAGGGUAGCAACCGAACCAAAUGAGGAGCAAAACAGAAAGGUUUUCGCUGCAGCAAAAUAUUUGGUAACAAAAUAGAAAGUUUCUUGUUGCAACCCAAGAUUUUAGGCCAACCUUACCCCUUCAACCCGAGAGUUUCUUGCUGUAGCGAGGAACAGAGCAGUGAGAAAAAAAUUUCCUUCCUUUCAAGAAAAAGCCAUUUUGCUAAAAUGACAAAAUCAACAUAAAACACAUAAAGAUUUCCAAAGUUCAACAUGCCAAAUUCAUAUGCAUUUCAACCAUAAACCAUAUACAUGAGUUUUCGUUCUCUAGACAUAUAUACAUAUACAUACAUGGAUAAAUACUAAUACCACUAUCAUCACAUCCAGCUCAUGUGCAUCUCUCCACAUCGUGCACAUAGCCAGAGUCAUUGUGUGCAUCCCCCCACAUCGUGCACAAUCAGUGCCAUCGUGUACAUCCCCCCACAUCGUGCACACGGGCACUAUCAUCAUCCAUCUCCCUCACCACCACCAUUACCAGUAUGUGCAUUCCCCCACAUUGUGCACACACACGGUUAUAAUCAUCACACAACAUCAACCAUCAUGCACAACAUAUAUAUAUAUAUAUACCAACAUAAUGUAAUAGUGCAUGAAUCCAUAACAACCGCAUGUCACAACAUAAAAUCAAUUUAUCAAAGGCUUGUUCCCAAGGCACUUGUUUUUAAUGAAAGUUGGAUAAAAUCAUUCAAGUAUAUUGUGCAAAUAAGUUUACAUUCCCAAAAUAAUUUUGAAAUGCAAGUCCACUCACCGGUAUUUGUUGAGCCUUUAACUGACUCUAACCUUCCUAAUGGUCCAAUUGGGGCUGUGGGACUUCGUUAGAACCUAUCAUCACAUUAGCAUCACCAAUAUGUCAAUUCACAUACUUAUAAAGUCCAAAAGCUUUCUCUUAGCUAACUUCCAAUAACCAUUUAAAUGGCUAUCUAUUCUCUCUACCCUUAUCACUUUAAAAUGAAUGAACAUCCCAACUACCAAUUCACCCCAAAAUCUAAACACUAAUCAUUCUCAACACCAAAACUCAAUUCUAGUGUACUACUCACCUUGGUAGCUUGUAUUUGAAAUUCUUUCCAAAACUUUCAAGCUAUUUUUGAAGCUUCCUCUUUCUCUCUCUAAAACACCUAACUAGUGUGAGAGAGUAUGAAAAUAAGAUUUUUCAAGGGUUUUAAGGAAAGAGAGUGGAAGAGCACAAGGGUUUAUGGAAAGGGUGCACCAAAAGCAUGAAAUUUGGAGCUAUUUGAGGAAGGUUGUGGAGCUUUCUUAUCAAGCUUUCAUGGAGGUUGGGAAGCAAUGUGAAAGAGAAGAAGAAGAAGAAAAAGAAAAGCUGCUGGAGAAUGUAAAAGCUACUAGAAGAAAGAGAUAUUUAUAUCCCAAGCUUAUCCACUCCACUAAAUUACCAAAAUGCCCUUCCACAAAUUAACUUAUUCUCCUCCAAUCUUCUAUGCAAUAUUUUUACUCUUUUGACACUAGGACAAGGUCCAUAAUGGUCUAGAAAUGCUCAGGUUCAUGAAAACUUAAAAAUUCUAACUCAAGGUGAAAAAUGACCAUUUUGCCCCUAUCGUGAAAAUCAUCAAAAUUUUUAUUUCUUUGUCAUUUUACUCAUAUUUUCAUCUUUCAUUUAUGCCUUAGGCCAUAAUAUUGUUUAAAAAUCUUACUUGUAUGAGUUUACUAAGGAAAUGACAAAAUUACCCCUGAUCAAGGAUAUCGCGUCUAUUACUAACUAUGAGCCUAUAAAAGUUCAAGGUCUCACACUUGUCAUAAGUGCCUUUGAUGUUUCUCUCAGGUUGAACUGUACACCACAAUAUUGCUCAGAUAGAUUACCAUGAAGUUGUCGAAAUAAUCAUGGAAAAUCAAAUUCAUCGAUGUGCCAAAGGUCACAGAAGCAUUGGUUAUCUAAAAGGCAUAACAAGAAAUUCAAAUGCACCAUAUCGCGUUACACAGGUGGUUUUUGGUUCAUCUUUAUUAGCGACUCUUACUUGAUGGUAUCUCGAUCUAAGAUCUAAUUUAGAGAAAUACUUCACACAACUCAGUUGGUUGAAAAGAUAUGCUAUAAGGGGAAUUGGAUAUUUAUUCCUUAUUGUGACUUCAUUCAAAGCCCGGUAAUCCACGUACAAUCGUAAACUUACAUCUUACUUCUUUUGGAAUAGUACCAAGGCCCCAAAACGUGCUUUUGAAGGCUAGAUGAAUCUUGCUUGGAUCAUCUUGUUUAAUUGUUUUCUUAACUCAGCUAGCUCGAGGAGUUAUUUUAUAUGGCCCUUUUACGGGUGGUUUGACUCUCGAGAGUAGUUCUAUCUCAUGAUCAACUGCUAGUCAAGGUGGUAAGACCUUAGGUAGCUGUUCUGGCAUCGUAUCCUUAAAUUCUUCCAAAACCAACUUUAUUUUAACGAGUAUUAAAUUUGUGCUAUCUCCGCCUCCAUAGAUGGGCAUGGCCACAUAAGAGGGUUCUUCCUUUUUAAUCCCUUCCUUGAAUUGGAUAGUUGAUAUGAUUCUCUUCCCACUAUUGGAUAAAUUUGUAGCUGGUGCCACGCAUGGUUGUUCUUUGAAAAACAUUAAGCAGCCACAGUAGGGAAUAAGAUGGCUCGUGUUCUCGUCAAGAAAUCCAAGCCAAGAACAAAAUUAAAGUAAUCUAUAAUUGCAACAGUCAUGCUCACCUUCCCUUCCCAAAAACUAAUCUUAAUCUCCAUAUCUUUGGAGUUCCCUAUAAUAGCUGAGGCUGGUGAGUUGAUUAUUUUUAUCUACCUGAAGUCUUUUUCAACCUUGAAAUCGUAUCUCUUUGCCUUCCAAGACUGAUAAAAGUAUCAAAAGCUCUCAUGUUUAGCAUGACUUUGGUUAGUUUGUCAUUCAACAACACAUCGACAUACAUAUGCCCUCGUUGGGGCUCAUUCUUCAUCUUUUCUAAUUGUGCGUAUAGGGUAUUAAGGAACCGAAUUGAAUCUAUUUGUGUUGCUUCCCCUUAACUUCCUUAAUCAAGGUGGGGGGCCAAGGUGUCUCCACGUUAACAAUAAAUAUCGCAUUAAGAGUUGCUCAAUGUGGGCAAUCCGUUACUCAUGAGGUUCAUUGCAUAGAAAACAUGAUAUUAAGAGUCUAGGUUUGAAGCCGCAUGAAUUAGCUAUUCUUGGUUAAGGUGUGUCCUUAGAAAGUGGUCUCCUUUCUCCUGCCCACUCGAGGGUUGACUAACUCUUGAAAAUUUCACCCUACUAUUAGAGCUCGAGCUAUUAUUUCUUAAAAGGGGUCUUUUCUUUUAUUUGAGUUAUCACUAUAAUCAAUUAGACGUUCAAUAACUACCAUCACUGAAGUCACGGCUUGCACAUUUUGUCACUGCAACUUCGUAUUCAUCCACAAUUUAGACCCUCGAGGAAAUAGAACAACUGAUCUUUCUUGAUCAUGUCAUUAAUAUCCAACAUUAUGGCAUAGAAUUUCCUCACAUAUUCUCGUACUAACCCAGUCUGCAUCUCUUGUAAUUUUUUCUAAGCCAUAUACGUUACAUUCUUAGGGAAAAAUUGAUUUUUUAGUUCUCGCUUGAGGUUUGCCCAUGUAUUGAUGUGGCACUCGCCAUUAACAAAUUUCGAAUGCCACCAUAAUUUCGCAUCCCCAACAAUAUACAUUGUGACCAUCACCACAUUGUCUUCCUCCGACUCUAUGCAUACAGCUCGAAAGUACCGUUCAAUAUCAAAAAGGAAGUUUUUUUAACUCCUUUGCAUCUUUGGCCUUUUCGUAUCACUUAAGCUUCGACAUUUUAGCCUUUCUCCCUCGAUUUCUUGACUUUACACUUCUAUUACUUGCAGUAAUAACCAAAAGAUUUACUUGAGCUUUUAAUUCUCCAAACUCACCUUGAAGAAUGCUCAACACAUCCCUGGUCUCAUCAUUUAAGGCUUUUAUCAUCUUGAACAGUCUCCGUUAGACUAUCUCAAUUUCAUCUAUUCACUCAUGUGGGACCAUUUGAGCUUUUAUCCCAGCCAUUAUGGCUUCUACCUUUUCAAUUCUCUGAUGGUUCUUCGGUGCACUUCGCGUGGUCACCAAGUUUGUUCUUUCACUUAGCACGCAUUGCCCGUGUUUUGAUACCAAUUAUUAUGGACUAUACCCCUUUCCUGAAGUGUGUAAUAGUUUGUGCAAUGCUCGAGUGGAUGUUUCCACACAAGCUAGCCAAUAAGUCGAUUAUAUCUAAGCAAACAUCAAUAAUAACCACUAGUUAGUUUACACAAAAACAAUACAUAAAUCAUAGGGCAUAAAGAAUGCCACAUACAUAAGCAUUGAAUCCAUAUAAAAGAAAAAUGUUUUAUUAAUAUUGAAAGUAUGUACAAAGAGACCAAAAGUACUAACCCGUCAUUGUUGAGCCAUAAGGGCAGCUCUAAAUGGUUAGCUACAAACAUACCGUUACUAGUGAGACAGCUCAAUAAUCCACUAACAGCUCACCCCUUAUAAAGAGCUAAUGAGCUUUUAUAAGUAUAUCACCAAGAACCGUUACAAUGCGUAAAAUGGGAACAUUCUUUACCUAAAGGGUCUUCCUUUUAAAGACUUAACAAUCAUUUCUAAAUAAGCCACAAGUGCCAUUAUAAUGUUUGUAAAGGGGACAUUUCCCUUAAGAGUAUAAAGGACUUAGUCUUCUAGAUAGUUCUACCCUAUCAUGGCCCCUAUACAGGGUUAGGUCAUGAUAUUAGACAUCAAAAACAUAUUUUUCAACAUUAAGAAUAUUACAUAAAAAUAAUAUUUAACCCUUAUUUAUUUAUUUAUUUAUUUCUCAUCAUAUUGUUAUACUGGUUAGUUUGUUAAGUGAAUAAAUCCUAAAUUGGAAAUUAAAAGAAAGUAGAGAUUUUCAUUUGUGAAAAAUUUAUUUUUUAUUUUAUAAAAACUUUUCUCUUUAAUUGACCUUAACUAUUUUGCAUUAUUUUAAAAAUUAUAAUAUCUUGGCAAAAGUAAUUAUAAGUGAUAUGAUCCCUAACAAAUAGUUGAAUAAAAAAGUCAAAAUAUCAAGACUUUGAAUUACACUUCACCGGUCAAUCAAACAUCAAACUACAUGGAAUCAGAGCAUCUGUAGGAUCUUAAGGGACUAUAUACAUGUACAAAAACUUCUUCUCAAUCCAAAUUCUUAGAGAAGACUAAGCCGCAACCCCUAUAAUGGCCACCAAUGACUUGUUAGCUCAUCAGGCUCCACUUAUGUUUUCUAGUGAAAAUUACUCAAUUUGGUUGGUCAAAAUGCAAGCAUACUUAAAAGGUCUCAACCUUUAAAAGGUCAUUGAGCAAGCUACCAAGCUACCAAUAUUGAGAUAUAACCCCUAUUUCUCUAAAAAUACAACAUGAAAAGGGUUUAAGGUUUAAGGUUUAUGGUUUAGGAUUUAGGUUUAAUGACGCUUUGUCGAGAAAAAGAAUAAUGCACAAAGAGAUAAAAAGAAAGGAAAAAUAGUUAAACAGUUAAAUAAUGCCUUGUUAGAAAGUAGUUGAAUAAAAUAAUGAUGCUUUGUGGGAUCAAAUCUAAGGUUUAAAGGUCGAUCUCGUGCCCUAGAAGGCCAUUAAGCAAGCUACCAAGCUACCAACAUUGAGAUACAACCCCUCUUUCUCUAAAAAUACAACAUGGAAAGGGUUUAGGGUUUAAGGUUUAUGGUUUAGGAUUUAGGUUUAAUUAUGCUUUGUCAGAAAAAAAAUAAUGCAUAAAGAGAUGAAAAGAAAGGAAAAAUAGUUGAAUAAUUAAAUAAUGCUUUGUUAAAUUGUAGUUGAAUAAAAUAAUGAUGAUUUAUGGGAUCAAAUCCAAGGUUUAGGGAUUGAUCCAUGGGACAAGAAGGCAAUGAUGCUUUAUAGGAUGGAUCCCAAGGUUUGAAAAGAAGGUAAGGUAGCAAGAGAAGGUUUAUAUUUAUGAUUGAUAUCAAGGUUUAUAAUUUUAACGAUUAUAAGACAAUUAAAACAAGAUUCAAACAUGCUAAACUUAGACUUACAAUUUAAAAGUUAUGACAUAGAUGAUAACUUGGUGUGUUUUGUGCAACUUGAUUGUAAUGGUUCAUAUCAUAGCUAUCAAUAUCAUACACUACACGAUACAUAUCGUAUAAUAUGUUACGAUAGAAUGAAAAAUAAUAUGAACCAAUAUACUUUAUCGUUUUGAUCAAGUAUCUAAAGUGUAUCACAUAAUAGGCGAUAUGUAUUGUAUCAUAUGAUACAAUACACUUUUUAUAAGUUUUAUCAUACCAAAUUCUAAAUUGUAUAGAAGAAUGAAUGAGCUUGAUAAUUAACUUUUUUAUCUGUACCCUUGGUAUAAGUCUUAUUUUUGGUGAGAAUCGACCCUCAACUAAUGAGGUACAAUGGAAAUGUAUGGAUAGAUGAUUACCUAAUAGAGGUGAAUGAUUUCACCCAUUUGGCUAUGAUAUAGUAUGUGAAAUAGAGCCUGAUGCUUAUUAUGCCUAUCUAGCAUGGUGCUAGACAUGUGUAGUGAGUAUGACACAUGCUUGUUAUGCUUAUCUAACAAGGCUUGGUGCUAGACAUGUGUAGUGAGUAAGGCAUAUGCUUGUUAUGCUUAUUACUGGUCUUAAUUGAGUGCUAGAAAGAGGUGAAUAGCACUUUUAAAAAUUUUGAAGGAAACUUUCAAAGUUAAAAAACUUUUAAUGGAUUUUGAAAAGGAGAGUUUAAAACUUAUAAAGGCUAAAAUCACCAAGUAAAAAGAGGGUAAAGAGAAACGGACAAAACACAAGUAUUUAUAAUGGUUCGGUUCCCUAUCCUACAUCCACUAGCUUGAUCUCCCAAUCAAAGAUUUUCAACCCAGCUUCACCAAACCAAUGGAAUUGAUAGUUUCCACCAAACUUUUACAAGGUGAGCUUCUAACCUAAGCUCAAAACCCUUACAAGAUUCCCUAAGCUUUCCUCAACUUAGUCUACCCCUUAGAGUAUCUUUCAUACUCUAAGUAAACAAGAAAUAUAGAAAAGAUGAAGCAUAAUUGAUUACUUAGCUGAUCUAAGAUGUACAAAGUUAAGCUCAAGCACUUUUUCAAAGGAUGAAAGUUAAAUACAAGUGUAAAAAGAAGGUUUUUUUGUCUUCUAAGCUCAAAAUCACUUUACAUGGCUUUUUUCUCCCAUUUUUUACUAUUUGAACCUUUAUUUUUACUUGGAGGAUAGAUUUUAGUCGUUAGAGAUAGUUUUGGGUCAGAAAUAGCUGUUAUUUUGUCUUCUAGUAGCUCUUUUCAAAUUGUUGGCAGUGACUCUUUAACUGAUUAAAGGUCAAUGUUAACUGGUUAAAGCUUUUCUAAUUGGCAGUCUGUUCCACUAUGUUAACCAGUUAAAAAGGGCUUUAACAGGCUUUAACUAGCUAAGAACUUUCUAUUUUCAGACUCCUUUAAGCACUGAUGUUCACCAACUUCCUUUUACUUGAUUAAUCUUCCCUUUAACAGAUUAAAGCUUCUUUUCCUCCAACUUUAACUUAUUAAAAUAAACUUCAACCAAUUAAAAAUUCUUUAAAUUUGAAUUUCUUCAUUUGGCACCCUUUAACUAUCAAAUUCAUUUUGAAUUUAAAUUUUGGUGCUUUUAGGUACUUCAAGUUUAACCUUUAAUCGUUUAAUCGCUUUGGUUAACUAAUUAAUAAUCUUUUGUUUUACGUUCAGUACCAAUUUAACUGAUUAAGCAUUGUGUUAACCAGUUAAUACUUUUCUACCUGUCCUUAAUGUAACGCCCAUAAUUACUUUAAUUGAUUAAAGAUCUUUGUUAAUUGAUUAAGACUAAUCUGUUUUGAUUAAAGCGCUUUUUUCUUCACUUGUUUAAUCAAUUAACCCAUCUUGCAACUGAAUAGGUAUCUUCACUUGCUUUCAAACAACAAAUAAGUUAAAGAAUUUAAGCCUUCGCCUGCACACUAAAUAAUAUAAUUAGACACCAACGAAUGGGAAUGUUUUGUUAUCAUAAAAAACAUAUAAAGUCAACAUUUUCUCUCUUAUUUUUGAUAAUGACAAGACACUAUUAGAUUAAGAGUGCAAUGUCUAUUUUUAUAUUUUAUAUCUAUGUGCAGGUGAGGGAUUACUCCCCCUUAAUAUGUCCAUAAAAAACAAUUUCAAGAUUUUCAUUUUAUCUUUAAAUUAGACUUUAAUGAAUGAGGAAUCAUAAGCAUUCAUACAACUAAGCCAACAAUCUUAUAGAUAUAGUUUAAUAACUUCAAGAGUCAAGCUUGUAACUAUGUAAGAACAAAUGUAUGAGAGUUAAAUCAUUUCAAGUACUUAUCAAGGAUUACUCAAAUAAUGUUCAAGCAAAUUUGAUUAUUUUGUCAUAAUCAAAACUAUAAUAAUUUUAAAGCUAACAAUCUCUCCUUUUUUGAUAUGACAAAAUUAUGAGCAUAAUUUGCUUUUAAAAUGAUUUUAAAAUUUUCCCCUCAACAUAUGCAUAAAAUUAAAUUUGUUCAUAAACCUUCUCCCCUUUUUUUCAUAUCAAAAAAAUUAAGAAUUAUGAGCAUUAAACACUUAAGCUCAAGAAAUAAUGGUUAGCAAAAAUCAUCCAGAAUAUAAGCAUUAAGACCAUGAAUAUGCAACCAUAAGGCUGCCAUGUUAUCAUAUUUAUGCACUUAAUAUCCUCAACUAAGUCAUUAAGAAAUAUAGCCAUUAAACACAUUCAAUUAUUAAUUCAUUGAGAGAAUCAUCAAUAAGAAUGCUGCAUAUAUAUAUAUAUAUUUAAUUGAAAUGUGGGCAUAACAUUUAUGAAGUUUAAGAAAGAUAAGCAUAAAGAUGUUCAAUAAGCACAUAAGCCAUAUUUUUGCUCUAAUACCAAGUGUUAAAGGUCAAUAUACCAAUUGAUUAUGAGAGAUGGAAUCAUUUUAAAGCUUAUUAUAUCUAUUGGUAAAGUAGUAGUCAAGACUUCCCUUAUCAUUAAGCAUCUCAAGCGUAUCAACUUCAAGGCUCAAACACAUUUAAAAAAUAUAUGAUCAAUUUAAAGCUCAAGUGAGAAGAGACAAUUUUGAAGCUUGAUGCUAAUUUUAAAGCUAGAUACAAAUUUAUCAAACCUAACCAAUUAUGCCUUUCAACAUUCAAAUUUAAGUGAGAAGCAAUAUCCUUGAGGGUCGACUUGUCCAUUUUGGCUUUAUAGCACUCAAGAGUAUCCUACAUAUCCCUGAGGGUCGACUUUUAUCAUUCUAGUAGCACUGUUUGCAUUUUAUUCUCUAACAGUCGACUACCUAUGCUUAGGGGUCAACUAUGCUUGAUCCCUACACAUUGAAAAGCUAGAAAAAAGUGUAGAACAUGCAAUGUUCCAAGGUACAAUGAUCUCAAAACAUAGAUUUGUAUGAGAACAAUUUAGAAUUUCAUUUCAACCAAGUUUGGAACAUCAUUUUGGGCAUGUAUUGUCACGACCCAGUACUCUCUUCGAGCCCGUGACAACAGCCACGAUGUCCCAAUAGACAAACCUUACCCGAAAUGUCAACCGAAACCUCGCAAGGCUCUAGCAUCAGUUUUUCGCCUUCCCUAUGAGCAACAGUUACUAAAUAUCAUGUUUUAAAGGAAUAUAGAUGAUUUUCAAAUCAAAGACAAUCAAAAAGUAAUUUCUACAGCACAGGGGUAUUUUGAUCAUUUUACCUGAAAAUUUUGAAACCUGCUAAAAAUACAGUAUAUGAAUGAAAAAUUUACAUUUCAUAUAAAAAAAUAAAUCUAGGUGUCUAAAUCAUCUUUUUAAAGUGAAUUUAUAACUAAUAGAACUAAAUAAAAAUAUUGGAUAAAAUAUUUCAUUUUCAUAUAAAACAAUUACUGUAGUGUAAUAACAAAAUAAAUUCAUAUACAUAAUAGCACACAGCGCUAGGGUAUACAAAAAUAUUUUACAAUGACAUGUGAGCCCCAAAAUAACAAAAAUAAACAGGAUUGUAGACCUACGAUUUCUAAGGGUGCAAAUUAAAAAGCAAACCCUCAACAAAAUUGACUGUCUACAAACUACUUUGAACCUGAAAUGGGUGAAAAGAAGGGUGGUGAGUUUUUAUAAACGUAGUGAGUAAGCAAAGUUCAUUUAUAACAUCUAAAGCCGAGUAAAUAGAGACAAUUAAAGCAGCUCUUCAUAAUAUGAUUCAUAACAUUAAAACUAAUUUCAACCAUAUAAAACAGUUACGUUUCUUUAAAAAAAAUCAAUAAGGCUUAUGACUCUCUUAAAAACUUGGCUUGUGCCAAAACUUGUGCUCGGUAACAUCUUGUGCAGGACAUCCAACCGAGUCCGCCAAGGCUGUUAAAAUAACAUAUACACAUAAAACAUGUUUUUACGUUUAAAACACUGUCGUUCCUUGGCGUUGGUUGAGUUUCACCCUCACAUGGUGGUUCGACGUGAAGUGAACUCUAAACUACCUUAGGAGAUACCCUCAGUGCCUCUCAUACUAAGGUAAAAUAUGACGUCGUUUACCAUGCCCCUCUAAUAGGCCAGUCCACGGAAACCCGCCCAUUGCAAUAAGCUAAUCAAUUACCCCACCAAAUCAAUAGAAAUUUCAACAACAUGACAUGGCUAAUGUGAUAUUCCCAGCCUGUCAAGGUAAACAAAAUAGUUCAUAUAUUCCACACAAACACAAAACCAGCCAUUUAUGCCAUCACAUUGUCAUAAGCCAUCAAUUCAAACCAUAUAUCAAACACGAGUAUAUAGUCUCCACUUACUCAAUUUCCAAAAUCAGUAUUCAAUUUCAAAACAAGUUAUAAAUCUCAUUUCGUUUAGCCAACACUUCAAUUUUAAAACAUAAUAAUUUACAAUUUAAACUCAUUAUUCUUUAAAACAUAAAAACGAGUAGAAACAACUUUAGAUAGUUAAGAUGAAAGUCUAUUACUCACUAUAACGGGAGUACUCCUACUCCUAGUCCUCGGGUACGAUAUCCUUACCCUUACUAGAGGGCUCACCACCUAUACAUAAUACAUAACAAGUAAUUCAAUAUAUUUGUGCCAAACUAUUAUAAGACUAUUUCAGGCUCUUUAUGAAUGUAUGAAAUUGAAUGAGAAGUGUUCGAAUAAUCACUUAAAGAUGGUGUUCUACGUACGUUCAAUUGUUGUUGGACUGAAAUGGUAUUCGACCUAACUCGCACUAUACACUGUUUAAUUAGCCAAAACAUCCAAUUCAACUCCAAAUAAAUUCAUUGCACUUCCGAUACUCCAAUAAGUCCGUAUACCUCAUUAGAAAUCGAUUCUAAGUCCAUUUACUAUAAUUUUCUCAUUAUCGUUCAAUUUUUUUACUAAAGGAACUAUACUUUUUGAUAACCGUUUUCGAUAUCCAACAUCACGAAUCAUCAAAUAUGAGCUAGAUAACAUGAAAUAUGAUAAAAUUCAUCUUCAAAAUAUUUCCUAUAGAAUUCGACCAAUUAGGGUUUGAUGAAGAACAUGUUAUUUUCUUACUUGUUUUUCAUAUCGAAUAUCACAAAACACUAAAAACGCCUAGAUAACAUGAGAUCUAGCAAAACCCAUCCUCAAACCUUCCCCCCUUGAUUCGGCCAACAUGCUUCCAUCAUGAAAACUUGAGUUUCAACCAUAGAAAAUAAAAAAGAAAGCAUGGGUAAGGUAGAUCUUAAGCUAAAUCGCGAAAUCUUACCUCCGAGCGCUUCGUUUUUCGAAAAUCCAAUGAAUUUCUCUUGAAUUUUUCCUCCUUAGAGUUUUUCUAUUCUUUCCCCCUUUUGUUCUUUGGCUUGGAUGGCAAUAAGAGAGUGAAUGGGAGAGUUUAUGUUGAUUUUAUAAAGGAAAUUAUAAAAUAAUAAAAACUUGACACGUGUCGCCACUUGAUCGGUCCAUGGUUAAAACUUAACAAUUAAGCAUUCUCUUACCACCACAUAUAAUCCCAUAAUUAUCCAAAGCAUAAAAUGAUAAUAGGUGAAAUUCAUGGGCUUGACAAGUGUCAUGGUGGUGUAAAAUUUCAAAAAUUCCAAUUAUGUCCUCGUGGACACGUGAAAUGACCAUUUUUCCCUUAUGCUCGGAAUUGGAAUUUUUCACUUCUCAAAUUCAAAUUAUGUUCUAACUAGUCAAACUUGGUAAAAAAUCUCUUCCAACAAUCCAAUUUUGCUCUCGGGUGGCAAAAUGACCAUUUUGCCCUUACGUUAUGAAAAUUCUCGAUUGGAUUCCAAAUUAAUCCUCAAACUCCAAUUCACCAUUUUAAGACAUUCUAAGGUUCAAUAACUCUCAAAUACAUCCCAAAAUCUCUAUUUGGACUAGUUCGAGGCUUUAAUCGACUUAAUUGUACCACUAAGUACAACACCGACUUUUAACGAUUUUUCGAGGCAUCUAAGUAUGCAAACAUGCUAUCAAGUACAUGAAUGACAUAGCAAGUAUAUAUAAUAGAGUUGGGCUUGAUAUGUAUGAUCAGAGAUUCUUCAAGAAAAAUAUGUGAAAUUUUGACUUUUAUUACUCAUUGUUCAGAAGUGCUAAAAAGUUGAAAUGUUUAUUUGAAGAAUCAUGUCUCUAACUUGCUCAAGCAUACUCAAUUUUCAUCAUCAUGCAUGAAUAUGACAUAUAAAAUGUACAACAAGCAUUUUAAGUAACAUUUAAGCAUAACAAGCAUCAAAUUUAACAUUUUCAAUGUUUUUCUAGCAUAUAGACAAAAAUGCCUUUGAGGUCAUGCAAACAUUCAUUUACAACAAGGACAAGUUAUAAUAGCAUUCUCAACAAAAGGCACACUUGUUCAAGCUUUAUAUCAUUUAAAUCAUUGAAGCCUCAAGCAUUACAAGAAGAUUUGUUCAUUUUCUUAAAAUGUCAUCAAUGUCAAAUUAUCAUUCCCAUAAAUAUGCUUAAGAAAACUCUUUCAAUCUAUUUCAUAAAUCAUGAGAGAAAUAUCAAACAAAGUGGGAUUUAUACAGGUCAUGUAUCAAAUCAAUUUUGCUCAACCAUUCUAUAUCAUCAAAAACAAUAAAUUAAUAUCAAUCAAAGGGAAAAAAAGUUUUUACAAGAAAAUCAAUUGAUAAACUUUUAAUCUCUCUUUUCAAAAUUUUUACACUUAAAAACAUAUAAGAUUUGAGUUGGACAUGUAUUGCGUAAAAUCAUGAGCUCAAUGUCACUCAAUUUUGUUUAAUUAUUCUCUAAAUGGUUUAUGAAAUAUUCAAUGAGAAUAAUGAAUCAUGUUUAUGCAUGUCAAGGGUCAUUUUCAAAUAUCUCACAAUCAUAUGCCAAAAUGCCUUUAUGACCAUUCAACCUUACAAGCAAGCAUGCACAUCCAAUAAGAACAAGUCAAUAAAUAUUUUCAUCAUGCAACAAACUUGUCCAAUUCAUAAAUCAUUGUAAACAUAAGGAUGGCAAACAUUUUUAUCAUAUAAGCUCAUCUUGCUUUAAAAAUACCAAUUCAAGUAGUCAAAGCUUAUCAUGCUCAAUUUUAACCAACUUGAAACACUCAAACAAGUCUUAAAUGACAAAGCAAAGUUGUUCAAGUACUUAAAUUAUCUUAAACACAAGGAAACCACAAAGUCAAAUCUUCAAACUCAAUUUUCCUUGUUUAUGCUACUAGAAUAGGCAAUUAUGCAAAUCAAUCUAUUAAUCACACAAACAACUUCACAUGUUAUCAACAUCAAACCUUUUAUGUUUAAAAAUAUGUUCAAAAAUCAUUUUACCAACAAAAAUAUGAAAUCAAUUUCACAAAACAUGAGGAAAUUAUAUCAAAACAAUUUUCCACUAUUAAGCAAAAUCAAUAAAACAAACAAGCAAUUUUUUUAAAAAAAUGAAUAACUUUUGGCAUAAGCACGAGGAUAUAAGCAAGAUUAAAGAUAAACAUAUACUCAGUAUUUAGGCUUAUACUUCCUUCAAGAUUAUGCAAUUUAUAGCAUGUAUCAUAUCAAAUCAAAUUGUAUAACAAAAAUUUAUCAAUAAAGAUCAAAUGAGAGUAGAUAAAAAAUUAUACACUUAAUAUUCAAGCAAGAAAAGGAAAUCAAAGUUCUCAAUUAACAAGGCAAACAAAAACUAAGCUAGAUCAAUUAAUCUCAAGAAUUUCAUAACCAAGCAAAAUAAGAGCAAACAACCAAAGAUCACAAUUUGACAAACAAAUGACUUUCGAUAUAGAAAUAAGCCAAUUUCCAUUGUGUGUCUAAAGGGCAUUCAUUCUUCAAGAAUUUGUUCCUCUUUGCUCUAGCACACCUACAAGGGACACUUUUCAUAUGAUCUUUGGUAUUUAAAUUGAUUUGACUCAUUGAUAGUUAGUCUUAUUAUACAAAGUUCCUUUUGGAAUCCAUACUUGUUUAACUCUAUAAGGUAGAUAUUUCUUAAUUGAACAAGUGUGUGAAAUAUGACCAUGAAAGUUACAAUAAUUGCAUUUAGUCAUCUUUGAAAGUGGGGAAUUCAUGAAAACUUUUGGCUUUUUAGUUGUCAAUUUUCAAGCUUCACUUUCACAUCUAAAUUUUUUUUCCCAAAAUGUCAAUUUUCUUUUAAGAGGCUUCAAAAUCCAUUUUAAAUCUUUCAUUUUCUUUUUACAAAUCAAUCUUUUCCUUCAUUUAGAAAUCAUUUUUUUGUAUUUCAAAUUCAUUUUCUCAUAUUCACAUAAAUAUUUUCAAACCUUUUGCCCAUGAAUACAACUUUAUUAAAUCAAUGUCAAUCACAUGGCAUACAUGAGAAUCAAAGAAAUCUCUAAAUCCUCUAUCACAAAGAUGACUAAUGCUUAAUAAGUUAUGUUUCAAACCUUCAACAAGUAAAACAUGCUUGAUUUGAGUUGAGAAGUGUUACCAAUGGUUUCAAUUCCUUGGAUGAUUCCUUUGGAGUUUUCACCAAAAGAGACACUAUCGUUUUUCUUUCUAUCAAGUUCGACAAACAAAAUUUCAUUUCUGGUCAUAUUCCUUUAGUAGCCAUUAUUUAAGUAGCAAGACUACCUCUAUUUUGGUUGAGCUUUCAAACAUUGUUCCUUUUGUUCUUGCUCAAACUACAAAAUAAUUUUUCAUUUUUUUUUCAAAGGUACCCAUACUUUGAUGGUCCUUGAGGCUUAGUAAGCACAUAAGAACCUUUAGGCACCCAAACCAUCUUGGUUUUGGGGAGGUUAUUACCUUUAUGAUAAGAGUCAUAAAAGAGAUGACUUAUCUUGCCAUAAGCAUAAUAAUGGAAUGAAAAUGCAUCAUUUUUCCUUCUAAAAACAACAUUUCCUUUAUGUUUUUGUUCUUUGUACAACUUCAAUUUUGAUCUCUCAUCUAUUGAAGUUUUAAAAGUAAUAUUCUCCUUUAAUGCCUUUUGCAAUGCCUUAUUUUUGCUUUCUAGUUCCAACUUCAAAGAUUCAAAAUCUAUUUUGGAAUGCUCCAGCUUAAUUUAUAAAACAUUUCUCUGAUCAAAAAUAGAUUUGAAAUCACAUUUAAUCAUUUCUAAUUCAUCAUUUAAAGAUAAAGCUUUCUUUUUGAAACCUUAUACUUUAAAGCUAACUUCUCAAAUUCAACAUAUAAAAAAUCAUACUCAUAUUGAAAUUCAUCAUAGGAAAUAUUAGAUAAAUAAAAAAUUACCUCAAGUUCUUCAUCUUUGGCCAUCAAGCAAAACUGGGCUCUUACUUUUAUUUCUUUCUUAUUUUUCGUCCUUUCUUUCUUCUUCUUUUUCUUUCAUCUCUUGCUCAUAUGUGAAGAGUGAGCCAUAUAUCUCAUCUAAGGUGAUGACAUUAAGAUCUUUGGCUUCUCAAAUUGCUAUCACCUUUAGCUUCCAAGCCUUUAGUAACUUCUAAGCAACCUCUUUACCGUUUCAUGUUCAAAAAUUUCUUUCCUAAGUUGCUUGAGCUUGUUGACAAUGUUGGUGAACCCAUCAUACAUGGUUGUGAUGUCUUCUUUUGGUUCCAUCUUGAACAUCUCGUAGUUGUUAGUGAGAAGAGCAAUCUUGGACUCCUUCACUUGUGAAGUCUCUUUAUGAAUGAUCUUCAACUUCUCCCAAAUUUCUUUAUCUGUUGUACAAAUAAAACUUUAUUGAACUCAACGAAAUUUAGUGCACAAUGGAGAGUGUUUAUGGCUUUGAAGUUUAUUUGCAUGUUUCUUAUUUCAACUUCAGUCCAUUUAUCUUUAGUUUUAAGAGUUUUGUCACCAAUUAUAAGAUCAAUUUUUGUAUGAACAUAAGGACCUCUAGUGAUGAUAUCCCACAUUUCAUAAUCAAUAGCCCUUAUGUAGAUGGAGAUCCUAAUACUCCAAAAUUAGUAGUUUACUCCAUCAAAUAGAGGAAGCUUAUUUGUGAAUUGACUUUCUACGACGUUAAAACUUUAACUAGCCAUUAGAUUUACCUUUCAAGAUGUUAAGCUUAAAUUUCUAGGGUUAGGCUUUGAUUCCACUUGUUGAUCCCAAUCGAGUAUUAGAGGGGGGUGAAUAGCACUUUUAAAAAAUUUGAAGGAAAUUUUUAAGGUUAAAAAACUUUUAAAGGAUUUUGAAAAAAAAAGUUUAAAACUUGUAAAGGCAUAAAAUCACCAAGUAAAUAGAGGGUAAAUUGAAGUGGACAAAACACAAGUAUUUAUAGUGGUUUGGUCCCCUUGACCUACAUUCACUACCUUGAUCUUUCAAUCAAGGAUUUUGAACCCAACUUCACUAAACUAGUGGAACUGAUAACUUCCACCAAGCUUUUACAAGGUGAACUUCUAACCCAAGCUCAAAACUAUUACAAAAUUUCCUAAGCUUUCCUAAGCUUAGUCUAUAGUGUCUCUCACACUCUAAGUAAACAAGAAAUAGAAAAAAGAUGAAGUACAAUUGAUCACUUAACUAAGACGUACAAAUUUAAGCUCAAACAUUGUUUCAAAGGAUCAGAGUAAAAUAAAAGUGUACAGAGAAGGUUUUUUUGUCUUCUAAGCUCAAAAUCACUUUAGAUGGCUUCUCUCUCCCAUUUUUAACCGUUUAAACCUCUAUUUAUACUUCAAGGAUAGUUUCUAGUCAUUAAAGACAAUUUUGGUGAGAAAUAGCCAUUUGUUUGCCUUUUAGCGGCUCUUUUCAAAUUGCUGGCAGUGACUCUUUAACCUAUUAAAUGUAAGCAUUAACUAGUUAAAGCUUUUCUAUUUGGCAGUUUGCUUCAAUCUGUUAACCAGUUAAAGGGGGCUUUAACCGAUUAAGAACAUUCUAUCUUUAGGCUUAUUUAAACACUGAUUUUCACCAACUUCCUUUUAGUUGAUUAAUUCUCCAUUUAAUUGAUUGAAGCUUCUCUUCCUCUAACUUAAACUUAUUAAAAUAAACUCAACCAAUUAAAAAUUCUUUGAAUUUGAAUUUCUUCAUUUGGCUCCCUUUAACGAUCAACUUCAUUUUAAAUUUAAAUUUUGGCUCUUUUAGGUACUUCAAGGUUUUUUUUUUCUAGAAAUAAGUUACUUCAAGUUUGACCUUUAAUCUAUUAACCUCUUUGGUUCACUGAUUAAUAAGCUUCUAUUUUGCGUUCAAUACCCGUUUAACUAAUUAAGGCUUGUGUUAACUAGUUAAGACCUUUCUACUUGUCCUUAGUGUAGUGACCAGAAUUGCUUUAACUAAUUAAGGAUCUUUGUUAAUCGAUUAAGACUAAUCUGUCACGACCCAAAUUUCGGGCCAUGACAAGUGCAUGGGCCCAAUAGACGUAGUCUACUAAGCCCAAGUAAGCCUAUUAAUAUGACCUGUUCAUCAUUCCAUCAAGUUACUAAAGUCACAUUUCAUAAUUUCGAAUCAAAUAAUGUUAAUCAUUGCUAACUCGUAGUGGCAUUACCCAUCAAAAUAUACAUAUAUUGUCUGCAACAUGUAUCUUAAUAAUUUAUAUCAGGUUUGUCUAUACAUCUCAAAAAGGAGACUCGAUUUCUAGCGGAGAGACUCGGACGAAAGUACAGCUACUAAAUGCCGAGACACCUACCAAGAGUCGAAUCUACGAAGACACCUCGACCUAGUUACUGACUGCCUCCUAAUCUGAAAAAAUGAAGUUGAAAACGGUGAGUAUAAACCUAGUGAGUGAACAUAAGAAGGGAACAAUCAAUCAAUAGGAAGAAUUUGAAAAUCAUGAUGCACUUGUUUCAAAACAAUGCAAUUUAGUUUCAUUCUCAUUAAAACCCCUCAUUAAACCCUUAAAUGGUUAAUCACUUGAUAAUGAUGAAUCCACACAUAACAAAGAAAUUCAAGAAUGAAAGCUUCAGUGAUACACAAGCAAGUCAAAUGAAGCGACGGGUCCUCGCUGCAGCGGAAAAGCAUUCUUGCUGCAACAAAGUUUGGGCUCAAGUUAUUAGUUGAACGAGGGUUUCUCAACUGGCUGAGGGUUUUUCUCUAAAAUUCCUCAUUUCAAACUUUAUUAAAUAAACCCCUAAAUGUUAGGAGUCCAUGAUUAGCUAUGGUGUAAUUGAAAUGGAAAAAUAUGGCAAAACCAGCAAGAUAGCAUAAUGGACAAAAAGUUUCUCGUUGCAGUGAGAUUCUUUCUCACUGCAGCGAAAUUCAAGUGACCAAAACAGAAUGUUUCUCGCUAAAGCAAGAUUCGAUCUCGCUGCAGCGAGAAGCUUCAAAAAUUUUCUCGCUACAGCGAGAAUACAGUGAGAACUAGGUCAGGUAGACCUCUCAAACUUGAGAGUUUCUCGCUGCAGCGAGAAAUAUGGCACCAAAGGAAAGUUUCCAUUCUCUCAAGAAAAAGGCCAUCCUGCUGAAAUGACAGCAUUAACAUGAAACACUUAAAAUUCCCAAAGUUCAGCAUGCCAAAUUUUCAUAUGCAUUACAAUCAUAUACCAUAUUCAUGAACUUUUAUUUCAUAAACAUAUAUAUACAUAUACACAUAGAAAAACACCAAUACCACCAUCAUCUCACCUAGCUCAUGUGUAUCCCCCCACAUCGUGCACAUAGCCAGGGUCAUCGUGUGCAUCCCCCCACAUCGUGCACAAUUAGUGCCAUCGUGUGCAUCCCCCCACACCGUGCACACGCACGGUUAUCAUUAUCACACAAUAUCAACCAUCAAUGCACAACAUAUAUAUAUAUAUAUAUAUAUGUAUACCAACAUAAUGUAGUAGUACUUGAAUCCAUAACAGCCACAUAUCACAACAUAGAGACAAUUUAUCAAAGGCUUAUUCCAGAAUGAGUUUUGAAGAUAAAACAAAUAAAACGCUUUAGGGAUUCAAUCAAACAUACUUGUAUACACAUCCCAAAACCUUUUUAAUGCAAGUUCACUCAUCGAUAUUUUGUUAAACCUUUAGUUUACUCUAACUUCCCUAAUGGUCCAAAUGGGAAGGUGGGGCUUUGUUGGAACCUAAUCAUCACAUUAGCAUCAUAAUUAAAUCAAUUCCAAUACUUAUAAAUUCUAAAAGCUAUCUCUUAACUAGCUUCCAAUUGCCAUCUAAUUGGCUAUUUAUUUUCACUAUUCUAAUCACUCUAAAAUGAAUGAACAACCUCAACUACAAAAAAUUCACAACUCUAAUCUCUAGCCCUUCUCAACACUUAAAAUUCAACUCUAGUUUACUACUCACAUUGGUAGCUUUGAAAUAGAAAUUCUUUCCAAAAAUUUUCAAGCUCUUAUUGAAGCUCUCUCUUUCUCUCUCUCUAAAACGUCUAGCUAGUAAGAGAAAGUAUGGAAGUAAGGCUUAUGAAGGGUUUUAAAGUGAGAAAGUGAAAGAGCACAAGGGUUCUAUCACGACCUAAAUUUCGGGCCAUGACUGGCAUAAGGGCCUAAUAGACGUAGUCCAUUAAGCCCAAGCAAGCCUAUCUAUUUAUCCUACUCAUCAUUCCAUCAAAUAUUGCUAAGUCACAUUUUAUAACUUUAAAUCAAAAUAGUGAUAGACAUUGCCAACAACUCGUACUGGCAUUACUCAUUUAAAAUAUACAUACAUUGUCUACAGUAUGUAUUCUAAUAAUUUACAUUAGGUUCGUCUAUACACAACAAAAGAAUACUCGACUUCCAGCAGAGGGACUCGAAUGAAUGUACAGCUACUGAAUGCCGAGACACCUACCAAAAGAUGGAUACAAGUCUACAAGGACACCUCAUCCUAGUUACCGACUACCUCGUGAUAUGAAAACAUGAUGUUGAAAACGGUGAGUAUAAACCUAGUGAGUGAACAAGGAAGGGAACAAGCAACAAUAAGGGAGAAUUUAAAAUCAUGAUGCACUUGUUUCAAAACAAUGCAAUUUAGUUCCAUUCAUAUUAAAAACCCCUCAUCAAGCCCUUAAAUGAUUAAUCAUUUGAAAAUCAUGAACCCAUACAUAAUGAACCAUUUGAAGAAUGAAGGCUUCAAUGAUACGCAAACAAGUCAAAUACGACAACGAAUCUUCGCUGCAGCUUAAAGGCAUUCUUGCUGUCGUGUAGCUACAGUGAGAAUGCCUUUCUGCUUAGCGACAUUGGGAUUAAGUUAUUAGCCAAACGAGGGUUUCUCACUAAACCUCCUCAUUUUAAACUUAACUCAUUUAGUCCUUAAUAUUGGAAGUCCAUGCUCAGAUAUGGUAGCAAAGAAGUGAAAAAUAAGGCAGCAAUUGGACAAGAUAGGAGACAAAAUAGAAAGUUUUUCACUGCAGCGAGAAUGAAUUUCACUAUAGAGAAAAGCUACAGUGUCAUUCUCGCUACAUCAGUUUCCAGCUAGUCUACCACUCCAAACCUGAGAGUUUCUCGCUGCAGCGAAAAUGAUUCUCGCCGCAGCGAGAAACAGGGCACCAAUGAAAAUUUUGCCUUUCUUUCCAAAGAAAAACCACCCUACUAAAAUGUCCAAACCUACAUGAAACGCAUAACAGAUUUCCAAAGUUUAACAUGUCAAGUUUCACAUGCAUUAGAACCAUAUACCAUUACUCAUUAAUUUCCUAUAACACAUAUGUUUACAUAUAUAUAUAUAUAUAUAUGUAUACGUAUACCCAUCAUCAUCAUGCACAUCAUCCCAUCAUCAUCAUACACACCAUCACAUCAUCAUCAUCACCAGCUCAUGCGCACUCCCUACUCGCACAUGGCUGGGUCAUCAUCGAGUUAUGUGCACUCCCUACGCGCACAUAACCGGGUCAUCCUCAACUUAUGCUGUCACAACCUGAAACUCUCAUCGGGCCCAUGACAGUUGCCAUGAAGUCCCGAUAGGCACUUAUUACCCGAAAUGCCGAUCGAAACCCCGCAAAGCUUAGCAUCAGCUUUCACAUCUCCCCAGUGAGCGACAGUUUUUAAAUCUUGCAUUUUAAGAAAUCAUAAGUUGUUUCCAAAUCAAAACAAUAUACUAUUAUUUUCUGACUCACAGGGGCAUUUUCGUCAUUUUUCUUCAAAAAUACCGAAACCCUCCAAAAACAUGGUGUGUGGGUGAAAAACACAUGUUUCAUAAUUAAAAGUAAAUUUAGAUGUCUAAAAUAAUUAUUUGAAAUGAAAUUAUAAUUGUUUGAAUAAAAUAAUAAUAUUUAAUAAAAUAUUCUAUUUUCUAAAUAAAAAACAAUAUUUAUAGAGAAAUACAUAAUUUAAUUUCUGUAGUGUAAAAGCUAAAUAUAUUCAUAUGUACUUUAAAGCAGAUAGCUGAAGUAUAAAAUUACUUUUACAGUGACACGUGGGCCCCUAACUAACCAAUAAGGUGCGAGUUUGUGAACCUACAAUUUUGUCAAUGCAAGGCUAACUGAAAUCCUUGAUGCAAUCGGCUAUCUACUGACUAUCCUGAGCCUAAAAGGUGGAGAAUUGAGGGUGGUUAGAUUAUAAAAUUCCAGUGAGUAAACAAAUACCAUCUAAACCAUAUAAAGUCAAGUAAAUGGAGACAAGUAAGAUAUUCCAUUCCAGUAUGUUUCUCAUAACAUCAAUAAUCAAUUUACUCAAAUAAUCAACUUGGCUUAUGUAUUUCACAAAACUUGGCUCCUACCAAAAUUAUUCCCGAGGAUGCGUUGGCCUAGGCAUCUGACCGAGAUCACCAAGGCUGUUAAAUGUCUUUACAUCCGAAAUUCUAGUCAUGCCUUGGCGUUGGUUGAGUCUCACUCUCACGCGGUGGUCCACGUGAAGUGCACUCAAAUCUUUACCUCUAGAGAAACCCUACACACGGCUAUCUAAUCGAGGUAAGGUAUAUCUGAUUCUGUGCCCCCUCUCUUAGGUUGGUCCACAGAACCUCCGCUGCAGGGAUUAUGAAUUAUUUUAUCGAUCACCUGAUUUAUAAAAUCUUUUUCUGCAUGACAUGGCAAUUUAUCGUAAUCUAGCCUCUCAAGGCUAAAUACAUAGUAUAUAUAAUUUUGAUACAAACACAGACUUUGCCAUUCAUGCUCGCAUAUUGCUAUAAGCCAUAUAAAUUAAAGCACAAUUAAUAACACAAGCGGGCAAUCUCUAAUUACUCUACUUUCAAAACCAGUAUUCAAUUUCCCAAAACAUUUAUAAAAUCAUUUUAUAAAAUCACAAUUUUUCCUAAAACAUAGCAAUUUACCAUUUAAACUCAUUUUCUAUAAAAUCACACAAUUGAAUAAAACUACUCUAGAUAAUUAAGACGAUAAUAAGUUUACUCACAGUUUUAGGAGUUGAUGUACUUCUAAUCCCAGUAUUCAAGCACAAUCUCUGUACUUUUACUAGUGUAAUUUGCUCACCACUUAUCCACAAUGUACAAUACAUAAUUCACCACAUUAAUGCUUGACCAUUAUAAAUCAAUUCAGGCUCGGUGUAUAUGCAUCAUAUCACAUGCAACUUAUCCGACUACCGCUUAAAUGCAGUGCUGACCUAAUUCGGCCUAUCACCCGAUUAAAUUACUAACGCGUCCAAUUUAAUAUCAAAUUACUCCAUUUCUUUUUUUAAUACCUCAAUUCACCAAACAUUAUUCAAAUAACACCAAUUUCAGCAUCAAAACCUUCCCAUUUCUUCAUGGAAAAAUUCGGCCAUUACAGUGCACUAACACUGUGAUUUUUUCUACUUAAUUUUCUCACCAUUAUUCAUCAUUUUCUAAGCCAUUUCUCUUGAAAUAAUAACAAUCCAUCUCCCACACAUAUCAAGGAAGAUUCGGCCAUGAAGAUUCAUUAUACCAGAGUUAAAAUUUUUCACUUCUAAACCUCAAAUCAUACUCCAAUACUCAAAUAAUACUCCAACAAGUCAAAUGGGGCUAAAAAAAUCUUUUCUAAAAUUUCCAUUUUAUCCCCAAGUGACAAAUGACCAUUUUGCCCCUAGAUAGUGAAAAUUUCGGUUUGACUCCAAAUUUAUCCUUGAACUCCAAAUCACCAUUUUAAAUCAUUCCUGGACCGUGAAACUCUCAAUUUCACCUUAAAUUUCCUAUUUGAACUAGUUCGAGGCUUAAUCGACUUAAUGGUACCAUCAAGGGCAAUAUCGUCUUUUAACGAUUUCUUGAACUUCCUAAAUAUGCAAACAUUCUAUUGAGCAUGUAAAUGACGUCGUAAUUAUUUUAUAGAAUAGGGUUUGACAUAUGCGCACUUCCUACUCGCACAUAGCCGAGUCAAUAUAAUUACACAAUACUAUAUUCAAACAUAUAUGUAUAUCAACAUAAUGCAGCAACAUAGAGAUCCAUGAUAACCACAUGUCAUAACAUAAAAUGGAUUUAUCAAAGGCUUGUUCCCAAGGCACUUGCUUUAACAAAAGUUGUGUAGAAUCAUUCAAAUACUUUGUACAAAACAAUCACAUUCCUAAAAUAGUUUUGAUAGGCAGUCCACUCACCGAUUUAUUGUUGAGCCUUUAGCUGACUCUAAUUCCCCUAAUGAUCCAAUUGGAAGGAUGGGACUUCAUUAGAACUUAGGAUCACAUUAGCACAAGCAAUAGGUCAAUUCACAUACUAUAAACCCUAAAAGCUAUCUCUUAGCUAGCUUUCAAUUGCCACUUUAAAUGGCUAUCUAUGUUCACUAUCUAAAUUACUAUAAAAUGAAUGAACAUCCCCAACAAUAAAACAGCUCAUAAUCUAAAUUACUAACCAUUAUCUACAGCUAAAAACAAAGCUUAGUUCAUCACUCACCUUAGGGUUUCUUUGUAGUUGAAUUUUCUUCUAAUAGCCUCCAAACAAAUGGGGUAAUUUUCUCUUUCUCUCUCUAGAAUGACCAACUAGUGAGAGAAAGCAUGAAAAUAAGAUUUUUCAAGGGUUUUAAGGAGAGAGAGUGGAAGAAUACAAGGGUUCUAGUCAAAAAGGGCUCAAAGGUAUGAAAAAUAGAGCUAGAGAGAGAAAAUUAUGCAAGCUCCACAUCAAGCUUCCAUGGAGGUUGGAAGUAAGGUGAAAGAGAAGAAAGAAGAAGAAGAAAAAUCUGCUCGAAAAUGGGAGAAGAAGCUGCUGAAAACAAGAUAUUUAUAGCUCAAAUUUAUCCAUUCCCUUGAAAUUACCAAAUUACCCCUCCACAAUUUAGCUUAUUCUCCUUCAAUCUUUUAUGCAAUCUUUUUGCUCUUUUGACAUUGAGACAAGGUCCAUAAUGGUCUAGACAUGCUCGGGUUCAUGAAAACUUAAAAUUCUAACCCGAGGUGAAAAAUGACCAUUUUACCCCUACCAUGAAAAUCAUCAAAAUUUUGGUUUCCUUUCCAUUUUACCCCUAAUUUCACCAUCCAUUUAUGCCUUAGGCCUACUUAGGCCAUAAUAUUGUUUAAAAAUCUUACUUUUAUGGGCUUACUAAGGAAAUAACGAAAUUACCCCUAAUUAGGGAUAUCGCGUAUAUUACUAACUACGAGUCUAUAAAGGUCAAGGUCUCACAGGUUCUAUGCAAAAAUGCACAAAAGCUUGAAAAUUGGAGCUAUUUCGAGAGAGGUUAUAGAGGUUUCAUAGCAAGCUUCCAUGGAGGAUAAAAGCAACGUGAGAUGAGAAGGAUGAAAAAGAUGAAGCUGUUGGAGAAUGAAGAAGCUGUUGGAAGAAAAAGAUAUUUAUAGCUCAAGCUUAUCCAACUCCAUUUUUUUAAAAAAAAAAAAGUUGGAAGUUCUCGUAGGACCCAGCUAUCCUGUUAAAUUUUAUUAAUUAUCGAAAAAUGAAGGACAGCAGGGAGGGGGGCACAAACCGAACCUCCAGAAUUACAUGAGAUUGAGAAGAGUUAAGAAAAGUACCUAAUGAGGAAAAUGUAAUUUUAUGUGUAUAUUUGUGAAUGCAAACAUAAAAUUGAAACACUUUCCUGUUACAAGAGUUUAAAUAAUUACUAAAGAAAAAGGCGUAAAAAUAAAUUAGGAGUACCUAAGAAAUCCUCUAAGCUUACCUUCUACUUGCGCAAAUAUCUGCAGGUUUUUGUGCGUAUGCCCCUGGUUGGACAAAUAGUCUGCAGCCUAGUUCCCUUCUCUCUGAAUAUGUGAAAUCCGAAAAAAGAAAACAUUCAAACAUUUUCAGAUUGAGGCUAACAAAUAUCUAGUCUGAGAUGAACCCUGAUGUCCCUCCUGUAUCAUUUGUACAACUACCUGUGCAUCCAUUUCUAUCCAGACUCUAGAUACGUUGUACGCAAUACAUAAUAGCAGACCCCGAUGUCAUGCCAUUAACUCUGCCUGGAAUGAAUUAUGAGGUCCAAAAUUUUCAGAGAAAGCAAAAAUCAUAUUACCUGUAUGGUCUCUAAGAAGACCACCACCAGCAGCAUUCUGGAAUGCAUCUUUAGAACUACCAUCGACAUUCAGCUUAAACUUAUCAAUCAAUGGACGAUGCCAGUAAAUAAUUUUGGGUGGAUCCUGGUUCUUCCGAUCAAAACGGAAACCCUAAUGUGUAGCAAUAUCAAGAUCACCUCGCCAUUGCCAUUGGCGUAACAAAGAACCCUGAAACAACUGCUGUAACAAUUUCAUAAUACGCCAAAUAAUUCUAUCCGGAUACAUUCCAAGGCCUCUAUGCUUAGCAUCAUUUCUUUCAACCCAAAGAAACCAAAAGAUCAGCAAAGGCAAUAAUAUUCGAAUAUGUCCAGGUUUAGUGUAAUCCCCAGAAUAAUACCAAGCAUGAAUAAUUUGCAUAACAUUGUUGGGGUUAAGAACAGAUAUUUGAAAGAAUUUCGCAAAAUAAUUCCAAACCUGUUGUGCAACCGAACCAUCCCAAAAUACAUGCGUAACCGUCUCUUCUGACCGGCAGCAAAGGCAUUUCGAUGCUAAUUGGAAGCCUUUUGAUUUCUUCCGUAACUCCACAAGAAUCCAAUUAUUCACUAAUCGCCAUAAGAAAAAUGAGACAGUAAGUGGGAUACUUGUGUGCCAAAAGAACUUACCUAAUGGAUGACUAGGUUGUCUUUGGUGAAGUAUUUCCCAUGCACUCUUGGUAGAAAAGUCUCCAUUUGGCGUUAAAGCCCAAUAUGCUGCAUCCUCUUGUAAACAACUUAUAAGGAUCUUCAAUAUCUCAUUCACGACAUUAGUUGGCAAUACAGCUCUCAGCUUGUUAACAUCCCACUCAUUAUCAUGAAAAAAAUAAUGAACUUUAAUCAUGGAAUUAGAAAAUGAGGGGAAAGAGUUUACUAGUGAGUCAUCUCCAAACCAAAUAUCAUGCCAGAAAAAUAAAUCUCCUUUCCCAAGCCGCCACCUUAUCUGUUGCCCUGUUAUGUCUCUCCCAAUGAUCAUUCGCUUCCAUGUAGGUGAAUCAUGUGGUUUAGAAGUCACUUUGUGAAGAAGUUGGCCAGUAUAGUAUCUAGCUCUCAUAUAUCGAGUCCACAAGUUACUACAAGUUUGGAAUCUCCACCAUAGUUUCGUAGAGAAAGCCUCAAAAACAUCCGUCAAAUUACGAAUACCCAACCCACCUUCUGAACAACGUAAUGCUAUUUUUCCCUAUGCCAUCCAAUGCAUCUUUUUACUAUCCAAUGAACCUCCCCAAAUAAAAGAAUUAAAAAUUCUCUCAAUUCGUUCAAUAACAAUCACAGGCGGCUUAAGCACUUGGAGCAAAUAAAUCAGCAGAGAUGACAAAACACUUCGUAAUAAAGUAAUACGCCCACCUGGAGACAAAACUUUAUUCUCCCAUCCUGUAAUGCGAUCCCGGAUCUUAUUGAUGAGGGAAUCAAACAGCAACACCUUCUUAGGUCCCUUAUACAGAGGAGCUCCCAAAUAUGUGAUGGGUAAUUUUGUUUGCUGAAAUCCUGUGGCUUGAGCUAUAAUCUGGCAUCUCGAGCUAGACACACUGUUUGCUGUAAUGAAGUUACUUUUGUUAGGAUUAAGCUUCUGCCCUGAAAUCUGUUCGUACUCCUGCAAGAACGUUAACACUUUUUGCAAGGCAGCUUUGCUUCCAUUAGUAAAAAUCAUGACAUCAUCCGCAAAGGCAAGGUGACUGAUAUUUAUAGAGCAUCCGGAUUGAUAAUGCAAUGAGCAGAAUUGAGAGAAUAAAUUAUUUAAACCAUGAGAUAGGUAUUCAGCAGCAAGGAUAAAUAAUAAUGGUGAAAUUGCAUCUCCCUGUCGUAAGCCCCUCUCAGAUUUAAAAUACCCAACUGAUUGCCCAUUAAUCAAUAAAGAAAACCAGCAGUUCGAAAUGCAGCGUUUAAUCAUGUCUAUCCAAUGAGCAUUAAAUCCAAAUUUGUCCAUCAUCAAAUAUAAAAAAUCCCAGUUUAUCCAGUCAUAAGCUUUCAUCAUAUCAAGUUUUAAGACAACAUUACCUCCUCUCGAUUUAUGAUCCAGCUUACCAAUCAAUUCCUGGGCCAGAAGUAUGUUGUCACUGAUCAGCCUACCUUUCACAAAGCCACUCUGAUUUUCGGAUAUCAAUGAAGGCAAUACUGUAGAUAAACGGUUUGCCAAUAGCUUGGUGAUAAUUUUGUUGAGGACAGUGCAUAAGCUAAUAGGCCGAAAAUCCUUCCAUUGCAUUGCAUCCGAUUUUUUGGGUAGUAAAAUUAGAGUUAUAGAUGUAACUCCUUUUGGCAGCCUUGCUCCUCUGAAAAAAUCCUGAACAGCAUAGAGCAGAUCAUUUGCAAUGAUACUCCAGCAAUGUUGGUAGAAGAGAGAGGAAAACCCAUCAGGCCCUGCCACACUGUCUUUAUCAAUCCCAAAUACUACCUCCUUGACCUCAGACAGCGUAGGCACUACACAUAACAACUCGUUAUCAUGGUUAGUUAAUAAACAAGGAAUUAAGGAAGUAUUGAACCUGGUGUUAUCACUGCUGUCUGCUUGUAAAAGAUUAGCAAAAUAAUCCACUGCUGCAGAUUUAAUAAGCUUUUGAUCCUCUACAACCGAACCAUCAUUAUUUUCGAUCCGAAAUAUAGAAUUUUUCACUCUUUUCUUAUGCACUCUCAUGUGGAAAAAUCGUGUAUUAUUUUCCCCCUCCACCAACCACUUAACCCCCGAUUUUUGCUGCCAAUACGCCUCUUCAACGUUGAGCAAAUGAUUGAGUCUAACAUAGGAUAAAUGCAUGCUUUCACGGUUUGCAGGAGAUUGGUCCUCUUGGAACCGUUUUUCACUCUCCUCAGCCUAUUUCUCUACUGCACGUAAGUUGCUAAAGAUGUCACCAAACACAUAUUUAUUCCAUCCCUUAAGUGCCUUUUUAAGUCUCUGAUGUUUCAACCAAAAAGCAUUCAUUCUGAUUCCCUGCAUCGGUAAAUUCCAGUUAUUAGCCACAAACUCUAAAAACCCAUGAUGUUUUACCCAACAGUGAAGGAAACGAAAUGAUGAAGGCCUCUGCACAUUGGAGUUAGAACAGGAGAUAAGCAGCGGGCAGUGAUUUGAACCAUCCCGGUUAGAUGCUGAAUCCGAGUGGUAGUAAAUUGAGAACCCCACUGUGAGUUAUAAACAACCCUGUCUAAUCUUUGAAACAUAUGGGAAUUGGUCCACAUAAAUUUAUUGCCUUCAAAUCUUGCAUCCAACAACCCACAAUCAAAUAAAGCAGUUGCAAAAUCUUCCAUAGCUUCGGUAUGUGGGUCUGCCCCAAAUAAUCUUUCCUCCCUGCUUAAAAUCACGUUAAAAUCCCCUGCAACAAGCCAAGGGUCUUGUACAUCUACUGCAAUCAUUCUUAAAAAAUCCCAUAAAGUAUUCCGUUCCAGUCUAGUACAUUUUGCAUAAAUAAAAUAUGCUUGAAUGGGAAAAGGAAACCAAGGAAACGACAAUUGAACAUGCAAACCUUGAGGGUGGUCAAACCUGGUUUUGCAUGUGAUCCCAUGCAUCCAAAAAAUCCAAAUUUUUUGAGAACAAUUAAAAGCCGCUCCAUCAAAGUCUAGUUUCCUUCUGAAAAAUUCAAUUCUGGACACAUUUACCAUUGGUUCCAAAAUCACCAAAAGUUUUAUUUGGUGCAUCAACUGCAGUUUUUUUAUUCUCCUUUGGAUUACUUUACCAGCCACUCCCCUCACAUUCCAGAGUAAAGCACUAAUCAUGGACAAGAUCUGGUAAUGAAUUGCUUUGAGAUGGAAUCGUCACAAGCUCCAUCUGUCCCCGACUGAUUUCCAUUCUCGGAAUAACCUUCCUCUGAAGGAAUGUAAGAAACGUCACUAUCAGAUUUCCUUCUUCUGGCAAUUGUAGGAUCGUAGUCAAACUGAUGGCUAUCCGAAUCUAGUUUAGAAUCAACGUUACUCAAUGAUCUGCUACUAUCCCUAUCAUGAUUUUGCUGCUUGUUACCUCCAAAAAUUUGGUUCUCCAACAUUUGUCCUUCUUUGUCUGCAUGAUGGAUCACAGAUUGGGAAGGAAUAAGGCUAGGUUCCUUGUUAAAGCAACAAUACCCUUGUCCUUUAAAUACUGGAGAUUCACAAGUGCUGCCAAUAACAUUUCCCGAGGAGGCAUUCUCAGCGCAAAACUUAUUGGAAGAAGAAUGAACAGUGUCGAGUUGAAGACAGCCAUCUAGACUCACUACCUCAUUAUUACCGAGUUGACUCAUCUGUACAUUUUCAUUCCCGACUUGCACCCUUGCAGCUUCCAUGCUUACGCGUUCUGACCCCCAUUUUUGACUCUCCGUAUGGUGACCGACCUUCGAUUCUUUUAGGACGUCCCCAUGCACGUCCACUACUGAAGAUAAACGAUCUUCCAAUUGACGAUUUUUCUUCUUCUUUACUUUUCGGGUUGUUACAUGGCCUGCAUCUACUGCCCGUUGAACCCCAUCAAAGUCUCUUAUAUUCUGUACACUAUCAUAAGUAUCUUCACCGGUCUGCCAACUCUCCCUCAUCAUUGCCCGCGCCGAUAGUAAAAAAUCCCUAUCAUUUCCUGCACCGAUAGCCACACUUCCUUCCUUCGUUCGUUCAAUCGAAACGCCCACUUGGUUAAGCUUUCGAGCUUCCAAAUCUACUUCAUCUUUCUUAUUCGUAGCCUGAAGAUCAUCCAGAUCCAUCCCUUUACCAUGCUUCUUCCUUGGUACCAAUCCCACCAUCGUCGGCUGCGUUUCUUUUGCCUUUGAAAAUUUUUUUGGGUUAUGCAUAUUAUUGUUCACCCUCUCUGUUCUCCCCUGUUCUACGUGAUUCAACUGCACUUGUUCCUCCAACACGCCGACCGCAUCAAACUGAUUUGAUAUCGGUACCUGUACCUCUUUUUGGCUAUUUGGGGGGAUGUUGAUAGGUUUUGGAUCCUUUACUCCGCUCGUACCUGGCUUCUCCACCACCUGCCAUUUUGUACUCUGUUUUGGUUCUAUAAACUGAACUCGAUCUAUUCAAUUCCCUUCGCUCAUACCUUGUUCUCCUUCGAUAGGCUUUUCCUUGCCUUCGUCAUCCCCAUUCCUCUUCACUCUCGUUUUCGGGGGUUGCGGUCGCUUCUUCGGUCGAUGCCCCAGCACUAUACAUGUCGAUACGCCAUGUCCCACAUGGCAGCAGUGUGAACAAUAUUCUGGCAGCUUUGCACAAUCAACUUUUUGCAUAUAUCCUCCUAUCACAGAUCCUGUUUUCCUAUCCCGAGUCACAAUCCAGACUUGAUCAAUGGGAGGCUUUUGGCAAUCAUACUCGAUGCACACCCUUGCCACGCUUGGACGCGUUCCCUUCGCCGUGGCUUCAUCAACCAUCAAAGGACGACCCACUGUCUUUGCUAUCAUCAAUAGGGCAAAUUUCUCAUAUAAGUGUGCCCUUAGGUUUGGGAAUGAUAUCCAAAUUGGCACUAGUGAAGAUUCCUUCUCCGGUUGAAAAUCCGGAAUCCAUUUAAAAACACGCAUUUUUUGAUUCGAGAUAAACCAUACCUGUUUCAACCAGAUCCGGUUGAGGUCAUGUUCGUUUGAAAGUUGAAUCAAAAUAUGCUUGUAAUCAAGCCAUUUUAUCUCGUAUGCACCCACUAAGCCGAUUCCUUUAAAAGCCAUACGGAUCUCGUUUAUGCGCGGCAUCCUGGAGAAUUUUCCGAUCAUGGAGAACUUGAAAGGCUGCGCUAAGGCAGUGAUUUCAUCAUAAAAAAAAACUGCAGCCGGUCUGUCCUUGUACCAAAAAGGUUCACGGGUGGGGGGGAUUAAAGGUGGCUUUUCCCCAGCCGCCACACUCAAGAAGAACUUUUUUUUGUGCACGAGGGGAUAUGGGUGGAUUUUGAAGGUUGUUAUUUAGCAAGCCUCCAUUGUUGACUGGCGUUUGUAAAUCUUUUGGGUCUGUGGGGUCUCGGUUGGUUCCGUGCGGCAUGAUAAGUGACGAUUCAAAAGGCGGGGAUGGUAGUGGGGAAUUCGGCGGCCUUCCAGUCGCCAUUCCGUGAGGGUGAGGGAGGGGUGGAAAGUGUGAAAAUUCCAGAGCGUUUUAUCCAACUCCAUUUAAAUUAUGAAAAUACCCUUAGCAAGUUAGCUUGUUCUUCUCCAAUCCUUUGUGCAAUCUUUUUACUCUUUCGACACUGAAACAAAGUCCAUAAUGGUCUAGAAAUGCUCUAGUUCACGAAAACUUAAAAAUUUUAACCCGAGGUGAAAAAUGACCAUUUUACCCUUACCGUGGAAAUCAUCAUCAUUGUUAUUUCCUUCGUCAUUUUACUCGUAUUUCAUCAUUUAUUUAUGCCUUAGGCCUACUUAGGCCUUAAUAUUGUUUAAAACUUACUUUUAGGGGUUUACUAAGGAAAUGACGAAACUACCCUUAGCUAGUGUUAUUGCAUCUAUGCCUAGUUAUGAGCCUAUAGAGGUCGAGGUCUCACGUAAUCUAUCUUCAUUAAAGCUCUUUCUUCUUUGCUUGUUUAACCAAUUAACCCAUCUUGUAACUGAACAGGCAUCUUGACUUGCUUUCAAACAAUAAAUAAGUUAAAGAAUUAAAGCCUUUUCCUGCACACUUAAAUAAUAUAAUUAGACACCAAUGAAUGAGAAUGUUUUGUUAUCAUACAAAACACAUGGAGUCAAUAUUCUCUCUCUUAUUUUUUAUGAUGACAAAACACUCUUAGAUUAAGAGUGCAAUGUCUAUAUUUAUAUUUUAUAUCUAUGUUCAAGUGAGGGAUUACUCGCCCUUAAUAUAUGCUCCCCUUUAGUAUGUGCAAAAAAAACAAUUUCAAGAUUUUCCUUUAAUCUUUGAAUUAGACGUUAAUGAAUGGGGAAUCAUAAGGACUCAUACAACUAAGUUAUGCAAGCUUAUAGAUAUAGUUCAUUAACUUCAAGAGUCAAGCUUGUAACUAUGUAAGAACAAAUGUAUUAGAGUUAAAUCGUUUCAAGAUCUUGUCAAGAAUCACUUAAAUAGUGUUCAAGAAAAUUUGAUCAUUUUGUCAUAAUCAAAACUAUAUAAUUUUAAAGCUAAUAACUAUCUAGAGAGGCUUGGUUCUAGACAUGUGUAGUGAGUAAGACACAUGCUUGUUAUACCUAUCUAGUAAGACUUGGUGCUAAACAUGUGCAGUAAGACUUGGAAUGGUGCUCAACUAAGCUCAUUGUGGGUUUGGAUUGCAAUCCUCCCUUGGUGAUGUAAUGCGGCUAAAUAUGUUGAUAGAGUGAACUUGGUAAUUAGGCCUAUGAUAGAGUGAUGUUAUAAACAUAAAAAACAAUAAUAAAUAAAAUAGUUACGAACUUUGUAAAUUAGGAAUAAUGUUAUAAUUUUUAUGUGUUUGUGUCAUAGACAGUUAAUUUGAAUUAAAUAAAUAUAUGGAAAUUGUUCAAUGAUGAAAUUUCAAGAAGGUUAUAAGUGAUAAGUUCGAGAGAAUUUCUAGGUGAGGAAAUUCUCUGAACUUCUGUCGUGAGUGCUGGAGAGUUCGAAAAAUUUUCAAUAAAAAUGAUUUGCUUAAAUAAUCAUAAUAAAAAUAACAAAAAAUAAUAAGACAAAACAAAUAAAUGAAAAAAAGGCAUAAAAAUGCAAACAAAUAAAAAGUCUUCAAUGAUGGAAUUUUGUCAUAGCCCAAAUCUUGAGCCAUGACCGGCACAUGGGCCUAAUAAGCAUAGCCCACCAAACCCAAGCAAGCCUUAUUAGAGAUUCUCGAUAAUUCACUAUACUCAUUCUCCAAUCCAUAUUAGUGCUUAAACCAUAUACUUUCGUACCAUAACUUGAGCCAUAAUUAUAAUAAUCAAUUCAAUCUUUAAAACAUAUAAUCAUAAGUAUAUACAAUGAGGUCUAAAGUCUCCAAUCUAAUACUUAUGCCAAGGCCGCUAUCCAUUUACAAUUAAAUAAACAAAGUGCUACGACUCGACCUCUAGUAGCAGAGUGACUUGGAAUGAAAUGCUAUGAGAUGCCUUUACAUAUCUGUAAUGGACCAUAAGUGCCGAUGAUUGCACACUAGGCCGAUCACUAUUUACAAAAGGGAAAUAAGGGGGUGAGCCUCACAGACUCAGUGAUCAUUGGCUCCAUGUGUAGGGAGUAGAUGGGAAACAAGCAAUAAAUAAAUCAUUUGAAUGAUAAAAUCAAAGUAUGAAAUGCUAAUCUUAUAAACCAAAUCACAAUAAGGAUAUUUGUGCCUUGUAAAAAUAAUAUCGUAGAAUCAUAAUACAAGGCUUUCUUUAGCAAAACAAUGUAAAAAAUAAGUGUAACAGAAAGAGUUUCAAUUGCCAGAAAUAUCAUUUAUUAUCAAAAUAUGAAAUACGGUAUAAAGGUAUGCAAGCUCCCAAAAUGUGUGGCAUGUAAAGAAAUCAAAGUGUGUAGCCACAUAAAUCAACUCAUGAUUCUCGAGUAAGCAUGAAAAGCUUUUAUUUAAACAAGAGAAGCUGCAAAGAAAAUCUGAACCCUUUACCAUGUAAAAGAGUACGCGUCGAAAAGCUUAUAAGGCUUUCAAGUAGAAAAGUAAAAUAUCAACACGUGGACCCAUUUCCAUUUAAUAAUAAUCAGGGAGUCUUACUCCACAUGAUUCUUAUAGCCAUGGCAACCUCCAGGAUGUUGGCUGACAUCGGAGAAUCAAGCGGUCGCUACCACACACAUCUCGGAGUCUCACUCUACCGAAUCACUUGUGGCCUAGCCACAUAUACAUAUCACAGGUCGUGGCCCCCGCCACGCCUAACAGACCGUCGGUGACCCAAAGGUUCUCUAGCUAGAGCUCACUCAUGCAUGAGGGUCACACUUAACCGAAGUGAUAGUUGGCCUACUCUCGAUGCACUUGGUUUAUCAAAACCAUUUUCAAAAAUCACAUUGAAGUUUCCAAGUCUUUCGCUUAAAACCAUUUGAAAACAAGGUUCAAUAACCUUUCAAAUUACUUUCCACAUAAAAAGGCAUGGUGUAUUCCUUUAUACAAAGAUCGGACUAAAACCAGUACUCCAAACUUGCAUUUAAAUCAUUUAACAGUUGCAUUUAAACUAUGCAUAUCACACAAAAAUACAAAGCACGGAUUUUGAAUGCAAAACAGUAUAAAAGGCGUGUUUCCUAAUUCUUAAAACACUUUACGUAUAUAGGUCAUCUAUAGAUAUAUCCAAAACAAUUUUCAAAACAACUUGCAUCCAUAAUUUUCUACGAGUUCUACCAGCUCAUGCUUUCCACAAUAACAGUGUAUAAAUCAUUGUAAAUCCAUUUAGAAAUCUCCUAUCGAGGCUAAUAGCUCAUUCUUUCCACAAUUGCAUUUAAUGAAAUCUGGAAAUGUUUAUAAAACGUAUAACAUUAUAUAGCUAUGGAAAUUUUGAAAUAGACACCCCCCACUCACCUUACAAUAGCGGAACGCUUCGUCGCUAUUGAUUCGAGUGAGUAUCUCGCUAUUUCUAUUUGCUGGUCACUAGUUACCUUGCCUGGUACGCCACCACAGUAAACUUUCCUAGCAACAAAUUAAACUCAAUACGUUUAGUGUAUAUCAUUUCCACUUCUCUUUCUCAUUCAAUCAUAAAUCCUCAUUCUACUAACUAGCAUCUUGACACAUUUUUGCUAAGGUUCCUCAUAUCCUUUGCUUGCGUAAUUUCUUUAGAUUGUGAGUAUCGACAACUUGUUUAUAACAUCAAGUACCCAUGUCAACCUUUCCAACGAUUUUUAUUCAAAUUCGUCAUAUAUUUUCUCAACAUAAACCACAUAUUUGGCAGCAAUUAUAAAUAUAAUUUCAUCAAGCAUUUCCUAAGUUUACAUGCACCACAAUUUACAUUCAUAUUCUGCCCAUACUUGCACAAUUAUUUCCUCACAAUAUUCAACUAACCGUAGGCUUUAAAACAUAAUGUUAAGAUUACCGCUUUCCUUUUCCACUUUGAGUCCAUCAUGUACCCACGGGUUUAUUGGCUUGUAUGUCACCAAUUUUUCUCCAAUCAAGCCAAUCUUUGCUGCCACAAGACAUUUCUCUUAGUCACUAACUCAUUUUCAAAGAUUACUCAAGCUAAAAACAAGAAUCCUUACCUUUCCUUGCUUGAGUCACCAAAACCAAGCUUUUUCUUCCUUUCUCUCUUUUUCUUUCUUCUUUAUUUCUUUCCUUUCUCCUUUCUUCCAACUGAUAUCAUCUAUUUUCUUUCCAAGAGGACUGUUUUCCUUGCAAACCAAAGCCAUUUUUCUUUUCAAAUGCAUGGUGGCAAGGUGAAAUGGCAUGGGAGCAAUGAAAAUGGCAUUGGGAGCAUGAAAGAGAAGAAGAAAAUUCUAUUGGGUGGAGAUAAGAACCAGCCAUGGGAUAAGGAUGAAGAGUCAAAGCUUCCAAACUAAUGGCAAAAUUACCAUUUUGCAUUCUAAGGUUUUCACCGUUUUUAAUUGUAUCCUCCCACAAUCUUUUAAUUCCAAUUUCUUUCCAUUUUUCUUCCCUAACACUUGUAUCGAUAAAAUAUCAAGUUUAUGCUUCAACGCAGUAUCACCACACUAUUUAAAUAUUUACUUUCCCAUGCUAACUUUAUUUAAUAAAGACAUGCGAGCCCCAUUAACAUCAUUUUUCUCCAAAAUUUCCUCGUUUUUCUUCUCCUCCACUUAGAUUGACCAUAUAUUCCUUCUUCAUGAAAAAUUUCGAUACUGAAUAAAAUAUUAAUAUUUUAAUAUUAUUUUAUUAAUAAAAAAUUAUUUUAUUCCAAAAUUUUUCACUUGUCUCCUUAGUGCCCAAAAUGUCUUAUUAUGCCCCAAUUCACUUUCGAAUCACUUUUUAUAUCAUUAAUUCAUCUUCGAUAAAAAAUUAUUUUUUAAUUGUUAUUUCCUCACGUUCGUAAUAUUUUAUUCCGAUCUAUGCCUUCAUCCUUCACCACUUGUAAACACUCUAAUUAACCUCAAUUAGCAUCUGAUAAUAUUUAUUAGCCAACAUAUCAAAGUACGAGGUGCUACAAAUUUCAAGAAGGUUAACUGAGAACUUCGAGAAAAUUUCUAAGUGAGAGAAUUUUCUUAAAUUCUACUAUAACUGUUAGAGUACUAAGGAAAUUCUUCAAUACCAAAAAAUUUUUAUCUAUUUAAAAAAAAAAUAAAUAAAAAAGACAAUAUAAUAAAAAAUAGAAAAUAGGUCAAGGAAGUAAAAUUGAAUAUUGAACUAAAAUUUAUUUGACAGGGUUAAAGAUGACACAUGAUUAAUUAGGUACCAUUUGUAAAGGGCUCUGUGAGGGUACUAAUACCUUCCAUAAAUGUAAUCGUACUCCCAAAUCUAAUUUGUUUUGUAUACCAGAACCUAUACUGAUUAGUGAACCUAAGUCAUGCAUAGGACCUCAUUAGGAAAUUUAGAUUCACCUAGGUGGCCUAUCAUACCUAAACGAAAAAGAUUGGUGGCAACUCCUCUUUACAUCCCAUUGAAUGGUUGAGUUUCAAACUCACACGUUACGACACAUAAGACAUGGUAAGUACUUUAACACUAAGGAGAAAACUUGAUGGAGUUAAGUACAGUGGUAGGUUUUGCCAAAUGGUGCCUGCUAGUGAGAGUGAGUUUAAUACAUUUGAAGGUGGAAGAAGUUUGUGGCGCAUUGUUGUUGAUCUAGUACACGCAACUAUACGUAUCAAACAAGUAGACAGUAAGUCCAAAAUCAUAUCCCAUAAGGAUUUGCUGUUAAUUGUUUACUAAGUACUAAAAUUAUGACAGAUUAAUUUUAUUCAAGUAACUCGAUUUUGUAGAUAAUUAAUUAAAACUAGAUUUAAUCAGCAACUAAACUAAUUAACAAAAACUAAAAAUUAACUAGAGAAAGGUAAUAGAUUAUGGGUUCAUUCAACACUUUAUCUGACAUCAAUUCCUUUCAAUAUUUACAUUCAUGGGUAGUUUUUCUAACCUAGAAUCAAACCUAUAUACAAGUCUUUGUCAAGAUGCUUGUAUAAACACCUAACUUAAUUAGGUCACUAUAUGCCUAUAGUAAUCAAUUAAAUAAGGUUCAUUAAGUUAUUGUUCUAAUUUGGUUAUGUAUGGCAUUUAGGCAUAUGCCUACCCCAAUUGCAAAUCAGAUCACCUAAGUGACAUGAACAUACACUAUUCAAACCUUAGUCUAAUCUCAAAUCACUGUAUUGAGUCUCAUUUAGAUUCACAAAUUAUUCAAUUGUUGGCUAGACAAUCAAAAGCAUUAUGAACAAAUUUGAAUAAACAAAACCAUAUCCAUUCAUAAUAAAUAAAAGAGAAACUGUUGUCGAUUUAAUACACGCAAGUGCACAUGACCUUAAAGUAAUAUAAAAGUAAGUUGAGUAUCGUUUCCCACAGAAACUUGUGCCUAUUCUCACUAAGUAUUAAAUUUAUAACAAAGUUGAUCUUCUCCAAGCACUCGAUUUCAAAUGAUUAAUUAUGCUAAAAAUGAACAUUAAAACCAAGAAAAUAAAAUAAAAUAAAAUUUUAUUAAGAAAAAGAUUAAUUCACAACCUAAGAUUGUGGUGUCUUUCAAACUUUCAUAUGAAUUUAACCAUUCUCCCUAACUUAGAUUAAUGGGAUACAUGGCUAACUUAGAAUCCAUAUUAUGUACAAGUCUUUUUCGAGAUCACGUACACAUACCUUUUUCAAAACUAAUUCCAUAUGUCUAUGUAAAUAAUUAGAAAAGAUGCAUUGCGUUUGUGUUUUAAUUUGGCUACUUAAGGUAUUUAGGUAUGUCACGACCCAAUUUCUCAGGCCAUGACCGGCGCAUGAGCUCAAUGAGCACAGCUCUCUAAGCCCAAGCAAGCCAAUCCAUUUACCUUUGCUUAACAAAUUUAUCAUAUCAUGCAUACACACACAUUUUUUUUUUCGGGUGUGAACAUAGCCAAAACACAAUGGCAUUAUUGAUAACAAUAUACAUGCACUAUACCAGUCAUGUAUUUAGCAAUUUGCAUUGCAUACACAUAUUCACAUUGUUAGAUUGUAUUCAUAAUAUAAAAGGACCCAUGACUUUCAGCGGAGACAUUUACAAUAAAAGGGAUUAUUAUCAAAUGCCAGACACAUACCCAGGAGAUGCACUACGGGGACUCCUCGAUCUAGGGUCCAACAGUCACCUGAUCUGAAAACAUGAAUUUUUAUAAAACGUGAGUACAAUACUCAGUGAGUGAACAAGGAAGGGAACAACCAACAAUUAAGGAGAAUUUAAAAUCAUGAAGCAUUUGUUUCAAAACAAUGCAAUUUAGUUCAUUCCUANNNNNNNNNNNNNNNNNNNNNNNNNNNNNNNNNNNNNNNNNNNNNNNNNNNNNNNNNNNNNNNNNNNNNNNNNNNNNNNNNNNNNNNNNNNNNNNNNNNNNNNNNNNNNNNNNNNNNNNNNNNNNNNNNNNNNNNNNNNNNNNNNNNNNNNNNNNNNNNNNNNNNNNNNNNNNNNNNNNNNNNNNNNNNNNNNNNNNNNNNNNNNNNNNNNNNNNNNNNNNNNNNNNNNNNNNNNNNNNNNNNNNNNNNNNNNNNNNNNNNNNNNNNNNNNNNNNNNNNNNNNNNNNNNNNNNNNNNNNNNNNNNNNNNNNNNNNNNNNNNNNNNNNNNNNNNNNNNNNNNNNNNNNNNNNNNNNNNNNNNNNNNNNNNNNNNNNNNNNNNNNNNNNNNNNNNNNNNNNNNNNNNNNNNNNNNNNNNNNNNNNNNNNNNNNNNNNNNNNNNNNNNNNNNNNNNNNNNNNNNNNNNNNNNNNNNNNNNNNNNNNNNNNNNNNNNNNNNNNNNNNNNNNNNNNNNNNNNNNNNNNNNNNNNNNNNNNNNNNNNNNNNNNNNNNNNNNNNNNNNNNNNNNNNNNNNNNNNNNNNNNNNNNNNNNNNNNNNNNNNNNNNNNNNNNNNNNNNNNNNNNNNNNNNNNNNNNNNNNNNNNNNNNNNNNNNNNNNNNNNNNNNNNNNNNNNNNNNNNNNNNNNNNNNNNNNNNNNNNNNNNNNNNNNNNNNNNNNNNNNNNNNNNNNNNNNNNNNNNNNNNNNNNNNNNNNNNNNNNNNNNNNNNNNNNNNNNNNNNNNNNNNNNNNNNNNNNNNNNNNNNNNNNNNNNNNNNNNNNNNNNNNNNNNNNNNNNNNNNNNNNNNNNNNNNNNNNNNNNNNNNNNNNNNNNNNNNNNNNNNNNNNNNNNNNNNNNNNNNNNNNNNNNNNNNNNNNNNNNNNNNNNNNNNNNNNNNNNNNNNNNNNNNNNNNNNNNNNNNNNNNNNNNNNNNNNNNNNNNNNNNNNNNNNNNNNNNNNNNNNNNNNNNNNNNNNNNNNNNNNNNNNNNNNNNNNNNNNNNNNNNNNNNNNNNNNNNNNNNNNNNNNNNNNNNNNNNNNNNNNNNNNNNNNNNNNNNNNNNNNNNNNNNNNNNNNNNNNNNNNNNNNNNGCCAUUUUCCUUGAAAUAAAAACAAUCCCCCAUUGAUAUUCAGCCCUCAUGGUUCGGCCAACAAGGAACCCUAGAGAAAUUGAAUAUUUCUUUUGUGUUUUUGUUCAUAACCAUGCUUAACUAUCCCUAAACACUAACAUAGUCUAAAAUCAAAUUAUUCCAACAACAAUUCCUCUUCCAUACCCAUUUUUCAGAAUUGAAUUCAUCAUGAUAACUCAAUAUUCAACCAUGGAAAUCAAGAACAAAAGCAUGGGUAAGCUAGGUAUCAAGGAGAAUUAAAGAAAUUUUAACUUACCUAGCUUUUUUCUUUGAUUUCUUCACUUUUUCUUUGAAUUUCCACCUAGGUUUUCUUCUUUUUCCUUUUGUUCUUCCCUUUUUCUUGUUGCUGGAUGCCUAGGCCGAAUAUGGUGAGGCAAUUGGGGAUUUAAUGGGCUGAUUUCUAUAGAAAAUAAUAAAAUAAUCAAGCAUGCCAUGUGUCACAUGCUUAUUGCCCCAAUUUUUAACUUUUUGACUUUUUCUUCUUAAUUUUCCAUCACAAAUAUUCUGGUAUUUAUCCAAUCCUACCACAAUUAAAAUCCCCUGGUCUUGACAAGUGCUGGGGCAAAAAUUUUACUGAUUUGCCCCCGGGAUGAAAAAAUUAUGAUUUUGCCCCUAUACUCCGAAAUGUACCGGAAUCUCAUUAUUUCUACUUUUCAACCUAAAAUAACACUAAUAUUGAUCAAUAUUAACCAAAUGGGGCAAAAAUUAUUUAAAAAAUUUUUGUUUAGUCCUCUAGUAGCAAAAUUACCAUUUUACCCUUAUGCUCCAUAAAUACCGGGAAUCACAAUUUUUCACUGUUAAACAUCAUUUUAUACUCCAGUAAUCAUAAUUAUAUUUCAUAUAAUUAUUCUUGGUCAAAUGUGAUCAAAUCUUGGCUAAAAAUCUCCAUUUUAUCAUCAAAUGGUAAAAUAACUGUUUUGUCCCUAAUUGGUCAAUUUUUUGAUGGACUCCAAAUUGGACCUUGAACUUCAAAUCACUAUUCUAAGCCAUUCUGUUGGUUUUAAAAUUUUAAAAUUCCUCUUAGAAUUUCUAUUUGAACUAGUUCAAGGCUCGAUUUAACUUAGUUGUACCACUUGGUACAAUACCAUCUUUUAAUCGAGCUUGACAAGGUCUCACAGGUAUAUAUCUAUCUUAAAUACGAAAGUAUCACCUAACUCUGAAGUGAAUCAAACAUAGGUUAUUUAAAACAAUAGUUUAUUCUAAACUCCCUCUAUCGAGUUGCAUUUAGAGACUCAAGAUAUUUCAACUGGUGAUCAGGUAGUGAAACCAAUAAGUACAAAAUUGAAUAAACCAUCCAUCAUCCAUUAAUACUAAGCAAAGAGAAAUCUUAUAUUCAAACUACAUAAUGAAAAAACCCAUAAUCCUAGAAAGCAAAUUUAGUUCAUCAUUGUUUUUACAAUAGACAUAAUUAAUUUAGAAAAAAAAAGAUCAUUUAUAUAGCAAAAGAAUAAGAAAGAAAUGAAGAGUAAAGAAAUAUCAAACUUUCAAUUAUUGAUCUUCGGUUGCCUUCAAUUUUUUUUCGUUUCUUUCUUUGGAGAGCCUUUUUCUUUUCUCUCAAAAAUUUCCAUUCAUUCAUUCUUUAAGCCUCUCCUAUUAGCUACUAAAAUCACCUAUUUAUAGCCUCCAGGAAAUCUUAAAAUCCAAUUUCCUGAUUGGUUGCAAAUUCAUAAUUCACGUUAAAGUGCCACAACCUUGCUCUAUGGGAGUCGCGAUGCUGUGGCCUUAUAUAUUAUUUUUCAUGGUUUUUCAACUAGAGUUGCAGCGCUCCUCCUUGGGUGCUAUGGCCUUGAGCUUUGCAAGGUCGUGACACUACUUCUUAUGCUGCCUUGGUGCAAAAGUAUUGCAGUGCCUUAUUCGACAAUGAAAUUUUCUCCUACCUUGACGAUGAUCUUGGUGAAAUAGAAAACAUGAAAGUUUUAGGUCUGCCUCGUAUCUUUCCUAUGGUCCAAGAAUCACAUUGAUUGGAUCUAUGUAGCUCGAGUUAUGUCUAAAUUACUACAUGUUCAAUGAAAAUCUGCACUUAGUCUCCAUUGCAUAGUUCAUCACCAUUUAAUUUUUAUGCAUUUGAAAACCCAUAAACACAAGAACUAAAUCCGAAUUGGCUUUAAAUAAGGUUUUCAACAUGGGAAUAACUAGAAUUACUUGAAUUGUCUAAGUUAACAUGCUUUAAACUAGCCAACUAAAAACAUAAAAAUUGUCUAAAGACUACAUAAAACAUAAGGACUUAGCUACAUUAAGAUCUCAAAAUGUGACUAAAUAACUCUAUAUAAUAAAGUUUUCAAACCCCUAAACUUAAUAUUUUGUGAGUCCUCGAGAAAAAUUAAAAAUAAAAUUAAGAAGGCAUAAUUGAAAAGAUCAAGCAAAGAAACUGCACCAAUCCAUUAAUCACCUUUAAUUUCGUCAUAAAUUGUCUUGUCUUCCCAACUUAUAGCAAGGCAUCGAUAUUGUAUUAGUUUACAUUUCAUUUUAAUGCAAGCUUAUGUUCAGAUGAAUUUUAUGUGUGUGUGUGUGUGAAAUCUCUUAUAAAGAGCAUCAAGCACUUCGAAUAAGACUAUGCUCAUACAUAUUUCAAAUUAGCUCAAAAUUUCAUAUGUUUGCUUUUCACUUAUCUCUCCAUUAAUGUAAGCUAAUGGUUAAUUAUGGAUUCUUAGGACUUUAUUCAAUUUGUAAUAUAAGGCUAGGGUAAGGAUAGGAUAUAGGAUAUAAUGAGGCUCAAAUCACCAUAAGCAUAAAAUUAUUCUAGGACCUAUAUAACCUUACUUCUCUUCACCAAGUAUACCUUUCUCUUUCCCUUCAAUUUUCAUUUGUCAAGCAUUUAUUCUUUUUUUUAUUCUCAAAUCAACACCCCCAAACUUGUUUCUUUUAAGGAUAGUGGGAUGAAUGUUUUACAUUGAAUUUCGAAUUUUUCUCCACUUCAUCUUUUCCAUCUUUUCUUCAAAUAAUUCAACAUAUAUUUUAUAAAACAAUGUACAUGUUUAGGAGUGAGGGUUGUAGAAUUGAAAAUUAUUUAGAAGCUAGGCUAACUUAUUUAUGGUUGAUAAAGAAAAGUGAAAACUUUUUUGCUCGAAGGGGUAUACUAGGGACAAAAUUUAACUGGGUUGGCUGGAAAGUCUCAAUCGACCCAAGGAUGGCCUAAGUCAUUUCCCUAACUAAGUGUAGCCUAUAAUUUCACCUCAAGAUGGAUCAAACAAAUUCUAAAAUUCCAAACAUAGUAUAAAAAUUCGCAUUCAUAUAAUCAUUCUCUAAAUGUACAUAAUGACUCAAUAUAAGAGAUAAAGUGCUUAAUUGUGGAAUUUCCAUCCUACUUCAACUAGAAUCAUGUUUACUAAAAGUGACAAGAAUAAGAAGACAACUAGGUUUCAACAUUGGAUAAGUAAAUCAAUUUCAUGGUGCAUUACUCUACCUUCCAGUUUCAGCACACUCCUACCCUAACAUGCAAUGUAAUAUGCUAAGAGAAAGCAUAAAAAGUCCCCCUCAAACUUAAAGUGAACAUUGUCCCCAACGUUCCUAGAGGUAAGAAAGAAAAUACUACCCUAUGCUUGUAAAUGACAUCACACGUCAUCCUCUUCCUCCGCAACGCUGACUUUAUUGUUAUUAUUAUUUUUAUUCAAAAGUCAUAAAAAAUAACCUAUAAAAACAUGAAAAAGACAAUAAAAUUAGCAAAAAAAAAUUAAAAUGCAAUAAAAACUAAAAAUAAAAGUCCACUAAAAAAAUUGAAUAGGCCAAAAUUAUAUAAGUGUAGAAAACUUGGGUUACCUCCUAAACAAUGCUUUCUUUAUCGUCUUUAGCUAGACUCUUUUUUCAACCUCUUCAUCCUUUCUCAUCAUAAGACUUGAGGCUCAACACAUUGACCAUCAACAAAUCAGUGUCUUCACUCUCGACCUCCAUAAUGCCAUGAGGAUAGAUUUUCCUCAACUUAAAAAGACCUAACCAUCUUGAUUUACUUUUCCAUGGAAAAAGCUAGAAGUGGGACUUAGAAAGUAAUGAGACUUGCUACCCAACCUUAAAAUACAUAUAGGUUGAAGGUGAUAGUUCAACACUAAGGCUUGCUCGCUCAAGUGGCUAUGGUGGAGUAAUCUUACCUUUACCUUUAUCGUCUACGUCCACUCUACAGCAAUGAGCUGUAGAGCAAAGGUACUUAGUUGUAUUGAAGAUAGUAAAUUCAACUACCUCUUCUCCAACUCUAAAAGUUAUUCUGCCUUCCUUUACAUUGAUGAGUGCAUCUAUAGUGGCCAAGAAUGGAUGUCUCAAUAUAAUUAGAACUCUUCGAUCCUCCUCCAUCUCAAGUACAAGAAAGUCCACUAGAAUGUACAAUUUCCCCACUUUAAUCAAGACAUCCUUUAUAAUCCAAUAUGGUUGCCUUAUUAUUCUGUCUACUAACUACAAAGUGAUUGUGGUAAGUUGAAUCUCUUUUAAUCCAAUUUUCCUAGCAACAGACAAAGGAAUAAUUAAGAUACUAGCACCCAAAUCACAUAAAAGCAUUCAAAAAAUUAAAAUUACCAAUUGAGCAAAUGACAAAAAAACUCCCUAAGUCCUUAAGGUUUGGUGGAAGCUUGUUCUAGAUUAUAGCAUUGCACUCGCCAAUAAGUAUAAUUGUCUCAAAAUCCUCCAAUUUCCUCUUUUUCGACAAUAUGUCCUUCAAAAACUUCACAUAUGACGGCAUUUGCUCUGAAGCUUCUACCAAAGAAAUGUUGAUGUGAAGCUGUUUGAAUACUUCGUGAAACUUUUGGAAGUGCUUAUCAAGCUUUGUUCUUGAAAGUGUUAAGGAAAAGGUGGUGGUGGUAGGUUUGACUUUACUUCGAUGUCUUGACUUUGCUUAUAAGAAAUCACUAUCUUUGUCUUUUUCUUAUCAAACUUUUCUGGUUGUUUAGCUUGCUUUAAAUUACUUUCAACUUGCUUACCACUUCUCAAAGUGAUGGCCAUGACAUGUUCCUUACCUUCCUUCUUUGGAUUUACCUCUAUAUCACUAGGUAAAAUUCCUUGAGCUUUGUUGUUUAUUGAGAUUACCAAUUGUUUAACUUACGUCUCAAGGUUUCUUAAAGGCUGCUUAACUUUAAAUGAUGGAGUCUAUCUUGGCCAUGUACUACAUCAGCAACUUCUCCAUUGAUGAUUUCUUAUCCGAAAUAGGGGUUCUCGAUUGCUGUUGAAAACUAAAGGGAAUGUUCAGCCUAAAAGCUUAUGCUUCUAGACUAUUUCCCCAAGAAAAGUUUGGAUGGUUCCUCCAUCUGGGAUUAUAGGUGUUGGAAAAGGGGUUGUUUUACUAUUUGUUUCAAACAAACUAAAUGAUUUCCAUGUUGUUACUGGGAACUAAUCACUAGCAUGCCAUCUCCAAAAUGUUCACACACUACAAAAGAACUUUGAAUAGGCUUAGUACUAAAAGAAUUAACCUUUUUUGUUAGAGCAGCUACCUGUGCAAUUAAUGCCAUGAUGGCAUCAAUCUCAUGAACUCCAACUACCUUUCUAUGUGUAGGUCAUUUUGAUGGCCAUUGAUAAUUGUUUGACGCCAUCUUUUCUAAUAGGUCAUAUGUUUCAUCGAUAGUCUUUCCCAUGAGAGCUCCUCUUGCAACUACAUCAAUUGUGUUUCAAACUUAGCUAUGCAAUCCAUUGUAAAACAUAUGUACUUUAACCCAUUUUGGAAGACCAUGAUAUGGGCAAUGCCUAAGUAAGUCCUUGUAUUUAUCCCAAGCUUCAUAUAAUGACUCACUAUCAGAGUGUAUAAAUGAAGUGAUAUCGUUCCUCAUUUUAGCUAUCUUCGCCAAAGGAAAGUAUUUUGCAAGGAACUUCUGGACAAGAUCAUCUGAUGUUGUGAUUGAACCCAUGGGUAAUGAAUUCAACCACACCUUUGCUUUGUCUCUUAAUGAAAAUGGAAAUAAUCUCAGUUGAAUGGCAUCAUCUGUGACCCUGUUGUGCUUAAAUGUGUCACAUAUCUUUAAGAAAUUAGAUAUGUGAGCAUUUAGGCUAUCAUUCAAAAGACUUCCAAACUGGACUGAUGUUUGGAUCAUAAUUAUAAUGGCUGACUUGAUCUCAAAAUUAUUUGCUUGAAUGCUUGGCCAUCUAAUGCUUGAUAGGAUACCUUGUACUAGAGAAAUAGCAUACCCUUUAACGAAUCAUUCUCUUCAACUACCCUCUCUUGGACUUGCCAUUCUCUUGGAUGUUCAGCCAUUGUAUUAGAAGAAACAAAACCUUGUUGACUAACUCGUCUCAAUCUUCAAAAUGUCCUCUCGAUCUCUGGGUCACACGAGAUAAUCUCUAAGUUUUGUGCUCUAUGCGUACAACGUCAAAACUUACCUGAAAAACACAAAAGAAAAAAGAAAAAAACUUAGUCUAAGAUAACCUGUUUAAUUUAAUAUAAUAAAGGUAAAUAGGAAAACAAAUCCCUAGUAACAGCGCCAAAAACUUGUUGUCAAUUUAAUACACGCAACUGCACGUGUUCGUACAAGUAAUAUAAAGGUUUGAGUAUUGUUUCCCACAAAGAUUUGUACCUAUUCUCACUAAGUAUUAAAUUUUUAACAAAGAUGAUCUUAUCCAAGCACUCGAUUUUGAAUGAUUAAUUCCACUAACACUGGUUGUUAAAACUAAGUAAAUAAAAUAAACUAAAAUUUUACUAAAAAACAUAUUCAUUAAAAACCAAGGAUUAUGGUGUCUUUCAAAAUUUCAUUUGAAUUUAAUCAUUCUCCUUAACUUAAAUUAAUGGGAUACACGAUUAACCUAGAAUCCAUAUUAUGUACAAGUCUCUGUAGAGAUCAUGCACACAUACCUUUUCAAAACUAAUUCCAUAUGUCUAUGUAAAUUAAUUAGCAAAGGUUCAUUGCAUUUGUGUUCUAAUCUGGCUACCUAAAGUAUUUAGGUAUAUGUCUAUCCUAAAUACGAAACUAUCACCUAACUCUGAAGUUAGUAGAACAUAGGUUGUUCAAAACAAUGGUUUAUUAUAAACUCCCUUUAUUGAGUUGCAUUUAAAGUCCCAAGACAUUUCAACUGGUGAUCAAGCAGUGAAAAGCAAUAAAUACAUAAUUGAAUAAACCAUACAUCAUCCAUUAAUAAUAAGCAAAGACAAAUCAUAUAUUCAAACUACAUAAUGAAAUAACCCAUAAUCCUAGAAAACAAAUUUAGUUCAUCGUUAUUUUUACAGCAGACAUAAUUAAUUCAAAAGAAAAUAUCAUUUCUAUAGCAAAAGAACAAAAAAGAAAUGUAGAAUAAAGAAAUAUCAAAGCCUUUUUCGAUUUUUGAUCGUCGGUUGCCUUCGAUUUCUUCUCUUUUCUUUGAUUGGGGAGCCUUUUUUUUUUUCUCUUAAAAACUGCCUUUCAUUCACUCUACAAGCCUCUCCUCUCAUUUACUAAAAAUCACCUAUUUAUAGCCUUUAGAAAAUCCUAAAAACUCAUUUCUUGAUCGGCCACAAAUUCAUAAUCCAUGUUAGAGCACCGUGGCCUUGCUCCAUGGGCACCACGGCUUUGCUGCCUUAUAUAUUCUUUUUCAUGGUUUUUCAACAGGUGCUAUGACACUCCUCCUUAAGCACCAUAGCAUUGGCUUCUAAAAUUUGUAUGGAAGCAUUGCUACUCCCUUGGGCACUGCAACCUUGAGCUUUGCAAGGUCACGAUGCUACUCCUUGUGCUGCCUUGGUGUAGAAUUGUUGUAAUUCUUCAUCUUAAAACACAUUUUUCUCCUACCUUGAUGCUGAUCUUGGUGAAAUGAUAAACAUGAAAGUUUUAGGUCUGCCUCUUAGCUUUCCUAUUGUUCAAAAAUCAAGUUGAUUGGAUCUUGGUAGCUCAAGUUAUGCCAAAUUACCGCAACAUGUUCAGUGAAAAUCUACAAUUAGUCUCUGUUGCAUAGUUCAUCACCAUUUAAUUUUUAUGCAUUUGAAAACCUACAAACACAAGGACUAAAUCAGUAUUGGCUUAAAAUAGGGCUUUCAACAUGGAAAUAACUAGAAUUACUUGAAUUAGGCUAAGUUAACAUGCUUUAAACUGAUCAACUAAAACCAUAAAAACUGUCUAAAGAGUACUUAAAACAAAAAGACUUCGCUACAUUAACAUCUCAAAAUGUGGCUAAAUAACUCUCUAUAAUAGAGUUAUCUAGAAAAAAAAUAUGCAAAUUACAUGUUGAAAUCCACCACAAUCUUAGAAAAAUAGUUUAGCUCAAAAUAUCUAAUAAAAACAUCAUCCAAAGGAAAGUAGCCAUUAAUCCAAGUCAAAGAAACUAAGAGAAACACAAAAGUAAAGAGAGAAACUAAUAGUUUGAAGCUUUUGAUGUCACAGCCCAAAUUCCAGGCUAUGACCGACGCAUAAGCCCAAUGGGCAUAGCCCACUAAGUCCAAGCAAGCCUAUUUAUGCAAUCCCGAUCAUCAUUCCAAACCAUCAUUUCUCAAACCCAUAUUGUAAUUCUCAACUAAAAAUAUUUCAAUAACAGUUUAUAGUAACCCAAUACUCACAAUUGUAUUAUGCUAACAUAGUAUCACUCAUUUGCCACCUUACAGUGGCUUCAGUAAUCAAAUAUACAUAUUUGAUUUUUUUACAUGAAUCCUAGUGGUCUUCAUUACUUAUACAUGUACACAAGCAUAAGACUCAUGAUCGUCAGCGGAGUGACUCUAUGUGAAGAUAUAGCUACUGAGUUACCAUAGUACCUACCAAAAAGAUGAGCAUACAUGGACAGCUCAAUCUAGGUCCUAAUGCCUUUGAAUUUGAAAACAUGAAGUUUGAAAAUGUGAGUAUAAACUCAAUGAGUGAACAUAAGAAGGGAACAAGCAAUCGACAGGAAGAAUUUGGAAAUCAUGAUGCACUUGUUUAAAAAACAAUGCAAUUGAUUUAAUUUCUUACUAAAAACCCCUCAUUUCAAACUUUGAUCAAUAACCUCAUAGUGUUUCAAAAACCCAUGAUCAAUCCAUGAAGUUAAAUGGGUGAAAACUAGGUCAAAAUCAAGCAAGGUAGCAAGCAUGGCGGCAAGUUUCUCGCUGCCGCGAGAAACAGUCUCAAUUUGCAUAUGUUUCAGUGUUUCUAUUAUAUCUCUAAAUACAGAAGUCCAAUUGACCUUAUUUUUAAACCAUUAGAAAGAUAAGAGGCAGAUAUACAACUUUAAUGUUUAUCACUUUUCCCAUUUCAAAGGGGAAAGUGGUCAAAAUCUUCAUCAAAGUGAAAGUACUGCACCAGAACCCGAGAGUUUCUCUCUGCAACGAGAACCAAGCCAGUGUGACCCCCAAAACCCGAGAGUUUCUCAGUGCAAUGAAAAUGAAUCUCGUUGUAGUGAGAAAUAGAGCAUUUUAAUUGAAAUGGGUCUUGUUACAUCAAAAGCCAUUUUCUUGUUGAAAUGAAAAGCAAUUUGAGAGCAAUUAACAAUGCUAACUUGCAACACAAUCACAAAUAUUUUCAUAACUUUCUAUAACACACACAUAUAUACACAUAUGCAUUCAUCAUCAUGUGUGCACUCCCUACUCGCACACUUUAACAUCAUCAUGUGUGCACUCCCUACUCGUACACUUCAACAUCAUCAUGUGUGCACUCCCUACUUGCACACUCUAACAUCAUCAUGUGUGCACUUCCUACUCGCACACUCUAACAUCAUCAUUUGUGCACUCCCUACUCGCACACUUCAACAUCCUCACACAACAUUAUUCAUCAAUGCACAAUGUAUAUUCAUAUACAUACAUACCAACAUAAUAUAGGAGCACAUGGAUUCAUCCUUUUACACAUUUCACAUUUUCACAACAUCAAAGUAUUUUAUCAAGGGCUUGUUCCCUGGCACGCAUUUUUAAACAAAGGUUGGAUAAAAUCAUUCAAAUGUUUCAUCCAAACACAUGUGAAAUGCAAGGUCACUCACCGGUCUUGUUGAUUCUUUUGCUUGACUCUAACCUCAACUAAUACUCCAAAUGGACAUGUGAGGCCUUGUUGGAACCUAUACACACACAACAUCACAACUAACCCAAAUUGGCAUUAAUAUAAUCCAAAAGCUCUUUCCUAAUCAAGUUCCACUAGUUAUUCCUAACUAGCUUCCAAUUGCCAUUAAAUGGCUAGUUAUUCACACUACUCUAGUCACCCUAAGAGUGAAUAAACAACCUCAAUGAUAAAACACUCACAAACCCCAUUAUUAGCCAUUAUCAAUAACUAAAGAAAUUUAACCCUAACUUAUACUCACCUUGAUGGUCUUUGUAGUUGAAUUCUCUUUCAAAAUUCUUCAAGCUAACAAGGGAAAUCACUCUCUCUCUCUACAUGUCCAGCUAGUAAAAGGAAUAUGAAAGUAAGACUUUUUUUAAGGGUUUUAAGGUGGGAGAGUGAAAGAGCACAAAAGGUUCUAUGAAAAUGUGUUCAAAAGCAUGAAAUUGAAGCUAGAGAGAGAAAGUUAUGGAAGCUUUAAGGGAGGCUCCCAUGGAGAUGAAGAAACAUGAGAUGGGAAAGGAAGAAGAAAUGGCUGAAAGUUGCUGGAAAUUGCUAGAGCUUUAGAUAUUUAUAUCUAAAGUUUGUCCAUUUUCACUUAAAUUACCAAAAUGCCCUUAACAUGGUGACUAUCUUCCUCUCAUUCUUUGUGCAACCUUUUACUAUUUUGACACUAGGGCAAGGUCCAUAAUAGUCUAGAAAUACUCGAGUUCUCAAAAACAUAAAAACUUAUACCCGAGUUACAAAAUAACCAUUUUACCCUUAUCAUGAAAAUUAUCAUUAUUUUUAUCUUCUUCAUUUAUUUACCAUCAUAAACAUCAUUUAUUCAUUCCUUAGUCUUAUUUAGACCUUAAUAGCAUAAAAAAAGCCACUCGUAGGAGCUCACUAAGAGAAAUUAUGAAAUUACCCCUAAUCUGCAUUAUCGCGUCUACUUCUAGUUAUGUGUCUAUAGAGAUCGAGAUUUCAUAGGUUCACUUCUGAAUUACCUUUUUUAACUUGGUAAUUAACCUUAAUUAGCAUCCGUAAACUCUGUUAGCCACCGUAUCAAAAUACGAGUUUCUACAUUUGAUUUCAAUUCUCCCUCAAAUUCUUUUGUUUUCUUGCUUUGUUUUUGACUUUUUUUUUCUCCAAAAUAGUUUCUUGCCAUCUUCUUUUUAAAACCUCUGAAAAAGGUCUGUUAAAUAGGCUCCAAAAUCCUUAAUUUCCAAAUCCAGUCAAAAGUUUAUUUUUGAAAGUCUGUCUAGCAUCGUGGCAUUUAUCUCCUUAGUGCUAUGGUACCUUAGCCUCGGCAUGAAGUAUGGUGCAUCUUUUUCUUCCAGCACAGCAGCCUUACUUCCUCAACGCCACAACGCCUUACUUCCUCAGCGCCACAAUCCUCUACUCUCGAGUUCUACUAUGAUGCCCAUCUUCCUUGUGGCACUGUGGCCUUACUCUCCUCAAUGCCAUGGUGUCGUACUUACUAGAUGAAGUAUGUGUCUUGAUGCACUUCGACAUCGCAGCCUUGAGUAACUCAAGGUCAUAGCUCUCAUUCCGUUGUGCUGCCUUGUGCAGAACUAUAGUCUUCUAGCCCUUUCCAACAUGAUAUUCACCUUAAUAUGUUCCAAACUGAGUGAAGUGGUAAACAUGAAAGUUGUAGCCCUAUCUCUUUUCCAUUAGCUCAAGAAUCACAUCAAUUGGACUAUUGUAUCUCAAUUUAUGCUCAAAACACUACAAUAUAUAUAAAUGAAGCCAUCACCAUACUUAAACAGUUUUUCAUAAAAUAAACCUUUCUCAUCGAAUUUCCUACAAGAACAACAUACAAAUCAACAAUAAAUAUACUUACAGUAAUUUAAAAUAAAAUAAAACAUAAAAUUCACUAAUAAUAAGUUAAAUUAAAGUAAUCAACAUGUAAUUAAAAUUAACUAAGAAAAACACCUAAACUACUAAAAUACAAACCUAAAAUCUCAAAGACCUAGUUAUUUAAGUCUCCCAAAAAAGUCAAAAUAACUAUGUAUAACAAAGUUAUCACACCCGCAAAGCUUAAGAUUUUGCUAGUCCUCAAGCAAAACAUAAACUAAAGUACAAUAACAUAAAUAAAGGAAACAACUUGACUAGAAAUAAAUUGCAUCAACUCAACAAUCACCUACAAUAUUUUCAUAAAUUAAUCCAUAAUCUCUACUCUAAGCAACACAUAAUAUUAUCCAAGUUCAUGUACAAUUCAAAUACAAGCUCAUCGUCAAGUGGAUUUUCGUGUGUGUGUGCAAUCGUUUCACCUAGAACAUAUACAAUCCAGAUAAGUUUAUAAGCAUGCAAAAUUCAAAUUAGUAUUGAAAUUCUAUAAGUUUGCUUUUCAUCUCUCUCUCCACUAAUGAAGACUAAUACUAAGUCAAUGAUCAAUAGGGCUUUAUCAAGCUUGUAAUGUAUGACUAGGGUCAAUGUAGGAUAAUGGAUAUUAUAUAGCUUAAAUCACCCUAAGCACAUAGUCAUUUUAGGACCUAUAAAGAGCUUUAUUCUCUUUCACCAAUUUCACCAUUUUUUAUAAAAUUUUCCUUUUGUUCAACACUUCAUUCUUUUUCUUCCCUUUUUCUUUUCUUUUUCUCAAUAUUACAUUCCCAAACUUAUUUCUUUUAUUGGGUAGUAAAAUAAAUACAAUCAUACUUUUGAUCUUUUAUCACUUUUCAUCUUUACUAUCUUUUUUCACUAUCUAGCUCAUUACACUUCCUAAAUUGACUUAUGCACUUAGGAAUGGGGGAUGUAAAAAUUGAAAAUUUUUAUAUAAGGGUCUAGGUUACUAAUUAAGUGUUUAAACAAAGAAAAUGUUACAUUAGGUUCAAAUGGGAAUUCUAAGGAUAAAUAUAUAGCAAGGUUGGCUCGAAAGUCUUAAACAUCAUCUCCUUAACUGCAUAUAGCCUAAGAUUUCUCCGAGAGAGAGAAUAAAAAAAAUUCUAGAAUUCUAGACAUAAUUCAAAAUUUCACAUUCCCAUAAACCUUCUCUAGAUAUGUACAAUGAAUCUAAGCAAAAUUCAUGUUGCUCAAGUCGUAGAAAUCACAUCCUAACCAUGAAGCUUAGCAUAAGACUUCACAUAAUAUUUAAACAAUAUUCACAUGUUUCUAAGAAUCAAGAUAAGAACAUAACUAGGUUCUUAUCAUUAGAUAGGUAAAUUAAAUGAAAUUGGCCCAAUUAAAUCUAGCUCAAGUUCUUAAAACAUGCAACAAAUUAGAUGAUAAAUAACUUAAUUAAGUUAAAAAUUAAAACCAUAAAGAAAACAAAUCUUAAAAACUAAAAUCCCCCCCCCCCCAAACUUGAAAAUAACAUUGUCCCUAAUGUUAUGAAAAGUAAGGAAAAGGAAUGCUCUCUUGACUUGCUGUCAACCUCUACUGAUCAUCCUCCUCGUUAUCUUCAUUCUAGUCUUCCACUGUGGAAUCAUUUGGCAAAAUGGGAAAAAGGCCAUGCCCAUGCCAACAUGCUUAGCUUAAGCUCGUAUCAUCUUCUCAUUUGACUGCAUACAUGUUGCAUGAUGAUCAUUCGAAGUUAAAGACUUUCCAUUCUCUAAGACAUGGAAAAAUGUUAAGGCCGUUGUUGUGGUGGUGCAUGGCAUGGAGUUGAUGAAAAACUUUCUUCAGCAGCUGAAUGCUCCAAAGCAUAAAGCCUAUGCAUAAUGCCUGCAUCCAAAGGAACUUUAGGAUGCAAAAUUUCUUCACUUUUGUCCCAAUUCACUCCCACUUUCUUGCAUAAAGCCAUGAUCAAGGAUGGAUACCAAAGUCCAUCACAUGGCCAACAAGCAACUUGAACAAUCUUAUUGAACACCACAUGAGCCACAUUAAUUGAAAUUCUUGAAACAAUUGCAUACAAUAAAAUGGCUUUAUCCCUUGUCACGUCACUCAAAUGCUUCACAAGAAAUAAUCUCACCACCAAAAAGUGAUAGCAUAACUUGUGAUCAUUCUUCAUGGCGCUAGCUUUAAAAGAUAUUUGUAUGCCCUUAUUUAUUUUUCCACUCUACACCGUCAUUACAAAGCACUCCAAUAGCUCCAUCCAAAUCAAUAUUGCAUGCCAAAAAUUGCCCAUGCUCAUCACUUUCAAUAUCAGGUAAGUUGUAGAAUUGGUAUAAAGUCUGACUAUUAAAGCUUACCUGACAUCUUCAGACAAAAACCUACCCAUUCUCAUGUUCAACAACAUUGGCAUAAAAUUCCUGAACAACAAGUAAUACAGUUACAUCAAGUUGCUCACAAAAUUUCUCCCACUACCGCUCAAUGAUAAUCCUAUGAACAGAAUUAUAAUGGGCAAGAUGAAGAUCAAUGCCUCACUUCGAAAUAAGGACUUUUUGCACAAGGGAUUGCGUAUGCCUUGUGGCCACCUCAACAAAAACAAAUUUACUAUGAUCAAAACAAGUCACACUACUACUACCUCUAGCUCGCUUCUUGGGUGCCAUCAAGCACUCAACAAAUGUGCAAUAAUUUAUACUCAAGUGUCAACAAAAUACAUAGCAACUUCUCAAUUUAACCCAUAAUAAUGCCACUAAAAUCACAAGUGCAUCAAUAAUCCCACUCCCACAAUUAAUAUUCAAGUGCUGAAUUUUAUCACUAUUCAUAGCUUCCGAGCCUCCAAUCUCUCAAAUAUUCAAUGUAGAAGCAAUUAAAAGCAAGCACAUAUACUACAAUCUCAAAUUAAUCACCAACCCACUAAUCAACAAUCACAAGGGCUUCUCUAAUAGCUAAAUCUACCAAAGUUGAAAAUGCUUCAAAAAACUAAAUCCACUUACUUGAAUUUUCUGUAGAAAAUUUGGUUGUUGAAUGAGUGGAAGAUUAUUUACCUACUUCAAAGGAGUUAUUUAGUCCCAAAUUGUGAAGUUUUGGAAGUACAAUUGAGCAGGUGGAAGUUAGAGAGAGAAAAUAUGAAGGUAGAGAGAGAAAAAAUACCCAAAAAAUGAAAAGGAAAAGCGAGGGGUAGAUUUAUAAAGUGGGGCCCCAAAUGGGCAACACAACACUCUAGCCUCAAGCCUUUCUAUGGGGUAGGGCAUCACGCGGUGCCAUGGUGCUGACCUUCUUAACGUCGCGACGUCGUUUCAAUUUUUUUUGAAUCAAAGGCCCUACGAAAGCAAAAAAGAAAAAGAAAAAUUAGACUCAUGGAAUAAAACAUAAAAUAUGAAAGAAAUUGCAAGUAAAAAUAAAAAUCAAAAUAUGCUAAAUAAAAUAACAAUAAAGAUAAACUAAGUUUAAAAACUUAGAUUACCUCUCAAGAAAUGCUUUUUUUAUAGUCGUUAGCUAGACUCUCUUGUAAGCUCAUUUGAGAUCGAAAAGAUGGAUAGAGGAUUGUUGACAAUCAAUGUCACCUCCCUAAUAAUGCUUCAACCACUACCCAUUCAAUUUGAAUGUUUCAUUGGUUAACCCAUCUAUUAUUUCCAUUGCUCCGUGUGGAAACACUUUUGAUACAAUAAAGCAUCUCGACCAUCUUGAUUUCAACUUGCUCGAAAAUAGCUUUAAGAGCGAGUUAAACAACAACACAUGUUAGCCUAGCUCAAAAUGAAGCUCAAUAAUCUUUUGAUCAUGCCAUCUCUUCAUUUUUUCUUAACAAAUUUUGGCAUUUUCAUAAGCACCCAAGCGAAGUUCAUCCAUUUCAUUUAACUGAAGCUAACACUUCUCACCAAUUGCUUCCAAGUCAAAGUUUAACUUCUUGAUGGCCCAAAAGGCACUUACUCCAACUUCAUCAGAAUGUGACAUGCUUUUUCAAAUACCAACUGAUAUGAGGGCAUACUAUUGGAGUUUAUAAGAUUUUCUAUAUGCCCAUAGUGUAUCAUCAAGUCUACUGGCCCAAUCCUUCCUUGAUGGAGAUACAACAUUUUCUAAAAUUCUUUUAAUUUCCCGUUUGACAUUUUGACUUGUCCACUUGUAUAGGGGUGAUAAGUUGUGACCACCUUGUGUGUCACUCCAUACUUUACAAGCAACGCUAUAAAAAAUUUAUUACAAAAGUGGCUACCUUCGUCACUCACUAUGGUCCUUGGUGUUCCGAAUCUAGUGAAAAUAUUCUUCUUCAAAAAUUUCAGCACAACCUUAGCAUCAUUCGCUGGCAAAGUUGAGGCUUCUAUCCACUUUGACACAUAGUUAAUAGUGUCACGACCCAAAUUUUUGAGCCAUGACCGGCGCAAGGGCCCAAUAAACGUAGUCUAUUAAGCCCAAGCAAACUUAUUGAUUUAUCCUACUCAUGAUUCCAUCAAAUAUCGCUAAGUCAUAUUUCAUACUUUUGAAUCAAAAUAGUGAUAUACAUUGCCAACUCGUAUUGGCAUUACUCCUUGAAAAUUUACAUACAAUGUCUACAACAUGUAUUCUAAUAAUUUACAUUAAGUUUGUCUAUACAAAACAAAAUAACACUCGAUUUUCAGUGGAGGGACUCGGAUGAAUGUAUAGCUACUGAAUGCCGAGACACCUACCAAAAGAUGGACACAGGUCUACAAGGACACCUCGUCCUAGUUACCGGCUGCCUCGAGAUCUGAAAACAUGAAUUUGAAAAUGGUGAGUAUAAACCCAGUGAGUGAACAAAGAAGGGAACAAUCAUACCAUAAGGAAUCUUUAAUGAAAUCAUGAUGCAUUCUUUUUCAAAACAAUGCAAUUUGUUUCUAUUCUUAUUAAAAACCCCUCAUCAAGCCUUUAAAUGAUUAAUCAUUUGAAAAUCAUUAACCCAUACAUAACGAACCAUUUGAAGAAUAAAAGCUUUAAUAUUACACAAGUAAGUCAAAUACAACAAUGAAUCUUCGUUGCAGUGGAAAGGCAUUCAAAUGAAUUUUUGUUGCAACGACAUUGGGAUUUAGUUAUUAACCAAACGAGGGUUUCUCAACUGGCCGAGGGUUUCUCACUAAACCUACUCAUUUUAAACUUAACUCAUUUGAUCCUUAAUGUUGGAAGUCCAUGCUCUGAUAUGGUAGCAAAUAAGUGAAAGAUAGGAUAGCAAUUGAAUAAGAUAGGAGACCAAAGCAGAAAGUUUUUCGUUGCAGCGAAAUUGUAACCCAGAACAGAAUGUUUCUCGCUGCAACGAAAUUGCAACCUAGAAAUAAAAAGUUUCUCGCUGCAGCGAGAAGCUACAGUGUCAUUCUCGCUGUAGCGAAAAUGCAUCCUCGCUGUAGUGAGUUUUUCACCAGCCUACCCUUUUAAAACUCGAGAGUUUCUUGCUGCAGCGAAAUACAGGGCAUCAAAUGAAAAUUUCCCUUUCUCCCAAAGAAAACCACCCUACUUGAAAUGUUCAAAACCAAUAUGAAACACAUAACUAUUUCUCAAGGUUUAACAUGUCAAGUUUCACAUGCAUUACAACCAUAAACCAUUAUCCAUCAAUUUCCUAUAACACACAUAUUUACAUAUGUAUAUAUAUAUAUNNNNNNNNNNNNNNNNNNNNNNNNNNNNNNNNNNNNNNNNNNNNNNNNNNNNNNNNNNNNNNNNNNNNNNNNNNNNNNNNNNNNNNNNNNNNNNNNNNNNNNNNNNNNNNNNNNNNNNNNNNNNNNNNNNNNNNNNNNNNNNNNNNNNNNNNNNNNNNNNNNNNNNNNNNNNNNNNNNNNNNNNNNNNNNNNNNNNNNNNNNNNNNNNNNNNNNNNNNNNNNNNNNNNNNNNNNNNNNNNNNNNNNNNNNNNNNNNNNNNNNNNNNNNNNNNNNNNNNNNNNNNNNNNNNNNNNNNNNNNNNNNNNNNNNNNNNNNNNNNNNNNNNNNNNNNNNNNNNNNNNNNNNNNNNNNNNNNNNNNNNNNNNNNNNNNNNNNNNNNNNNNNNNNNNNNNNNNNNNNNNNNNNNNNNNNNNNNNNNNNNNNNNNNNNNNNNNNNNNNNNNNNNNNNNNNNNNNNNNNNNNNNNNNNNNNNNNNNNNNNNNNNNNNNNNNNNNNNNNNNNNNNNNNNNNNNNNNNNNNNNNNNNNNNNNNNNNNNNNNNNNNNNNNNNNNNNNNNNNNNNNNNNNNNNNNNNNNNNNNNNNNNNNNNNNNNNNNNNNNNNNNNNNNNNNNNNNNNNNNNNNNNNNNNNNNNNNNNNNNNNNNNNNNNNNNNNNNNNNNNNNNNNNNNNNNNNNNNNNNNNNNNNNNNNNNNNNNNNNNNNNNNNNNNNNNNNNNNNNNNNNNNNNNNNNNNNNNNNNNNNNNNNNNNNNNNNNNNNNNNNNNNNNNNNNNNNNNNNNNNNNNNNNNNNNNNNNNNNNNNNNNNNNNNNNNNNNNNNNNNNNNNNNNNNNNNNNNNNNNNNNNNNNNNNNNNNNNNNNNNNNNNNNNNNNNNNNNNNNNNNNNNNNNNNNNNNNNNNNNNNNNNNNNNNNNNNNNNNNNNNNNNNNNNNNNNNNNNNNNNNNNNNNNNNNNNNNNNNNNNNNNNNNNNNNNNNNNNNNNNNNNNNNNNNNNNNNNNNNNNNNNGAAAUUCAAGAUAUUUAUAGGCAAUCUUAUCCUUUCCCUUAAAAUUAUGAAAAUGCCCCUCCACCAAUUUACUUAUUCUCCUCCAAUCUUUUAUGCAAUCCUUUUGCUCUUUUAACACUGGGACAAGAUCCAUAAUGGUCUAGACAUGUUCGGGUUCAUAAAAACUUAAAAUUUUAACCCGAUGUGAAAAAUGACCAUUUUACCCCUGUUAUGAAAAUUGUUGAAACUUCUAGUUUUCUUUGUGUUUUCAUCAGCACACAUCAUUUAUGUAGUUUUAUACCCAUUUAAGCCUUAAAAUAUCAUAAAACUUUCUUCUGGAAGCUUAUUAAAGAAAAUGACAAAACUACCCCUAGCUCGUAUUAUUACAUCUAUACUUAGUUACAAGCCUAUAAAGGUUGAGGUCUCACAAAUAGCCACCAAGAUGUAGCAAUUGUUGAAAUAAGAAAUGAAUGGUCCCAUGAAAUCCAUUCCCCCAACAUCAAAAAUCUCCACUUCAAUGAUGCUAUUGAGCAACAUCUCAUGUCUUCUUAAAAUGUUCCUCACUCUUUGACACCUACAGAAUGCAAAACAAAAUUGUGAGCAUCCUUAAAAAGUGUUGGCCAAUAAAAACCUGAAUGAAAAAGUUUGGUUGUAGUUUUAUCUCCUCUAAAGUGGCCCCCAACUCCGAAGAAUGACAAUGACUCAAUAAGCUUUCAACCUCUUCCUUUGGAAUGCACCUUUUUAACAUUCUUUUAGCACAUUACUUAUAUAAAAAUGAUUCAACCCACACAUAAAAUCUAACAUCAUGAAGAAAUUUCUUUCUUUGAUGAAAAUUUAAAUUUAGAGGAAGAAGCUUGCUUACAAUAUAAUUGACAUAAUCAGCAUACCAUGGUAAAUUUUUUUGACCAACACAUAAUAAUUGUUCAUUCAAAAAGGUUCCGUUGAUCAAAGUUAAGUCCUUACCUUGGUUCUGAUUCUCUAACCUCAACAAAUGGUCUACUAGUUGAUUCUCUAAGCCUUUUUUGUCUCUAAUUCCAAAUCAAAUUCUGAUAGCAACAAAAUCCACAUUAUCAACCUUGGCUUGGCAUCCUUCUUAGAAAUCAAAUACUUAAUCGCAGAGUGGUCAGUGUAAACGGUAACAUUUGUGCCAAUCAAGUAUGAAUAAAACUUGUCAAAUGCAUGCACAACAACUAAUAGUUCUUUUUCAAUAGUAGUGUAAUGCAUUUGAGUUUCAAUCAAGGUUUUGCUAACAUAAUAUAUAGAAUGAAAAACUUUAUCUUUUCUUUGUCCUAACACUACACCUACAGCAUAGUCACUAGCAUCACACAGAAGCUCAAAUAGGAGUGACCGAUUAGGAACUACAAUAAUGGGUGUAGAUGUCAAUUUUUUUUUCAAUUUGUUAGCUUUAUCAGGUUUAACAUUAUUAUAGUUUUGAAAUGACAAAAGUGAUCAAAAUUGCUUCAAUAAUCUAUGAAAUUCUUUGAGUGAUGCUUGAACUUGUUUGAAUGAUUUUUGAAGUUGUUUGAAAAUGUUAUUGAGCUUAAUUUAUUAAUGUUAAAAACUCUCAUACAUUUGCUUUUGAAGUGCGCAAGUGUUUCCAUGUGAAAAAUGAUCAAAACUGCUUGAAUGAUCUUUGAACUUGUUUGAAUAAUUUUUAUAUUUGUUUGAAUGAGUUUUUGAACUUGUUUGAAUAGUUUUUAAACAUUUUUAAAUAAGUUUUGAAGUGCCUAAGUGUUUCCAUGUGAAAAGUUUUAAAAUUUCUUGAAUAAGUUUUGAAAAUUGCUUUAAUGAUUUUUGAGCUUGUUUGAAUAGCUUCUAAACUUGUUUAAAUUAGUUUUAAAUCUCCCCUGCAUUUGAUUUUGAAAUGUCCAAGUAUUUGGCAUCAAAUUGGGUUCAAAAAGAAGAAUUUUCUAUGCUUUAAGCUAUUAGUAUCGAUACUUUAGUCAAAAGUAUCAAUACAUUUAAAACAGAAUGGUUUUGCCCAAAAUGUAUGGAUUCAUUUCCAAAAUGUAUCGAUACAUGCCAAAAUGUAUUGAUACAUUGCAACAUGUAUCAAUACAUUUUGGAAUGUAUCGAUACAUUUGGUUCAGAACUAGCUAUUACACGCGAAAAUCAAAGGAAAAACUGUUAUUUUCUUCAAACCUUCUCCAAUGGCUCCAAAGCUUCAUCACUUAUAAAAAAGACUUCUCCAACACAUUUACAAGGUAAGAAGAGUGGAAAAAUUUAUCAAAUACUCAAGUAUCAAAUCCUAUAAAGAAAAAGAGAAAAAAGAAAGAGAAACCAAGCUAGAGCAAGCAAUUCACAUUCUUCUGCCAAGCUUUUAAGCUUUCUUGUGCUAUAAUUCCUUUGUGUCUUCAUUCCUAUCAUUUGUAAUCAUUUUUAUGCCCAUCACACUCUUCCUACAUUGUACUUACUUAGCAAAACCCACUUUCUAGAGGUAUCUAUGCUAUUCAAAAUUGUAAGAGAGAGAAGGUUAUGCUUUAGCCUUUAAAAGGCAUUGUGAAGGUUAUGCUUGAUCCAUAAAAGACAUUGUAUUGAGAGGUUGUGCAUGAUCCUUGAAAGGCAUUGUAAACAUUAUGCUUGGCCUUAAAAAGUAUUUUUCAUAGUGGAUUUGAAAUUCCUUAGUGAGCUAAAAUAGAGGACGUAGGCAAGGAAGUUGAACCUCUAUAAAAAUAGUGUCUUCUCUCUUUAUUUUUCACUUCUUGAAUUUAUGCAUUUACAUUAAAGAAUUUAUCAAAUUGUUCUUAACUUGUUUAUUCCUUAAUUUACUCUUCAAAUUGUUAUUGACACACUUUGAUAGAAACACAAAUUUAUGAAAAUUAUUUUUAGCUUGACUUGAUUAGAAGCUUGUGAAAAUUUUACACUAGUGCAUUUUGCCUUAAAGAGUUUGAAAAUUUAUUUUCAACUUGUUUGGUCAUUAUUUUAGUUAAAUUACUUUUGGCAUGUUUUAAAGUGAAAACAAAUUUGAGAAACUUAUUUUCAAACUUGCCUUCACAAAAAGUUUAAAUUUGUUAAAAAGAAAUUUUAAAAAUCCAAUUCCCCUCUUGGAUAUUUUUCUCAUUAUUAUAAAGCUAACACUUCUAACACAAUUCUACAAAUGCAACAUGACAUGCAUUAUUAAAUUUAAAUGGGACAUCUUUUUUCUAAGAGAUUACACAAAGGUAUAGCAAUUUUAGAAAAAUCCUUAAUGAAUCGUCGAUAAAAACCAGCAUGUCCAAGAAAAUUCCUAAUACCUUUUAACAAGGUUGGUGGGGGAAGCUUCUUGAUUGUCUCUAUCUUUGUUUUGUCUACCUCCAAAACUUUGCUUGAAACCUUGUGACCAAGAACAAUGCUUUUUUGUACGAUAAAAUGGCACUUCUCCCAAUUUAGCACCAGGUUUAUCUCUUCACAUCUUUUCAAAACCUCGUCAAGAUUCCACAAACAUUCAUCAAAAUUAUUUCCAAAAGUAAAGAUGUCAUCCAUAAAUACAUCUAGUGUUUUCUCCACCAUAGUUGAAAAAAUAGCCAUCAUGCUUCGUUAGAAUAUGGCUAGAGCAUUGCAGAGUCGCAUCCUCCUAAAAGCAAAAAUGCCAUAUAGACAGGUGAAGGUUAUCUUCUCUUGAUCCUCUAGAGCUAUUACAAUCUGAUUAUAUCCUAAAUACCCAUCCAAGAAACAAUAGUACUCCUUUCUAGCUAGCCUAUCCAACAUUUAAUCAAUAAAUGGUAAAUGAAAGUGAUAUUUCCAUCUGGCCUUGUUAAGUUUCUAGUACCCAAUGCAAACUCUCCAUUCAGUUAUUGUCUUUGUGGGAAUGAGCUCAUUAUUUUCAUUUGCAACUACUGUUAUCCCACCUUUCUUUGGUAGCAUUGCACUAGACUUACUCAAGCACUACCCAAAAUAAGAUAGAUGAUGCCAUCAUCUAGCCAUUUGAUUAUCACCUUCUUCACUACCUCCUUCAUGAUUUAAUUCAAUCUUCUCUAAUGCUUGAUAGUGACUUUAUGAUUAUCUUUCAACAAAAUUUUAUGCAUGUAUCUCAAAGGAUUUAUUCCAUUUAUGCCUACAAUUAUCCAACCCAAUGCCUUUUUAUGCUCUCUCAAAACUCUCAAUAGUUUAUCUUUUUACUUGUUAGUAAGAACAGAUGAAACAAUAACAGAAAGAGUAAAAGAAUCACCAAGAUAUGUAUACCUCAGAUGAUUUAGCAAUAGUUUGAGUUCCAACUUAGGAUGUUCUUUAAUAAAAGGCUUCAUUGGUGAGGAUGAAAACGAAGAGAAAUCCAACAACUCAAAUUGUGUUCCUAAGACACAAGACGGAACAUUCAACACAUUCACACAUUUUAUGAUAACCUCAUUACUUGUCUCAAAUUCAACAACCAAUGACACCUCAAAGUGGGUCAGUGAGAUGGCUUUCCUUGAAAACUUCAUUUGUGACCUUAUCCACCACACUAACUUGAUUGUUAGUAAACUUUAAAGCUCUAAGAAUGUUAAAUGUUACCUCUUGAUCUUGCACUCGUAAGGUAAGUUCUUCCUUCUCGACAUCGAUGAGUGCUCUUGCAAUGCGUAAGAAAAGUCUCCCAAGGAUAAUAAGAACUUUUUUGUCCUCCUCCAUAUCUAGUAUUAUGAAAUCUAUCAAAAAAAUGAAUUUAUCCACUUUUACAAGCACAUCUUCCAUUAUACCUUUAAGAUAUAAGAGGAUUCUAUCAACCAAUUGUAGAGUCACAGUAAUGGGCUUAAUCUCUCCCAACCCUAACUUGUUGUAGAUAAACAAAUGCAUCAAAUUAAUACUUGUCCUCAAAUCAUUCCAAGCCUUGGCGAAGAAGAAUAGACCAAUUGUGAAAGGAAUAGUAAAACUAUUAGGGUCUUUAAGCUUUGGAAGAAACUUUUUUUGUAUGAUUGCACUGCAUUCCUCAAUAAGUGUCACAGUUUCAAUUCAUCCAACUACCUCUUCCUGGACAAGAUAUCUUUCAGAAAUUUCACAUAUGAAGGCAUUUUCUCUAAAGCCUUAGCAAAGGGAAUGUUGAUGUGAAGCUUUUUAAACACCUCUAUAAAUUUUUGAAAUUGGCUCUCUUCUUGUUGUUUCUUGAAGCAUUGAGGAAAGGGUGGUGGUGGUAGAGUUGCCUUAGUCUUUUUCUCUUGACACUGCUCACUAAAACUUGCAGUAAGUGUCUCACACUCAACUGUCUUACCUUUCAGUUCAACUUGCUUUGGGUUACUUUCAACUUCCUUACCACUUCUCAAAGUAAUGGCUUUGACAUUUUCCUUACCUUCCCUCCUUAGAUUUGCCUCGAUAUCACUAGGUAGGGUCCUUUAAGCUCUGUUGUUUAAUGAGCUAGCUAGUUGACCAACCUAUCAGUGGAAGGGGAAGGGCUAAGUCAGCUUAGAUUUCCAAGCGAAGGGGUUAGGUCAAUGAUCAACAACAAUUGGGAGGCUUCGAUCUACACCGUCUAAAGUAAAGGUGGGUCGAUUGACAUGGGAAAGGUACAAGUGAGUUGGCAUGGGAGAGCCUCAUGACAAGAGAGGGUCGAUAAGGGAGAGGCAACGGUAGGUCGACACGAGAGCAAUAAAAGUGGGUGGUCGGCACAGGAAAAAGGCAAAACAAGUAGUGAAGUGAAGAGAAAAGGGGGAAAUGUGGGAAAAAAAACCUUAAAACCUUUUAAUUAUAUUUAUUGAUGAAAACUCCAUUGAUAAUUUUAAAAUUCAAUACCGACAAAAUUUUCGUCAGUAGUUUCGUCAACAAACUCUUAAAAGGGAACCAUGCAUAUGCCGAUGGAAUUAUCAAUGAAAUUUUUUAUAGUAAUUUUAAAAUUCAAUACUAAUGAAAAUUCUAUUGAUGAUUUCAUUAGCAAACUCGUAAAAGGGAACCAUGCAUAUGUAGACAAAAAUUUCAUUGGUAUAUUGACAUUUUUGCCGAUAGAAAUUCCAUUAGUAAAAUCUAUUGAUAAAAUUUGUCGGUAUAGGCAUUACCGACCAAUUAUUUAUGUCGAUAAUUUUCACACCCUCCCUUUUAAUUGGAAGCCAAUGCAUUACCAACUAAAUAAAUUUCGUUACUAAAUUCUGUUAAUAUUCUGUCGGUAAUCCAUUAGUAAUAUGCAUGAUUCCAUUCCAUUGGUAUUCUAUUGGUAAUUCAUUAGUAUUUGUCAACAAAAUUUUACAGACGAAUUCAAUUUUGUCGGUAAAACCUUUUUUUUUACUAGUAUAAAAUUCGACAAUGUCCUUUCACCUAGAAAAUUCCUCGAUAAAAUUUAUCCUUAUAAUCUUCCCGAAGAAAUCUCAUCAUCGAGUUUGAAAAUUGUGCAUAAAAUAAGUGUCACAUAGUAUAAUGCACAUUAUAAUUUAUUAAAUACGAAUCAAAGUCUUUUAUCAAAAAUAUUUCUCGGAUCUUUCCAUCUUUUUGGUAAAAUCCAAGAACAAAUCCUCACCUAGAGAAUCUCUUGGGUAGGUUUAUUCUUACAAACUUUACAAAAAGGUCUCAUCAUCAAAGACAUUAUUCAUUUUAAAACAUGUAAUAUAUCAUGAUGUAAAUUUCAAUUUAUUUAAUUAAUACAAACGAUGACCUUUUAUUAAAAGCACAGCUUGGAUCCUCCCAAUUUUCUAGUAAAAUUUGAGAUCACUCUCUCACCUAGAUAGUUUCUUAGGAGACUUAUCUUUACAAGCCUCGUGAGAAAGUCUCAUCAUUAGGGUCAUCCUUUUGUUAGUCCCAAUAAUAUGUGCUAGAGGGGGGUGAAUAGCACAAUUUGGCUCUUUCAAAAAUUGUCUCUAAGUGUAGACAAAGGUGAGACAAAUGAAGGAAAGAAAAUAAAAUAAAAACAGAGUAAACAAGACAGCACAAUUUAGAGUGGUUCGGUCCAAGACCUACAUCCACUACCUUGAUUAUCCAACCAAGGAUUUUCCCAACAAAUGCACUAAAAAUCGGUAAAAUUCACAAGCUUUCACCAAACUUUAUAAUGGCUUUUACAAGGCUCUACCAAAACCUUUUACACUAGUUUUUCACUGGCUAAACUAAAACCCAACACCUAACUUUUCAAGGCUAAGUUAAAACUUUAACACAUUCAAGCAAACCUUGCUCGAAACAACCACUUAGAGUGACUCCCUCAUGCUAAAAAUACAAGAAGAGAAGUAAAAGAAAGUACCUAUGAUCACAAGUUAAUCUAAAUGGUACAAUAUUGAGUGCAGAAUACAAAUACAAAGGAUAGGCAUUUAAGUGCAACAAGGUGUAAAGAAGAUUUUCUGGUUUUUCAGCUCUUAAUUACUCAAAUCUCUUCCAAAACUUUCAAAAACUUGUUUUCAACUUUUGGAAGACCUUUUUAUACUUGGAGAAACAUCUUUGAUGGCAGUUUGAUAGUUUUCUAACCGUUGGAGACAAUUGGGAGUCGGUUCUAGCCGUUACUCUAUCUUUUAGUGCAGAUUUCAAACUUGCAAGUAGAAUGCUCUUAGUCGACUAACCGAUAUCUUAGUCGACUAAGUCGUCUCUGUUUUCUACUCCUUGUAUCUGGCAGUUCUGGUAGUGUGCACUUAGUCAACUAACCCAUUUCUUAGUCAACCAAGUUGGUUCUGUCUUGAAGUCCUGAUUUUGGCAAUAGCUUCUUAGUCGACUAACCCUCAUCUUGGUUGACUAAGUUGGUUCUGUUUCUCAAUAUUCUUCAGCCUUGCCAUUUCUCUAAUUUAAAUUUUAGUCAACCAACAUUCUUCAUUAUUUAACCAAAGACCUUUCUUUUUGUUAAUCAAUCAUUUUUCUUCAUUUUCAUGAUUUUUGAUAUACACAUUUGAAAGGUUGAUUUAUUACUUCCAUAUGAUUUUUUGUCCUGCACACUUAGAUACGAAUGUUAGACACAAAUGAAAUAGGAAUGUUUUAUUAUCAUCAAAAACUAAUGGAGCCAACAAUCUCCCCCUUUUUGAUGAUGACAAAACAUUCCUUGAUUAACAGCACAGUGUCCUUUAAUUCUUUUUAGUUUCUGCAGAAAAUGAAGAUUGCUCCCCCUAAGUAAGUGCUCCCCCUUAGUGUGUGCAUAUUUUGAUUAUUCAUUCCAGCAAAUUUUAUUCAUGUUAUGUAGAAAUUGACACUGUACAUUCAGAGUAUACAUGUGCAAAAAUAUAAGAUGAUUUAAAGCAAAUGAAUGUUGAAAGAUUAUCAUCAAAAUUUUAUAAUGUCUGUCAAUAGCAAUUAGAUUUUGUCUAUGUCAUUCAUCAUUCAACUGAUAUACUAUACACAAUAUCCAAAUCCAUCCAUAAUAAUAAUUUAUAAUAAAGAUCAGUACACAGAUUCUAACAUCAAUGUAGUAACAGACUUUUAUCAACAGUAGUUGAAAUGUAAUAAACAACAGGAUAUCAGCAAGCAUUCAAUUAUCAGCAACAAAAUACCAUGAACAUAUUAGCAAAGUACCAUAAAUAUAUCAGCAUCUAAUUUUUUAUACAAAAUAUAAACAGCAAGAUCAAAGUUAAGUGUUCAAUUGCCAUCAAAGCAGAAAAACAUAAAAUAUUCCUAAAUUGCCCUUGGUCCAUUAUGCUUUCUUUCUUUCCUAAGCUCCUGGUUCCUUCAUCCUAACAUUUUUUUUUAUUUAAUUUCUUGGUUCCUUCUCCCUCUAAGGUUCUGCUGGUCUUCUCCCCCUUUUUGUCAUCAUCAAUUCCUAGGCAUCAAUUGAGGAGAAUGAUGGGGAUGACUCAUCAGUGGCAUAUUUGACAUCUAAAGGCUGAGGAGAGGAUAUUGGAGGUAACUCUUGGGACACGAGAUCAAGUAAGGGUGAGUCAGAUACUUUAAAGGGUUCUUGAGGAGAAGAAACAGGUGCUGGCUUGGACUUUUUUGCCAGUCUGGUGGACAUCUUUCUCUUGAGGAAUGCUAUUUUUGUCGCCAUUGUUUUCAUUCCUUUGGUGGGUGGUUUUGUCUCUAGUUGUGGUGCUGCAGUGAUUUUUUGUUUUCCUUUUCUAGAUUUUGCUUUCAUUUUGGGGGCUAGUGUAGAUGCUGUUUGCUGAGCUUUUCCCUUAACUGCUUCUUUCUCCGCUUUUUCCUCCCUAACCAUUUGGUGGAAGACAUCCAUAAUGGAUACCUCUUUUGAGUUUGGAGGCGAGGGCUGUUGUUUCUCAUGUUCUGAGGGAGCAUUUUCAUUUGGAGAACCUAGCAUUUCUAUUCCUUGUUCUGAUUUGUCCUUUCUCUAGUGUUCAGGUGAAUGGGUCUUAGUUAAUUGAUCAACACCAGGAUGAGAAUCCUUUCUCUGAAGAAUAUGACUGGCAGUUCUAUAAGUUGAGCCUUCAGCUUGAACACCAUAACUUGCUUCAUGAGGAACAGAUCCUCUUGCUUGCAAAGCUGAAUCCUUAGCACCUUGCUGGCUGGUGCAACACUUGGUGUUUCAAAGGAAUCUGCAACAGCAGGUUCUGAUGGCUUUUCUUUCCCUUUCAAUUCAUUCUCCAGUGCAGUAACUUUCUCUUCAAUUUUUUGCAAUCUAACUUCUUGAUUAAUGAGCUUUCCAUUUAUCCUCAUCAAUAGAUUAAAAAUUAUUUCACUAGAAAAUUGUGAGGAUGCUGCCUCUGACUGAGCUGGGAGUGAAGAUUCCCCUUCAAGAGUUACUUUGGGAGUUUUAACAUAUUUUUCUCCUUCAAGUUUGUAUCCCAUCUUAGAUAAACUCUUGAGGUAGAUUGAUUGAUCUCUGCACUUUACCUGAUCCAUUGCAUAUCUUGAACUUCAAAUCCCCUUUUUCUAGAUCAGUGCAGUAAUGAUAUUCCGAUAUGGCGGAUUAAUCUUUUCCAAUCUACAGGCUCCCUUCAUUCUCUCAAUCAUAAAUCUUCCUAAGUUCAGUGGACUCCCAUUAAAGGCAUGUUCCAUUAGCCAAAGGUCCUACAAACUAAUAUAACUAAAGCUUCCCCUUCUUCCAUGAACAUUAGCAGCAAUGAAAUAAUGCAGUAUUCGAAUUUGUGGACUGGUGAUCAAACCAGCAUUACUUUUAGAAGAAUAUUUCUCUUUCUUUCCAUUAAUCACUCCCAACAAGGAUGAGGUAUCAUAGUUUUCUAGGAACUCAAACUCACCCUCUUCACACUCAAUGUUAAGUAAACUGCCCAAAUUAAUAGCAAUCACAGUAAAUUCUUUCCCAUUUAAAAAUAUAUUCAAGCCAUCCUCAAGAUAAUCAUUCGGCUCCUCUAAUUCAUCCUUCUCAAGUGCUAUACUAGAAUAAAAUCCUUUAACCAAACUUGCAUUAUAAGCUCGAUUCUUAAAAGUACUAAAAUAUUUCAAUUUCAUCUCCUCAAAAUAGUAUGAUAAAACUGCUUUAAAUUCAGGCACUUCAUUAAAACUAUUCCAAUCGAUAAAUUUCUCACGAGUGAUUGGUUCAUUUUAAAUUUUCUGGAACCUAUCCUCAUGAACUUUGUUUCUAAAUUUGGAGGACAGAGAUUUACCUUUCUUUGAUGUCUUUCCCUUUUCUUUCUUCUUCUUUGUUUUCUGUUCUUUUUCCUUUUGUGACUUUCCAAAUUUUCCACUCUUUGAUGCAAACUCGAUUUUCUAUUUCUUCUUCUAUAUUUUUGCUUGCAUGCCUUCUGCCAAUGGCCUUUUUCCUUUCUUCUUUUCAAUAAUUUCUCUACUCUGUGAGGUCUUUGCCAUUUAAAUUUUGAAGAUUUUUGACUGGGACUCGAGGGUUUUGGUUUUGUGUGAGUCGGUUUCAAAGGCAAGAAUGUAGAGAGAAUGGGUUUCAGUUUCAGAUGACCAAGUUUUAUGGGAGAGAAAAUGUGGAAAAAGAAGUUGUCAGCAAUAUUAAUUUCCCUUAGAAAACUGUCUGCCUCCCCUUUAAAAAUUGCCUCACUUCAUUUGCUUAGAAAAUUUUAAAAUUUCCUCUAAAUUUUGAUUAUUCUCCUAGGCGAUUUUUUUUCUUUUCUUUAUUGCUCGGUAGGUAGUUUCUUCCUAUUAUUUUAUUCCUCUUGCCCUUAUUUUAAUUGAGUCUUAUUAUUUAAUGUUACCAGAACACUCUUAGUUGACUAAGAUUCACCUUAGUCUACAAAAUACAUGCUGUUUUGAGUGUAUGAACCAAAAUCUGUAAUAUCUCGCACCCUCGUUGGACACAAAUAAGACCUUAUUGAUCAAACGAAUGAUCGUUGAUGUGAAUUGGCGUGCUAAAGAGUGACAAAGGAUGAAAGGAGCGUUCAAGAAUAAAAUGCUUCGUGCCUGCAAAAAUAAUAAUUAAAUAAUAAUAUUUUCGUUAGAGAGGAAUUAGUAAGCUAAAGGAUGAUUCAAAAGUAAACCGAGAUGUAAUGAUAUGUUUCGGGACCAAAGAAGGCAAGUGAAAAUUUUUGAAAUAAAAUAAUAUUUUAUAUGUUGUCGGAAUUAGUCAUGAAAAAUGGAAUAUGACUAAUUUAAGUGGGGGAGAAGAAGUAAAGAAGAAUUUUGAAGGAAAACGACGAUAAUUGUGUCAGCGUGAUUUUAUUAAAUCGAGCUAACGCGGGUAAGUAAAUAUUUAAAUAUUAUGGUGACACCGCGUUGAAAUGUGAUCUCGAUAUUUUGAUUAUACACAUGUAAGAAAAGGAAGAUAAAAGGAAAUUAGAAUUUGUACACGUGUCGGAAGAAUUAAUUUUAAAAUAUGAAAAUUUGAGGGAGGUGUAUUAAAUAAAAUGAAGUUGAGGAAUUACAUGUCAACUGCAUUUUUUGGAGAGAAUAAAAUAAAUAAAUAAUAAAAUAAUAAGGAAAUAAAAAGGAUGGGAAUGAUGUGGUUUGGAUGGGAAUGAAGAAAAGUCAAACCAAAGAAUUUUAAGGUGAAUGGCCAACCAUGCAAAAAUCAAAGGAAGAAAAACAAAAGAAAAGGCAAAGAAAACAAAAGAGAAGAAUGUAGAAAUGAUGGUGGGGCCAGUCAUGUGAGAAGAAAAGAGAUAGAAGAGAGAAGUCGGUUAUGAAGAGGAAAGAAAGAACUAAAAGCUGAGCAAAAGAAAGGAAAGGAAAAAGGAAAGAAAAAUAUGGGAGAGGAAGAGAAAAGGAACGAAAAUUUUGCUCUUUUCUUGGCACGAUUUUGCUGCACUUUGAGGAAGGAAAAAAAGAGUUUUUGCUGCAAUUUUUGGAGGAAGAAAAAGCUGAAAAUUUGUGAGGUAAGAAGCUAGUUUUUUUUGUUGCACUUUGAGAGAGAAAAUUCGGUGCUUUUUGGAGGGAUUUUGGUGCUAAAAAUUCAAGGUUUUUGUUACUGAAUUUUGAGGUUAUGUUGUUGGAAAUUUGAGCUGAAAAUUUGUUGAUUUUAGAGCAAAAAAUGGCAGUAAAAAGGGUGAGAAAAUGAGGCUUUUGGUGAUUGAUUUUGAGAGGAAAGGAAGAGAGGAAGCCACGAUGGUGAAGGGAGUGAUGGGCUGAAAGAAAAAAAAAGAAGAAAGAAGGAAUGUGGAAGAGAGGAAAAAAAAGAAAGAAAAAGAAAAGAAAAGAAAUAGAAAAUAAAUGGGCAUGACCCAAUAGAAAAUAAGUGGGCAUGGCCCAAUAAGAAACAAAAAUAAAUGGGCUUAGCCCAAAUAGGAAAAAUGGAUAAGCCCAUGGAGAGGGCCCAAAGGUCAUAAAGAAAUGAAAAAGGCCCAAUGGUAAGUUAAUAUUAUAUUUUUAGAUUUAUGGGUAGUUUAAUAUUGUGCAUAUUUUGAAUGAAAAAUAUGCAAGUUGCUUAAGGAAGUUUUAAUUAAGUUGCUACCCAUACAAAUGUGUGAUUAAGUAUACUGAGUUUAAAUUGUUGCUAGGAAAGUUUGUCGUGGAGUCAUGCCGAACGAAGUAUGUACCGACAAAUAGGAAUAAUUAUAUACGCGUAUGAAUCAAUAGUGAAGUAAUAUCCCACUAUUAUGAGGUAAGUAGGGGGUGUCAAUUUUAAAAAUUCCGUAUAUAUAUGUACAUGUACGUAUAUUUUACGUGAAGUGCAAAAUUUAUGGAAAGCAUGCAUUGAUAGAAUUUUAAAGAAUUGUGGGUGUAAGUUAUUUUUAGAAAUCAUUUGGAAUAUAUAUAUAUUAGACGUAAAGUGUUUUAAACCGGGAAACAAGCUUUUCGAAAAGAUUUACAUCAAAGGAAAUUGUGCCUUAUUGUUUGUGUGGUGUGCAUUCAUGAAAUUUAUUACAUAUUCACCAUGCUAUUUUGAUACAAAAUAUCAUGCAAAUAUUUACAAUGAACAUUUUACGAAAAGAGAGUUUUAACAUGAUGUGGGGACCGAUAUUUUGAGAAAAUUUUAAAUUAUCCCCUUGAAGAUCAAAUUUGAAUUCUUUUAAAAGGUGAUUUCAUUUUAAUCAAGAAAUUCAAAAGUAAUUAGAGACUACUACUUGUUGUGUUAUAAAUUGUAUUUUGAAUCGAAUGUCUUAUGAUAAUGUGGGCAUGAUUAGCUGGAUUGGUAAAUAUGCUGAAAAUGUAUGAAAUGUUGAUUUGCCUUGAGAGGCUGUAAAAUAAAAUAAUUGUCAUGUCAUGCUAUUGCAAAUUUUAUUGUAUGGUGGGUUUAGCUUGCUGCAGUGGGCGGGUUUCGUGGACCAACCUAUUAGAAGGGCACGGUAACCC
rnacentral:lncRNA from 1 species